UGAAAUGAACUAGUAAAGAAAGAGUACUCCCCUGGGGUGGGGACUGCAGCACAGGACAUGUUGCUCAUUAGCGCUUCUUUGAUGCACUGCGCAGCUUAUCCUUUGGUGAAGCUUUGGGGGAGGUGGCUGGCAAUGUCUUUGUCUUUUUCGUUGCGGGGCUGGUGAGAGGAGUGGUGGCUGGGGUUGCUGUAGCGGUACCUUUAGACGUACUGCUUUUUCUUUUGCUGGAUUGUCUUGGACUAGUGCGGAUAGGCUGGCUAGGAGUUUGUUGUGGAGGCUUUGGGGUCAAUGCAUCAGCUGCCUGGCCCUCAGCAGUGAUGGCAGCAAUAACCGCAAGUAGUUGCUUGGCUUGCUCAGAUGUAGGCAUAGCUCUGGCUGCUGCAGCAGCCAGCUCAGCAUCGACUCGCUCCAUUUCAUCUUCAGAGGCUGGAGGGGUUGCCAAUUUAGCUUUACUCUUAUCCUUGCUCUUACUCGCAAAAACUGGAAUAGAGGGUUCCUCUUUAGGGUCUUCUUCCUUUUCUUCUUGAAUAAUGUGUUUCUUUUUGGUUUUAGGUUGAGCUGGGACGGUUAGUUCCUCACUUUCUUUUUCUGAGUUGUCUUCUGCCUCUGAGGGUGAGCUAUCAGUCUCAGACUUGUCACCUUCGUCCUCAGGUGGGUCAGAUGGCUCAGCCUCUUCUAAGUCGACUGAUGCUUGUGGCUCAGUGGCAGCUUCCUCUGUUGGUUCAUCUGAAGCAGUGGCUUCUUCACUGGCUGCUGCUAGAGCACCUGUGGUGCUGGUGUCAAAAUUGAACUGCUGGAGCAGUGCAUCAGGGAAGUUCCGGUGAGUGCGUUUCAUGUACAGAGCAAAUUAGUGUAGUUGGUUAUCCAGGUGCUGUAGAUAGCUCCAAAAUCGAUCAUUUUCCCUCUGUUGGGCUUCUACACAUUGAGUUAUACUAUUGCUGAGUUCCUGGAUUGUCUGUUCUAACCCAAUAGCUCGUCUUGCUCCAGUGACAACAGCUGGUUCGGUGGUUGUUCCAGCACUCUCACCAGCAACUCUCUCAAUGGUACGUGCCGUAAAGGCACCAUCAUUUUUUACACGUUCAUCUCUGGCGUCAAGACGAAUACCUGAAACUACACAAAUGCUAGUGACAAGAGAGGGAAAUAGCAAGGCAGCAGUUCGGUGAGUUUUGACUACACAAUCUCAGAUUUCUUGUGCAAUGAUGCUACCCACAUCUAUGGGAAACCCUCCAACAAUAACAUAUAACAAGACCAACCUCUCUUGAAAAACUGUAGUGGUGUGAGUGGUGGGCAUAAGCCUAGAUUUCAGAAAUUUCACCCACACCUUAGCAAUAGGUGUCAAAUCUAUCCUAUUAACUACAUGUCCUUCCUCGUUAACCCAUGAUGCCUCUUCGAUAGUAAAAGUUUUGAAAAUGGUAUUCCACUUUUUCGGGGUCAACUUAUCACGCAACUUAGCAUACUCACAGGCAAUUUCAGCAGGUAAGUUAUAGAAAGUAUUGAUAACACAAGAGUCUAAUGGGACAAGUGUAUUUCUUACCCAUACGUUGUGCUGAUCAGGGCUUACCAAAUUGACGUAAAAUUCUUUGACAACAGGCAGCACAGGAUCUCAAGGGUGGUUGCAAAACUCUAGCCAUCCUCGCUUUGCCACAGCAUUAUGAAUGGUUUGUACAAUUCCCGUGAGUUGGUCUGGGAAUUGAAACCCUUUUUCUUCCCGAAUUCGACGUGGCUCUAUGAAUUCUUCAUAUUUUUCUUCAGCGUGAUAACUCUGGAAUCGUUUUUGAAUUAAAUGUGCAUAUCCCAAAAUCAUCGGCCAGUGCAUUUAAAGCUCUAUUUUCGGAGAUUUGUUUCCGCAAUUUUUAUCCAUAUCCAUGCAUCCAUCUGUCAUGAUUUUAUCUCCAACGAUAAGUGAAAGGCUCCAGCUUUUAAUUUACUGUAACGGUACAAUUAGCUGCUGCAACACCCAUUCGUUUAUUCUAAGCACGGAUCUAUACUCCCCACUAAAAGCUUCUGACACGUGGUUCACCUCUAAAUUCUGCCACCAUGCAUUCUCACGUGUCAAUAUAGAAUUCAAUUGUCACACUUACUAAAUUCAAGCCUAAAAUUAUUAAAAGACAUAGAUAUAUCAAAUUGAAGUGAAACUAAAGUAUGCCAUAAUGGAAAAGGAUAAAAAAAAUAAAUGGUUAACAUGGAAAAACAAGAUUAAAUAAAAUAGUAAAGAGGGAGAGCUGUCCAUAAAACCAAAGGAUAUCAAAAUUGGUUUGAAGUGGCUGUCUCCUCAAUGGGCUGCCUCCCAUGAAGCGCUUGAUUUAAGGUCUUUCAGCCUGACCUUCUAUCUUUGCUCAAUAGCUGGGUUCUUUAAGGAGUAACACCUCCUUUGAACAUUCUGCUGCUGGAUGUAUGUAAUGCUUAACCCUGUGCCCAUUAACCUUGAACUCGUGGCCUGUUUGUUCAUCUAGAAGAUCAACAACUCCAUGAGGGUAAGAUUGUAACAGCUUAAACGGGCCAAACCAUCGUGACUUGAGUUUUCCCGGAAACAAUCUUAGUCUUGUGUUGUGGAGCAACAUUAAUUGACCAGGGGUGAAUUUCCUGUGUUGAAUAUGCUUGUUGCCAGUGUUUUGUUAUCUCUUUAUAGAUUCUUGCAUUUUCAUAUGAAAAUAGUCAUAAUUCAUCAAGCUCACAAAAUUGAAGUUUUCUUUGCUCUGCUGCAGCAUGCAUAUCCCAAUUUAAUUUCUCCAGUGCCCAAUGGGCUUUGUGCUCUAGCUCUAGUGGCAAAUGACAUGCUUUGUCAUAAACAAUUUGGUAAGAAGACAUGCCGAGUGGAGUUUUGUAUGUUGUUUUGUAAGCCCAUAGAGUGUCAUGCAAAUGUAAAAAUCAAUCCUUCCUUGUUGGGUUCACCACUUUUUCUAAGAUCUUUUUAAUUUCUCUGUUGGACACUUUUCAUCAUUGCUGCAGCAAAGAUUUUGUUGCAAAAAUGUGUGCCUUCAUCACUAAUAAUUGCUCUAGGAGUGCCAAACCUGGAGAAAAUAUUUUUUUGAAGAAAAGUCACCAUUGUUUUAGCAUCAUUGGUAGGUAGUGCUGCAGCUUCUACCCACUUAGAGACAUAAUCUACAGCAAUAAGGAUAUAUAAGUUCCCAAAGUAUGGGGGAAAAGGUCCCAUGAAAUCUAUUCCCCAAACAUCGAAAACUUCUACUUCCAGUAUGUUAGUCAAUGGCAUCUCAUGUCUGCUAGUUAUGUUCCCUAUCCUUUGACACCUGUCACAACAUUUAACAAAUUCAUAAGCAUCUUUAAAGAUAGUGGGCCAAUAAUAACCCGAUUGCAUAACUUUGGCAGCUGUUCUGUGACCACCAAAAUGUCCUUCAUAUGCUGCAGCAUGACAUGACUCCAGUAUUUGAGGCAUUUCUUCUGUUGCAACACAUCUUCUUAUUACUUGAUCUGAGCAUAGCUUAUAUAAAUGUGGGUCAUCCCACUGAUAACUUCUAACAUCAUGAAGAAAUUUCUUUUUCUCUUGAAACUUCAGCUCAGGUGGUAGCAACCCACUUACUAAGUAGUUAGCCAAGUCUGCAUACCAUGGAGGUUCUGAUUGCUGUAGCAUCUGUGAUUGCUGUAUUACCAACAGCUGUUCAUCAGGAAAAGUUUCGGUGAUGCCCUUCCUUGUCAUUGUACUAGUGUCUGCUUCCAGCCGUGACAAGUGGUCUGCCACUUGAUUCUCAGUCCCCUUUCUAUCUUCAAUUUCCAGAUUAAAUUCUUGAACCAAUAAGAUCCAUCGGAUUAGUCUUAGUUUGGCAUCCUUCUUUGAAAUUAAAUAUUUGAUGGCUGUACACUAUCAUCACACAUCAAUUCAAAUGGUAAAGUCCAAUCUGGAGAUAUAACUACUGGAGCAGUGAUCAGAGCUUUCUUUAGUUCUCCAAAUGCUUUAAGGCACUUUGUGUCAAAGUGAAAUGGUUGGUCAUGCUCCAGUAAUGAACACAGAGGCUUAGCUACCUUGGAGAAAUCCUUAAUGAAUCUUCUGUAGAAUCCAGCAUGACCCAAAAAACUCCUAACACUGGUGGCAGUUUAUCUAUUACCUCUAUCUUGGCUUUAUCUACCUCAAUACCAUCCUUGGAUAUUUUGUGACCCAGCAUUAUUCAUUCUUGCACCAUGAAAUGGCACUUUUCCCAAUUGAGUACUAAGUUGGUCAUCUCACAUCUUUUAAGAACUUCUUCUAAGUUGUGUAAACAAUCAUUGUAUGUUUCCCCAAAAACUGAGAAGUCAUCCAUGAAAACUUCCAAAGUUUGCUCUACCAUUUCAGAAAAUAUAGACAUCAUGCAUCUCUGAAAAGUUGCUGGAGCAUUACAUAGCCCAAAUGGCAUUCUUCUGAAGGCAAAUGUUCUAUAAGGACAAGUAAAUGUAGUCUUCUCCUGAUCCUCUGGAGUUAUAGCAAUCUGGUUGUAGCCUCAAUACCCAUAUAAGAAACGGUAGUACUGUUUUCCAGCAAGUCUGUCCAACAUCUGAUCUAUGAAUGGAAGUGGGAAAUGGUCUUUUCUUGUGGCUUUUUUGAGCUUCCUGUAAUCCAUACAUACUCUCCAUCCAGUCACUGUCCUUGUAGGAAUAAGUUCAUUCUUCUCAUUAGCCAUUACUGUUAUCCCUCAUUUCUUGGGAACACAUUGAACUGGGCUCACCCAUGAACUGUCUGAUAUUGGGUAUAUGAUUCCAGCAUCUAACCAUUUGAUGAUUUUCUUCUUCACCACUUCUUUCAUGAUAGGGUUCAACCUUCUCUGGUGCUCAACUGAAUUGCUGGAGCAAUCUUCUAGCAGAAUUUUAUGCAUGCAAAUUGAUGGGCUUAUCCCCUUUAUAUCUGCCAUGGUUCAUCCAAUUGCUCUUCUGUAUUUUCUAAGUAAAUCUACUAAACUUUGUUCUUGACAUGCAUCCAAAGUAGAAGAGAUGAUUACAGACAGUGUGUUAUUUUGACCAAGAUAAGCAUAUUUUAAAUGUGAAGAUAAUAAUUUCAAUUCAAGACUAGGAGGUGAUUCAAUAGAUGGUAAAGCUAUUUUUACUUCCCUGUCUAAAAGAUUCAAAUGCUCAAUAAACCUGGUGUGCCUAUCCGAUUGUUUUUCUUCCAUCCAAUCUGUCUGAAUUGCUGCAACAUCUUCCUCUUCUGCAUCAUCAAAGGUAUUGACUCUGUCAAAUGCUUUACUGCAGCAUCUAUCCAUUCUGUCUGCUACAAUAAAAUCCACUACACUCAGGAAGUUGUAGUCUUCUACUUCAUCAGGGUUUCUCAUAGCUUCUAGUACAUUAAAUGUGACUUGCUGAUUAUUCACUCUUAUUGUGAGCUCUUCUUUAUGAACAUCUAUCAGAGUCUUUCCAGUUGCUAGGAAAGGUCUUCCAAGUAUAAUGGGUACCUCUUUAUCAGCUUUAAAAUCCAGUACAAUGAAAUCCACUGGAAAGAUGAAUUUAUCAACCUUCACCAGUACAUCCUCUAUUUUUCCUUCAGGGUAUGCAUGAGAUCUGUCAGCCAAUUGCAGAGUGACUGUUGUUGGUCUGCAUUCCCCUACUCCAAGCUGUUUAAAUACAUAUAAUGGCAUCAAAUUAAUGCUAGCUCCCAAGUCACAAAGUGCUCUGCCAGCAUACCUUGUCCCUACAGAGCAAGGUAUUGUAAAACUCCCUGGAUCUUUCAAUUUUGUGGGAAUUUUACUCUGGAGCAUAUGACUGUUCUCCUGUGUUAAAGCAACAGUUUCAAACUCUCCCAGCCUUCUUUUUCGUGCUAAGAUAUCUUUUAGAAAUUUCACAUAAUUUGGCAUUUGUUCUAAAGCUUCUACAAAAGGUAUAUUUAUGUGUAGUUGCUUCAGCACUUCCAGGAAUUUGCUGAACUGCUUGUCUUGUUUUUGCUUCUGGAACCUUUGAGGGAAAGGUGGUGGAUGUCUAAACUGCUGAUUAGAUUCAGGAGGUACCAAACUUUGUUUGUUUAGGGUGGUGCAGGUUGUGGCUACUGGUAUGGCAGCUUCCUUUUCAGCAUGAUCUGAUUGCAUUUCUUCUGCAGUUGUUGUAGCUUGGCCUAAUAAUUCAGUGUCUUGAUGGGGAUUUUUCUGUAGCACACUUCCCUUUUGAGUUGGUUUUUGUGCUUAAUUGCAUUCCAUCCCCUUUUUAGUUAUCUCAACUAGUAUAUCAACAUUUUUUCCAGAUCUCAAACUAAUUACCUUGCAGUGUUCCUUGCUCUCUCUCCUAGGAUCUUCUGUGUUGCUAGACAGGCUCCCUUGAGUUCUGCUACUUAUUGUUGUAGCUAGUUGUCUCAUUUGGUUCGCAAGGUUUCUUAAGGAUACAGCUUAACUCUGCACAAUUGCUUCAUUCUUUGCAAUAUACUCAUUGAUCAGUGUUUCUAAUGAAGUGAUUGGAUCCUGACUGAUUUGUUUUUGCCCUUGACUCUACUGAUGAAAACCAGGUGGCUGUGUGUUUCUAUUAUGUCCAUUGAAUGCUGGAGCAUUUCGAUUCUAACUGCUCCAUGAAAAAUUUAGGUGUUGUUUCCAGCCUGGGUUGUAAGUAUUUGAAUAUGGGUUGUUCUGAGGUUGUAGAUUGAAGUUACCCACAUAGUUUACUGAGGCUGGAUUUCCAGGAUAAUUAUCAAAAUCAUGUUCUUCACCACAGUAGACACAAGAAAAUUCAGUAACUGGCUUUACUAUUGCUGGAACAGCUGUCAUGGCUUUUACAAUGUUAGUCAAUGAGGUUACCUGCUGUACCGUACAUCCGCCUUGGCCGUACAGCAGACAACAAGUAAUAUAAUAAUGAGUAUUCAAGAUNNNNNNNNNNNNNNNNNNNNNNNNNNNNNNNNNNNNNNNNNNNNNNNNNNNNNNNNNNNNNNNNNNNNNNNNNNNNNNNNNNNNNNNNNNNNNNNNNNNNNNNNNNNNNNNNNNNNNNNNNNNNNNNNNNNNNNNNNNNNNNNNNNNNNNNNNNNNNNNNNNNNNNNNNNNNNNNNNNNNNNNNNNNNNNNNNNNNNNNNNNNNNNNNNNNNNNNNNNNNNNNNNNNNNNNNNNNNNNNNNNNNNNNNNNNNNNNNNNNNNNNNNNNNNNNNNNNNNNNNNNNNNNNNNNNNNNNNNNNNNNNNNNNNNNNNNNNNNNNNNNNNNNNNNNNNNNNNNNNNNNNNNNNNNNNNNNNNNNNNNNNNNNNNNNNNNNNNNNNNNNNNNNNNNNNNNNNNNNNNNNNNNNNNNNNNNNNNNNNNNNNNNNNNNNNNNNNNNNNNNNNNNNNNNNNNNNNNNNNNNNNNNNNNNNNNNNNNNNNNNNNNNNNNNNNNNNNNNNNNNNNNNNNNNNNNNNNNNNNNNNNNNNNNNNNNNNNNNNNNNNNNNNNNNNNNNNNNNNNNNNNNNNNNNNNNNNNNNNNNNNNNNNNNNNNNNNNNNNNNNNNNNNNNNNNNNNNNNNNNNNNNNNNNNNNNNNNNNNNNNNNNNNNNNNNNNNNNNNNNNNNNNNNNNNNNNNNNNNNNNNNNNNNNNNNNNNNNNNNNNNNNNNNNNNNNNNNNNNNNNNNNNNNNNNNNNNNNNNNNNNNNNNNNNNNNNNNNNNNNNNNNNNNNNNNNNNNNNNNNNNNNNNNNNNNNNNNNNNNNNNNNNNNNNNNNNNNNNNNNNNNNNNNNNNNNNNNNNNNNNNNNNNNNNNNNNNNNNNNNNNNNNNNNNNNNNNNNNNNNNNNNNNNNNNNNNNNNNNNNNNNNNNNNNNNNNNNNNNNNNNNNNNNNNNNNNNNNNNNNNNNNNNNNNNNNNNNNNNNNNNNNNNNNNNNNNNNNNNNNNNNNNNNNNNNNNNNNNNNNNNNNNNNNNNNNNNNNNNNNNNNNNNNNNNNNNNNNNNNNNNNNNNNNNNNNNNNNNNNNNNNNNNNNNNNNNNNNNNNNNNNNNNNNNNNNNNNNNNNNNNNNNNNNNNNNNNNNNNNNNNNNNNNNNNNNNNNNNNNNNNNNNNNNNNNNNNNNNNNNNNNNNNNNNNNNNNNNNNNNNNNNNNNNNNNNNNNNNNNNNNNNNNNNNNNNNNNNNNNNNNNNNNNNNNNNNNNNNNNNNNNNNNNNNNNNNNNNNNNNNNNNNNNNNNNNNNNNNNNNNNNNNNNNNNNNNNNNNNNNNNNNNNNNNNNNNNNNNNNNNNNNNNNNNNNNNNNNNNNNNNNNNNNNNNNNNNNNNNNNNNNNNNNNNNNNNNNNNNNNNNNNNNNNNNNNNNNNNNNNNNNNNNNNNNNNNNNNNNNNNNNNNNNNNNNNNNNNNNNNNNNNNNNNNNNNNNNNNNNNNNNNNNNNNNNNNNNNNNNNNNNNNNNNNNNNNNNNNNNNNNNNNNNNNNNNNNNNNNNNNNNNNNNNNNNNNNNNNNNNNNNNNNNNNNNNNNNNNNNNNNNNNNNNNNNNNNNNNNNNNNNNNNNNNNNNNNNNNNNNNNNNNNNNNNNNNNNNNNNNNNNNNNNNNNNNNNNNNNNNNNNNNNNNNNNNNNNNNNNNNNNNNNNNNNNNNNNNNNNNNNNNNNNNNNNNNNNNNNNNNNNNNNNNNNNNNNNNNNNNNNNNNNNNNNNNNNNNNNNNNNNNNNNNNNNNNNNNNNNNNNNNNNNNNNNNNNNNNNNNNNNNNNNNNNNNNNNNNNNNNNNNNNNNNNNNNNNNNNNNNNNNNNNNNNNNNNNNNNNNNNNNNNNNNNNNNNNNNNNNNNNNNNNNNNNNNNNNNNNNNNNNNNNNNNNNNNNNNNNNNNNNNNNNNNNNNNNNNNNNNNNNNNNNNNNNNNNNNNNNNNNNNNNNNNNNNNNNNNNNNNNNNNNNNNNNNNNNNNNNNNNNNNNNNNNNNNNNNNNNNNNNNNNNNNNNNNNNNNNNNNNNNNNNNNNNNNNNNNNNNNNNNNNNNNNNNNNNNNNNNNNNNNNNNNNNNNNNNNNNNNNNNNNNNNNNNNNNNNNNNNNNNNNNNNNNNNNNNNNNNNNNNNNNNNNNNNNNNNNNNNNNNNNNNNNNNNNNNNNNNNNNNNNNNNNNNNNNNNNNNNNNNNNNNNNNNNNNNNCAGAAAAUAUAGACAUCAUGCAUCUCUGAAAAGUUGCUGGAGCAUUACAUAGCCCAAAUGGCAUUCUUCUGAAGGCAAAUGUUCUAUAAGGACAAGUAAAUGUAGUCUUCUCCUGAUCCUCUGGAGUUAUAGCAAUCUGGUUGUAGCCUCAAUACCCAUAUAAGAAACGGUAGUACUGUUUUCCAGCAAGUCUGUCCAACAUCUGAUCUAUGAAUGGAAGUGGGAAAUGGUCUUUUCUUGUGGCUUUUUUGAGCUUCCUGUAAUCCAUACAUACUCUCCAUCCAGUCACUGUCCUUGUAGGAAUAAGUUCAUUCUUCUCAUUAGCCAUUACUGUUAUCCCUCAUUUCUUGGGAACACAUUGAACUGGGCUCACCCAUGAACUGUCUGAUAUUGGGUAUAUGAUUCCAGCAUCUAACCAUUUGAUGAUUUUCUUCUUCACCACUUCUUUCAUGAUAGGGUUCAACCUUCUCUGGUGCUCAACUGAAUUGCUGGAGCAAUCUUCUAGCAGAAUUUUAUGCAUGCAAAUUGAUGGGCUUAUCCCCUUUAUAUCUGCCAUGGUUCAUCCAAUUGCUCUUCUGUAUUUUCUAAGUAAAUCUACUAAACUUUGUUCUUGACAUGCAUCCAAAGUAGAAGAGAUGAUUACAGACAGUGUGUUAUUUUGACCAAGAUAAGCAUAUUUUAAAUGUGAAGAUAAUAAUUUCAAUUCAAGACUAGGAGGUGAUUCAAUAGAUGGUAAAGCUAUUUUUACUUCCCUGUCUAAAAGAUUCAAAUGCUCAAUAAACCUGGUGUGCCUAUCCGAUUGUUUUUCUUCCAUCCAAUCUGUCUGAAUUGCUGCAACAUCUUCCUCUUCUGCAUCAUCAAAGGUAUUGACUCUGUCAAAUGCUUUACUGCAGCAUCUAUCCAUUCUGUCUGCUACAAUAAAAUCCACUACACUCAGGAAGUUGUAGUCUUCUACUUCAUCAGGGUUUCUCAUAGCUUCUAGUACAUUAAAUGUGACUUGCUGAUUAUUCACUCUUAUUGUGAGCUCUUCUUUAUGAACAUCUAUCAGAGUCUUUCCAGUUGCUAGGAAAGGUCUUCCAAGUAUAAUGGGUACCUCUUUAUCAGCUUUAAAAUCCAGUACAAUGAAAUCCACUGGAAAGAUGAAUUUAUCAACCUUCACCAGUACAUCCUCUAUUUUUCCUUCAGGGUAUGCAUGAGAUCUGUCAGCCAAUUGCAGAGUGACUGUUGUUGGUCUGCAUUCCCCUACUCCAAGCUGUUUAAAUACAUAUAAUGGCAUCAAAUUAAUGCUAGCUCCCAAGUCACAAAGUGCUCUGCCAGCAUACCUUGUCCCUACAGAGCAAGGUAUUGUAAAACUCCCUGGAUCUUUCAAUUUUGUGGGAAUUUUACUCUGGAGCAUAUGACUGUUCUCCUGUGUUAAAGCAACAGUUUCAAACUCUCCCAGCCUUCUUUUUCGUGCUAAGAUAUCUUUUAGAAAUUUCACAUAAUUUGGCAUUUGUUCUAAAGCUUCUACAAAAGGUAUAUUUAUGUGUAGUUGCUUCAGCACUUCCAGGAAUUUGCUGAACUGCUUGUCUUGUUUUUGCUUCUGGAACCUUUGAGGGAAAGGUGGUGGAUGUCUAAACUGCUGAUUAGAUUCAGGAGGUACCAAACUUUGUUUGUUUAGGGUGGUGCAGGUUGUGGCUACUGGUAUGGCAGCUUCCUUUUCAGCAUGAUCUGAUUGCAUUUCUUCUGCAGUUGUUGUAGCUUGGCCUAAUAAUUCAGUGUCUUGAUGGGGAUUUUUCUGUAGCACACUUCCCUUUUGAGUUGGUUUUUGUGCUUAAUUGCAUUCCAUCCCCUUUUUAGUUAUCUCAACUAGUAUAUCAACAUUUUUUCCAGAUCUCAAACUAAUUACCUUGCAGUGUUCCUUGCUCUCUCUCCUAGGAUCUUCUGUGUUGCUAGACAGGCUCCCUUGAGUUCUGCUACUUAUUGUUGUAGCUAGUUGUCUCAUUUGGUUCGCAAGGUUUCUUAAGGAUACAGCUUAACUCUGCACAAUUGCUUCAUUCUUUGCAAUAUACUCAUUGAUCAGUGUUUCUAAUGAAGUGAUUGGAUCCUGACUGAUUUGUUUUUGCCCUUGACUCUACUGAUGAAAACCAGGUGGCUGUGUGUUUCUAUUAUGUCCAUUGAAUGCUGGAGCAUUUCGAUUCUAACUGCUCCAUGAAAAAUUUAGGUGUUGUUUCCAGCCUGGGUUGUAAGUAUUUGAAUAUGGGUUGUUCUGAGGUUGUAGAUUGAAGUUACCCACAUAGUUUACUGAGGCUGGAUUUCCAGGAUAAUUAUCAAAAUCAUGUUCUUCACCACAGUAGACACAAGAAAAUUCAGUAACUGGCUUUACUAUUGCUGGAACAGCUGUCAUGGCUUUUACCAUGUUAGUCAAUGAGGUUACUUGCUGUACCGUACAUCCGCCUUGGCCGUACAGCAGACAACAAGUAAUAUAAUAAUGAGUAUUCAAGAUNNNNNNNNNNNNNNNNNNNNNNNNNNNNNNNNNNNNNNNNNNNNNNNNNNNNNNNNNNNNNNNNNNNNNNNNNNNNNNNNNNNNNNNNNNNNNNNNNNNNNNNNNNNNNNNNNNNNNNNNNNNNNNNNNNNNNNNNNNNNNNNNNNNNNNNNNNNNNNNNNNNNNNNNNNAGAGCUCCAUUUGCUGAAGCAUCCACCAUUAACCUUGUACUCGGAUUCAACCCAUUGUAGAAAGUUUCUAAUUGAAUGCAACAAGGGAUACUAUGAUAAGGACACCUUCUGAGCAAUUCCUUGAAUCUUUCCCAAGCCUCAUACAGACUUUUAUCUUCAAGUUGGUGGAAUGAAGUAAUCUCAUUCCGCAACUUUGCAUUUUUUUUCGGUGGGAAAUAUUUCAUUAAGAACUUAUCAGCCAAUUCAUUCCAUGUAGUGAUGGAAUCAGAUGGUAACGAAUUUAACCAUGCUCUUGCUCGAUCUCUUAAAGAAUAAGGGAAGAGCCUCAGCCUUAAGGCAGUUUGUGUUGCUCCAGCAAUCUUGAAAGCAUCACUCACUUCCAAGAAUAAUUUGAGAUGGAGAUGAGGAUCUUCAUUAGGCAAUCCACUGAAUUGUCCCACUGUUUGUAACAUUUGAAACAUCACUGGUUUUAACUCAAAAUUUGCUGCUUCUACCUCAGGUUUGACGAUCCCAGGGUGUACAACUUGCGAAGUUAGUACAGCGUAAUCUCUUAUAACUUUGUCUCUAUCAUCAGCCAUGUAAAUAAUAUUGUUGUUGCCUGGCUGUCUCCCGUUAGCAUGUUCAUUCUGUUAUUCUUGAAUGUUGACUGGUUGUAGAGGCCCGUGAGGAUUCAAAUUUUGUGCAUCCUGUAAAUUAUUCAUGCUUGAAGCAAUUUCUUAAUUCCUUUGUUCUCUUCGUAGUUUCCUGGCAGUCCUUUCAAUCUCAUGAUCGAAUUGGAAUGCCACAAAUCUGUCUUUGCGCAUGCAUGUACCGAUCUACCAAUAAAUAGAAUGAAUCAAAUCAAAUUUGGCGCUAUCAAGAUUUACUUCACACUUCAAAAAUAAACAAUCAACCCCCGGCAACGGCGCCAAAAACUUGUUGGUAAAUUUCUAUAAGCAAUUAUUAUCAAUGCCAAUGUGCAAGUAUACACAACAAGUAAUAAAGUGAUGAGUAUUCAAGAUCGUCUCCACAGGGAUUGAUGUUACUCGAAAUAAGCCAAGACACAAGGGCUCCCUGCAAAGCCAAUAAGGGACUAUUAAUGUUGAACAUGUCAUCAUUUCCCCAAAUGUAGGAACAAACAAGGUAAAAACUAAAAACUGCUGUACCGUACAUCCGCCUUGGCCGUACAGCAGAAUAAGUGCUGUAGCAAUGGGUAGAAUAAAUUUGCAUCCGCAGCUAUCGCUACGAUUGGAGGUUAAUUUGCGCACGCAAGCUCACUUAGUACUCAAGGCAGGUACACUUAGAAGUGGGGUUAACUUAGAAAUGAACCACCAAGACAACUAACUAGCCGUGGUGCGAUUAGCAACCCAAGUCCGGCCCAAGAUCUAGAACUCUCUACAUAUUACUCAUUCACUAGAACAUUCUAGGACUCACCACUUGGGUCCCUAAAUAUUUUGCCACUUUUAGUAGAGUUCUCUAGAAUUAAGCACUCCACCCCCUAUAAAUAAGAGUGAGCACCCAUCAUUUGUACCACCAACACACCCACACAACACAUCUAGCACACAAGCUCUCUUGUACAAACACCCUUGUAAUCUUUCUAAGUGUGUAUAAUACAAUCAUACUUGGCCAUCCUACUCUUGCUUCCUAUAACAUUUUCUACAAGUGUGUGUGCUUGGCUUGUUUGGGGAGUAAUCAAGGCUUACUUGGUGACUCACGCGCUAAGGUCGCUCAAGUGCCGCACGGGACUUUGCUGCGCAAAAUUAUCAUCCCGUGACAUUAAGAUGCAUUGCUAAUAUCAUUGAACAAUAAUGAUGUUAAGGUUUCUAUAAGUCAUGAAUAACACCUAACAAUAUUUCAUAACCAUCCAAAUAACAAGAAUUGCUGGAUCUAUAGAACCUCUUCUAAUUGUUUCUCUAUGUCCUAGUCUUUUCAUCAUCCAUGCUCAGAGGAAAGCAUGGCUUCUGGUUUAGAGUGUUAAGCACUUAUGCUUUAUCUCAAAAUAAAUGUAAAUGAACUUGACAUGAAAAAUAUAAUUUGAAAUCCUUCAAAUACAUUUCACCUUACCCAAUGAUUUCUCAUGCCAAUUCAUAUUAACUUAUAGGGGAUAUCCUUUUUGUUUGUUACAAAGUGAUGAAUUUCAUAUUGGUCGUACACUUGUCUCCAUACAUAACUAACCAUGAUAGCUACAGCUGAAUCUCUUCCUUGAUUCGGAAUCAAUUCUUAUGCUUUCACAUAUCAUAAAUGUCUAUGUACAAGACAUCUGUGAUGCCUCAUGUCUAAAGACCAUUAUUAAAUAUAGUAUCUAUUGCAAUGUAUAAUAAGCUAUUAACACUCAAUACCAUAUGACUUAUUAUUAUUAGGUCAAGUUAAGUAAACUUGUUCUUACAACAAGUAGCUAUGUGUUUGACUUGGUAUAUCAUGUCAAUGAUAUGAAACUUACCAUCCAUUUUAGUAAGCAUACCAUAAAAGAGUCAUAACAUAUACUAGUGUUUAUAGAAAUUUUCAAUGUCCAAUCAUAAAUCUACCACUAGAAACUAUUUUAGAAUUAUAUUACAAAGGAUACAUGUUUCAUAUUCUUGACAAUAUCGAGAUUGUGUUCCGUAACUAUUUUACUUCUUGGACUAAAUUUUGUCAUUUUAUAAAUAUUAAAAUACUAAUCAAAUACAAUAAUUCCCUAAAAGCAAGCGCCACUCGAUUGGCCUUUAAGGCAUAUCACUAACACAAGCAUACAAAAGCUAUUAUCCAACUUUCUAACAUAAUUUUUUCAAUAAUUGGAUAGACAAGUUCUUUUCUUAUGGUUCAAAUUUGAAUUGUCAAAUUGAUUGAAUGAGCAAAAUAAUCUUGGCUUGGAGAUCAAGGCAUGUGUAAUUACUCUUGAUUUUAACUCAAUUCUUUAUUAUCACAAUUUGGGGCCUAAAGGGACCUGAUGACCUUUGAAAUAGAAUUUGUUUUAGUAAUUGUUGGAAACCAUCAAUUAUCUUUGACAUGUUCGAGUGGUUAAAGGUUAAGGAGACACAUUUAAGAUAUCUGUGCAAGGUCAUUUUGUGUUGUCAACGCGAUCUUUUGGGCUCAUCAAUUUUAUGAAGAAUAGUUAAGUGGAUACAAUGAGUAGAGUUGCUGCCACUAGGGAUGGCAUUUUUUCUUAUUAGGAUAGAAUCAUGUGGGAUCCCAUCUUGUUUGGGACAUGAUUUGGACAUAUUUUUGUUCUAAAAAAAUAAAGAGUCGGGAACGAGGUAUUUUUUUUUAUCGCACUUGUAUAAUCAGGACAAGACUGAGAUUGACAAGUCCCGUCCCAUCCCAUCCCAUCCUAUUGCUAAUCCUAUUGGUUUGGUUUAUUAUUAUAUUAUUGAAUUAUUAGAUAUUUUAACAUAGUUGAGGUUGGUUACUGUCCAAAUAUAUUGUUUUUGAAGCGUGAAUCUUAAUAUAAAUGUGUAAUGGAAGUAAUAGGCAAUUAAAAAAUGUUAGCCUAAAAUUAUAUUCGAACAUGCAUGUAGUUAAAAUAAAACUAUUAUUUGAUUAUUCUACUUUAUAUUUAUUCAAGAUUUUUACUAUAUUGAAUUAUGAUGAGCCUUAAAAGAGAAAAUUCAUAAUUUAUUUAUUUACAUUUGAGACUGUUCAUGAUAAUAAAAUAGGACGAGAUAUUUAAUGGGACGAGAUUAUAACAAAUUUUUGUCACAAAAAAAAUAAAUAAAAGGACAGAAAUGAAUUUUUUUUUAUCCCAUCUGCAUAUACAGGACGAGACUAAGAUAUCGUUUUUACAUCAGUUUUACAACUCAUUUUCUCUCUCAUUAUAAAAAAUUUUCACAACACACCCCCACAGAUAUCUCAUCUCUUUCACCAUACUUGGCUUUUUUUUUUUUUCAAAAGAAGAGUUUUGUAUAUAACUUUCAUGUGAAAAAUAAAUAAUUAAUGAAAAAAAUACUUGGCCUUUUCUUUUGGCACAUGGGAUUUACCUUAUUAAAGGUUUUGUAAUUUUUUUUCGUAAGAAUUUUGCAUAUUCUUCUUAAGACAUGUCUAUUUUUAAAUUUCUUUUUCAUUUAGAAUUGCCUUAAACCUAAAAAAAGUAGUAUAUAUUCGAUGUGCUUUCAAAAGCGAGCCACACCCUACUUGGUCAUGUAGAGUUAAAAAUUGAGAGAGAGAACUUGUCUAUAGAACAGUAAGAGAAGUGUUGUGCAAGGGAUUUAUCCAUUAUAUUAGAGAAAAAUGUAGGAUAAGAGGAGUCUAACUAGAGGGCAGUUUUGGAAUCGUUGGGUGUUAUUCGAUGUUUUUUUUUUCUUAUAACUUUAUAAACUUUUAAAUGAGGUACAUUUAGGUGGUGUUUGUUUUUUUGUCUGAAAUCUGAAUAGACCUGAAUUAGUCUGAAUUCUAAAUUGGUCUGAAUGUCUGAAUCUGAAUAAUAUGUUUGUUUUUUCGUCUGAAUCUCGAAAAAUAAGUAUUAAGUUGUUUUUUUUUCAAGUUAAAAAGCUGAAAAUAUGUACUUUUACAUUUGUAUCCUUAUUAAAUUUGAAUGUCAAAUAAAUAAUAUAUUAAAUACCACAAUAUUUUAACAUUUAUAAGUAAAAUUAUAUUCAAUUGAAUACAUAAUUAUUUUGGAAUUUUAAUAUAUAAAAUACCAUAAAUUUCAAAUUUUAUCGUAUAUAAUAUAAGAAAGAAAAAACAGAGAUAUUUUUAUGUGGGGUAAAUAUCUAUGGGUGAGUUUUGGGAUAGACAUGAAAAAUAAAUUAUAAAACAGGGAUAUUUUUGACAUUAGCAAGUAAUUGACUUAAUUCAGAUUUCUCCAGUAAGUAAAAAGCCAAAAAAAUUAGCUUAUUUUAUUAAGUCAAAUUAUCUAAAAAUUCUCAUUAAGUUAUAAAAACAAACACCUCUAAUUAACUUAAUUAAUUAAGUUAAGUCACUUUAAGUCAUUAAGUUAAAAAACAAACGCCACCUUAGUUAGGAGAGGGGUUUUAUGAGUUAAAAUUUUGGGUGUCAAAGCCUCAACUCGGCCACAAUGUAAGCCUGCGUACAUAGAGUAAUCAUGGACAUGAUUGCUCUAUUCUGGCAAAUAUUUAAAAAAAAAAGAGAGAAAAAUGGAAAAAAAAAAAUCUCUUUCUCUGUAAUUAUAUUUUUUUAAUCAUAAUGACCCAUGAAGACUGUUGACUGCUGUAAUCAUCAGCUUCAAAACAUUUUUAAAUUACAAAUGGUUGUAAUAGUAGGUUAGAGUCAUUUCAUUGCCUUCAGACUUCACUUAUUGAUUGUCCUUGGACGAUUGGACAUUCAAUUCGAUACAUUCGUGAUCCAAAGCUUUGCACAAACAUUGAAAAUCAUGAUUCCUGAAGAGAAGUACCUAAUAAUAAAGGAUACAUAGCAGGCAACUUCUGAUAUAAGAACCAACAUUUGAUGAUGUACAAUAAGCUGAUUGUGCAGGAUUAACAAAAGGAGGACAAACUUAUUAAGAAUUCUCCCUGAUUAUCUACAUUCUAAAGUAUUUGUUAGUUCGUUGUUUGAUUCUGGUUUAUUAGAAGAAGAUGCCGAGCUAGAAGAUCCUCUCCUGAUGACAAAGGCUGGUCGUUUAGGAGUUGCAAGGUUCAUAGCUUCACUGCCAAGCAUGAUAACAACAUCAGACAUCGUGGGACGAUCGUUUGGAUCUUCCUGCACACAUAAGAGCCCAACAUUUAUGCACUUUAAGAUUUCAUUUGGUUUGGAGCUGGCAUGUAGUUUCUGAUCCAUCAUAUCUAAUGCCUUGCCUUCUUGCCACAAUUUCCACGCCUGCAAGUUUAAAAUAGAACUUGAUAAGAAGUUUAAAAAUAGACAAAACAGUGUGAAAAUUUCUUCUCUACUUACGUAACCUAGAAGGCUCAAAGCUUGUUCUGAAUUAUAAAAUCCAGUGUUUCUUUUUCCACUGAUAAUCUCAAGCACAACUACGCCAAAGCUGAAAACAUCGGACUUGACUGAGAAAAAUCCAUCUAAUGCAUACUCUGGAGACAUAUAGCCACUGCAUUAUAACAGACAUUGUGAUUUUUCACUUAUAUUAGUUAGACAAGUUGAAUACAAUUUCCAUAAUUUAUUGCAUCAGGAACCUGAAAUCUGUGUAUACGAUAAAAUUAAAACUUACUAAGUUCCAACCACUCGAUUUGUGGUUCCCUCAGUUUGUUUGCCUUUGAAAAUCCUUGCCAAGCCGAAGUCAGAAAUUUUAGGAUUCAUCUCCUGAUCCAGCAGAAUGUUGCUCGUUUUCAAGUCUCUAUGAAUAAUUCUCAACCUAGAAUCUUGGUGAAGAUAAAGAAGACCUCUAGCAAUUCCAAUAAUGAUGUUGAAGCGCAUCUCCCAGUGCAAUAGCGCACUAAGCAUAGGAUCUGAAAAGGUUUUCAUUUCACGUACAAAAGCCUUAACGUUAGCGACUAUGGUUGCAUUACGGUUGCUAGUUUCUAUCUAUCAAAAUACACUAAAUUGUUGUGUUGACUUGAAGACAAUUAGGACAUGGGUUAAGGACUUACCAAAUAUGAAAAAGUCCAAGCUUUUAUUGGGCAUAUAUUCAUACAAUAAAAUCUUUUCGUGCCCUUCUAUGCAGUAGCCCAAAAGCCUAACAAGAUUGCGAUGCUGAAGCCUAGCAAUCAGCACAACCUCAUUCUUAAACUCCUCCAAACCCUGUCCUGAAGCACUUGAGAGCCUCUUUACAGCAAUUUGUUGACCUCCAGGAAACUUAGCCUGCAAUCACAAUUAUUACAUGCAUAAUUAUAUUGAUGACUAGAAACUUGCUUCAAUGGAUACUAGUGUGUCUUGUGAGUACUACCUUGUAAACAGGCCCAAAUCCCCCUUUUCCAAGUUUAUUUGCUUCUGAGAAAUUAUCUGUAGCAGCUAAUAUGCUUUCAAAAUCAAUGAAAGGUAAAUCUAUGCCUUGCUUCUCUUCUUCUUUGAACUGGUCUGAGUCUACUACCAUGUCUUUGACGUGCCUCGCACUCUCAUAAAAGGGAGCUGCCAUAUUUGGUCGAUUGAUCGAUCUGCCUUUUGAAUUCAAAAAAUCAUUUUUAUAAUCAUAGUCUCAUGCAAUUUAAAUGGAAGAACACCUAAUAUUGUUUAGCUCUUGUUUUAGUAGAACAAUGUGCACAAUGCAUAUUAGUUACCUUGACUAUUGAUUCUUUUCCUUCGAGUGUAGAAAUAAAUAAUUAUGCAAGACAGAAUGAUCCCACUAGCAAUAGUCAUUCCAAAAAUCAGAGUCCAUUGGUGCUUCUUUCUUCCAUUAAAGGCUUCAACUUGCUGGGUGGAACCGCCUUCUGUCUUAUUCUCUGCACUUUCUGAAAGAAUAAUACUAAUCUGACUAAGAAUAACCAUGUAAGGGGUUCUUUAAUUUUUGCAGUCAAAACCCAUAUGUUGUUGCAUUGACAAUAAACUAUAUUGCUGGGUCAUGCCUUGGAAAGCAAGUCAUUUUACUCAAGAGUGGUACAUACAUCAUGACCUUUUUCGUGCAAACCUUGAGUACAAUUGAAGGCAAUAGCCAUUUUCAGACUAAUGCUUAUACGGGUCAUAAUAUAGUAUGCAGUUUGCUGACAACUUUGUUCAUAAAACAAGAGAAAAAUCAUGGCCAAAGUGGGAAUGAGUACUAGAAAAGGAGAGAUUAAAUUAUACUACGAUAACUUUGAUAUUGUCACUGUACUGUUUGCAAUUAUGAUUGAACUAGCCUGGCACUUUCCACAAUUAUUCUAAAAGUGUGAGAGAUACCUAAGUCAGUAGCUGCCACACGGAUGUAGAGUUCAUGACCACCAUUAGAAAAAUCUUCCCGAAGGUCCUUGAGUUCCUCUAUCCAAAUGUAGCAUGUGCCAGCUUCAUCUCUUCGUUUUGAUUCUUUAUAUGAAUAUGCCGUGCACGGGCAAAAUCCACGGCACUGCUUCGAGCACUCUGCUUCGCUUACGACCAGUAAGCAUGAAUCCGUUUUCCCAACUUUUGUAAUCUGCCUCUUCAAGAACAUGUCCUUUCCACCGCACAAUGCAGUUUUUCUGAUGCAGCCGCCCAAAAAAUCUUCUGAACUCCAACUUUCAGGUGAAGAAGGCACAAAGCCUUGCAAACAUUGGCACUUCCGCUUAUGGUUACUGUUACAGAUGCCAAAAUUUCCGCAGUAAUGAAAAAGACUGCAGUUGUCUCUUGGUUCCCUCCAAAUCAAAGACCACCCCUUCACUUUAUCUUCAAUCCAAUACUGUAUCUCCCCAGUGUAAUUCAUGAUCAACCUCGUUCUAGAAUAGUCUAUUGGGGUAACAGUUAAGUUAUUAUGGACAGAUUUCUCACCGUCGGGAUUGACACUCUGGCUGAAAUUUGAUAACAAGUGUAAUAUUUGAUAAGGAAUAAUUUCAUUUGGGCUAAAGACAUCCUUGAACUCUGCACUUCUCCAAUGCCGAAUAAGCGGUUUCGUGAUUUGGUACUGAUUUUUUCCUUGAUCCAUCUUAAAAGUGAAAUUCCCAGGCUUUGGAUCGUCGUGACCAGCCCAUGAAGUCAAAUAAAGAUUUUCGCCCAUACACAUGCCGGCAAGAAAUGUAUCCGUUGGGUAUUUGAAGCUCUCCCAUAGAUUUUUUCUAACCUGAUCAUCUUGUAGAACAAAGUUUCCAGAAUCCAUGAGCUUUGCCACUCUGUGUGGAGAUGAUGAACUUUCAACUUCUGUAUACCAGUACGGGGUUCCACUUUCAUCUAAUAACUUGAGAUUUCCAUCUUCUGCAAUAGCUAAAACUCCACUUUUGUAAACCAGGGGAUUUUCUCUGUUGGCAACCCACAAAAAUAUUCUUGGAUUUGACUUGUAAUACCAUAUUCCUACAUAUCUUGGCCUUGGGAUACCCUCAGCCUCAGGGCUAUCAGCUGGGGAAAAGAACCCGAGUUCGAAUCUUUCUCCGGCUGACACAAGAGUUUGUCCAUCACUGAGCAAACUGCUAGAUGUUAUGUUAUCUCUGGCAGAACCAUGUGGAAGAAAAAAGCAUGACAAAAUUGCAUAGAUAAUGAAUAUCGCAGAUGGUAGGUGAUUAUCAGACCAUCUACUGAUGAUUCUUCUCUGGAAUCUCUCUCUUCUACCCACCAUUUCGAAAUAAUUCAAAAUUUUGUUCGUCAAUGGACAAGUAGCUCUGCAUUUCACAUACAUUUGCUACCACAUGCUUUUCGAUGGACGCUUAGGCAAUUGCCUCCUUGAGCCUCCACUGCGUCGUUUUUCCCUGGAUCGUUAGCUCAUUAAUUUACUUGACUUCCAUCUUGGAAAUUUUAGUAACCCUAUUAAAUUAUUUUUAGCAUCUUUCCUCAUUUUGGAUAUGCUUACUUGCUUAGUUUGUUUUUCCACCAGCCAGUGGAUGGUAUCCUCAUGUUUUCUACUCAAAUUGACAACAACGUCUAAUUCAAUAUCCAUGCACUUUUUUUUUUUUUAUAAACUAUGUAUCCUCAAAUUAAUUAAGAAAGCAACUACUGUUUUUAAGAAAAUUAGCAUGUAUAUUCAGGUGUAGUAAGUGAAUAAAUAAAUAAUUAUGUUUUAAGAAUAUCAAAGAUCUUUUCUUAUUCUUAAAGUUGUCCUCCACUCUGAAUAGAAAUUUAUUUUAAUAUUAUUAAAAAAUCUUCGAAAUUAUCUGGCCCUUUUUCGACAUUCAAUUUUGAGCUGUUUAUACAAAAAUAUCAAGUUUGAUUCUUCCUCAAUCUUUCGCCAAAGAUUUCUUUGAAGAACUUCUCCCUGAGUUCCAACUUUUUUAAUUGAAAAAAUGUUUUAUUUUAGAAAAAUAAACAAAUUAAAAGACGUAGCAUAACUAGUCAAUAGAAAAAAAAUAUUAGGGCGAUUGAGCAAUUUAAGUGGUAACGUGUUAAAAGUUGCGCCAGCUGGGUGGUGGGAACCUAGUCAAGGUCAUCUGGGUUUGUCGGUUUCGCAUUGGAUGGUCCUCGCCAUUUUGUGAUGUAGAGAAACCUCUGACUCCCUUUCAUUGGAAUUAUGUUCCAUGACAUGACGCCCGACGACCUUUCUUAAACAAUUGACGCUGCCUAAGUGCAAGGGCUAAGAGAUAAUGCUUAGGCCUAAUAAUUGGUAGUGGUUUGGUAUCGUGUUCUUCUCAUGUUGUAUUUGGGUCCCUCUAUCUUACAUGCAUGUAAGAUACACUCCCCUCACAUGAAUAGUGUGUGGGUCCCAUACAUAUACUAUUCAUGUGAGGGGAAUGUAUCUUACAUGCAUGUAAGAUAGAGAUUGCCGUUGUAUUUUAGUUAUAUAUAUCUAAAUUUAUUUAUUGAUUUAUUGGGUUGAAAAAUAAAAUUAUCAAUUCAUUUGUUAUCAUUAUUGUGUUACUCGAACUAACCCAUGUAAUUCUCUAUUUCUGUAUUGUAUCUUUAAUUUAAAGCGAAAAUAGCAAUUUGUGAAACAAAACUCUUUAAGAAUACAAUAUCAAACAAAAGAAAAUAUUAAUAUUCUCAUGUUUGACAUCAUCAAAUAAUGUACAAAAAAUCAACUAUAGUUCUAGGCACCAAUAUCAUUGAUUAAAAUCUUAGAAGGAACAAAUUAUAGAAAAAGAAUUGUCUUGCAUUAGAAGAUACAGUUGUAUAGUUAUGAUUAUAAAAAUUUUACCAUAAGUAGUUAAAAAUUUUACAAUUUAUCAUAACUUUACGUAAUUAGUCAAUUUAAAGUUAAUUUAUUUUUCUUUAAAAAUUUAUAAAUUAAGUUAUAAAAUUUAUUAAAUUGUAUAUUAAAUGUUAAUGAGAGAAAUUAAUUUUUUAUCAUAAACCCAAACUUGACUCUUUAUGAAAUAAAUUUUAAUGAGUUGACCGUUGACAACCUGACCCAAUAAAAAUUAACCCAUCAAACAUGUUUAUCGUGUAAAUUCGUAUCAUGUUAAUUAGUGGUAUAAACUCUUGCCGUGCCCAAUUCUACUUUCAACAUGCACACAGAAGCUCUUAUCCAAGUUCCUAACUUGUAAUUUUUUCAAUAAUUCAAUUGACAAGUUCUUUUCUUAUACAUAACCCAACUUUGAAUUGAGCAAUCAAGAUUAAAAUGAUUAAGAUUGAUGAAGUCUUUAAUCAAAGUACUUAGGCCAUAUAAUGAAUUGAGCAAAGAGUAAACUUUCUGGAAACAAACGAAUUCCAAUUAACUCAGAAAACGAUCAACCGAUAUUUUCUAGAGAGGAAUUUUUUAUUCUGGAAAAUAACGAUGAAUCAUUUAUGAGAAAACUGCUAACCAAUAUCUUCCAAAGAUGAUUUUUUAUUGCGGAAAAUAACAAUGAACUUUUUACUAUAUAACAACUAACCGAUAGUUUCCAGAAAUGAGUCUAUUUUGCAAAUAAUUCUUUUGAAGAUCACUGGAAAAUAAUGGCGAUCCAACUUCUGAAAAACGAUGAUCCGACAAUUUGAAAUUACAACAUAACAAUCAUUUGCUCAGGUCAAAACGACAAUCCGACAGUAACUACAACGACCUGAUUAUGUGCAGAAGGUCAAUAACAACUAAUUUUUCAUCUCCAACUAUAAAAAGAAUCAAUCAAAUUCAAAUUUAACAAGAUUCUAUAAUUUAUCAUUGAGCUUGUCAUUGUAUAUUCAAUUUCUCUUAUGCUUAAAACUUGUUAUUCUUUCAUUAAAUCACACUUUGCGCUUUCAUUUGUCAACACAUAUAUUAUGUGAGGGAAACUCUUUGUAAUCUUCAUUUUUGAGUGAUUAUAAGUGUGAGAAGCAUUUGAAAUAAGAGGUCUGGGAUAAACUCAGAUUGUAAAGGUCGAUUGACACCUUGAAAGUCAAUUAUAAAGAUUUUGAAGCCUUAAGGUGUAAAGCUUGAAUAGUGAAAUUCUCAAGUCCAGUAAACUUGGAGACGUGGACAUAGAUGGAGUUUGCCAAACCACGUAAAAUCCCGUGUUCGAUUCUCUUUCCCUUCUUUGUUUAUAUUUUAAUUUUUUAUAUUAAUUUAAUUAUUAUUUUUUGAGUUUAUUGGAUAUUUGCAUUGAUAUUGUUUUAAUUAUUUCAUAAGUUUUCAUAAAUGAAUUAUUUUCAAAACUUAGAGAUAAAUUAGAAAAUGUUUUUGAGAUAUUUGAAAAUAACAAGCAUGAAAUCCUGAAAAAUAGGCUUAAUUGAGUUUCACAUCGUUUUUGUCAAAUUUGAGCUUAUGGAAUUUAAACGAUGAACCGCCAAGAUUACCAUUAAUUUUGACAUACAUACCAUUAAACAUGAAGCCCUCUCAAUCGAAAACAGUUAGCCCCUUACUCACAAAGACUAACUGUUUGUAAACAGAUACCCUCUCACUCAAAAAUAGUUAGCUACUUACUCAUAACGGCUAACCGUUUACAAACAAAAACCCUCUCAAUCGAAAACGGUUAGCCGCUUAAUGAUAAUGGCUACCCGUUUGCAACUUCGUGUCUUUGCUUCUAGCUAAUAUCAUUAAGUUCCCUUUUAGUUUAUUUAAAUUACAUCUUACCCAAGACUUCCUACAUUAAUAUUAUAAGAUCGGCCAAUUUUUUUGUUUUCCUUAUUUUAGUUAUUGCGAUGGUUGAAGUCGGAAAUCUAAGAGCAUCUCCAAAAGGGUCUUUAAAUUUUACUCUUCAAAUUUCAAUUUGCUUACUGAUGUGGCAAAUAAGUGUAUAGAAAAAUAUAAUCCCCUCCAAAAGGCUCAUCAAAUAAGAAUAAAUUAAUAUUAUUUUAAUCAAAUCUUUCCCAUUAUCAAAUGGAAUUGUUAUUAUAUUUUUUAAAAGAAACAUAAAUAAUAAUUAUUGUAGUCUUAUCUUUUCAAUAAAUAAUAAUAAAAUAUUAAUAGAAGAGGGAGAAACUCACUCGGCAAUAUUGAAGAGUGAGAAAUAAAUCUUAUUUGAAGAAUCUAAAUUAACGUGUCUUUUGGAGUGUUUAAUAUUGAUAUGGCUCUUCAAAUAAGAAGUAGAAUCUUAUUUGAAGAGCCUUUUGGAGAUGCUCAAGGCUCCGUCAAUUCGAUAUCAAUAAUGCCCCGAUUAGCGUGUUCAAAUUAAUUAAUAUUAUCAUUUUCGGUUCCUUCGAAUUUCCUAAUUGUUGUCGUGUUCAAGUCACACUAAUGAACUAUGUCACAAAUUAUCACAUUUGUUUGUAAUUUAAACAACUAUAAUAAUAGUUAAUAUUCGAGUUUAUAGUUCUCAUUAAUAACAUAUUGACUUAUUUUUUCACUAAUAGAAUUGUGCUAUAUAAGUCCUAUUUUUAAAAUGGGGGCAGAUCAUCAAUCCCUAAAAAUGAUUUUAUUUUUAUGUUUCUUAAUAUUUAUUGAACCAAUUAACGGAUGGAAUUUUUUAAAAUUAAAUAUCCAGAUCAUUUUUAAUAUUUUAUCUCUUCGCAUCAACCUCACCCGAAUUACUCUCUCUUUUCUUCCACUUUUUAGCUUUUGAAUGUGCUCUCUCUCCCUCCCUUUUUUUUUUUUUCUUCAAUCAGUAACUCCUUUUUUUUUUAAUUUGAUAUUUUUCUCAACAACCCAUAAAAUAUCGAACCAUGAAUUUUGAUUCGUUUGAUAUCCCAGUUGCCUCGUUUAACAUUUUCUCACAUAAAAGUAUUCUAGAAGAGAGGUGCACGCACGAAGGCUUUUCAGUUUUGAGAAAAAACUCAAUCGUCUUGAGUGCUGGAAAUGGCUUGUGUUAUAUUCGAAGUCCAGUCCAUAACAAAUGACUUGAUCAUGUCCCAACAAUCGUGAUCAUGCUACAUUGAAUUCUACUUGCACAAUUGGGACGUCGGAUUGUACUUGUACCUAGUCAACUGCAGCAUAUUGAAUACACUAUGCUGAUACUCCAUCACAUACGUUUCCAUUUAUUACAACAAAAUACCUUAAAUUUUCCUAAACUGGUUGAUGAACAUAAGUAUCCAUCCUUUUAUUGGGAGAUCUUAAAGUAAUAAUAAGAAUAAUAGUAUUCCAUAGUAAUAAUAAACAAGAAAAUUUUCUAAUUACUGAAAUGAAUAUUAAUAACAAGACAACAUCUCUAGUUAUGUAUCACAGGACCUUUAACAGCUUGACGACAGAUUGAUAGGCUCACCACACAGCUGCUCCAAUUCACUUUCCAGAAGUUUUAACAAGUUAGCUUUAGUGCGUCUAUAUACCCAGCCUUGUGCACCCGUAUCCCAAUCAAACCUGGAUGGACCGCUGCAAACAGGAGUAUUUUCCUUCAGACUAACUAAAAGAAGAUAGUAGAAAAUGCACAAAAUGAUCGAAUAUGUGACUGUGCGUCUGGUAAGUUUCCCACUUGGGAGCUAUGCCUCAGGCCCACAGCUCCUCAAAUGGACACUAGCAUGCAUGGUGCCGGCAACUCAGAAAAUGCUAAAUAGAAAUUUGAAUAAACAAACAUGGAUCAGGGAAAUUGUCAGCCAUCUACCCAAAAAUUAUCCUUUUAUCAAAAAUACUACAAAGCUUCAGAUUUGUUCGAUUUUCCACCCAUUAUUUACAAUGUUCAUCCGCUGUCAACCAAAAAGACAGAAUUAUCCUUACAAAAUAGCUACUACUAUAAUUUGUGUUUGCUUUUGAUUUAUCAUUUUGCAAGGAUAAUUCUGUUUUUUUGGUGGAUGGUCGAUACAAAUUACAUACAGUAGAUGCAAAAUUGAACAAAUUCAAGCUUUUGUAGUAUUUUUGAUAAUGAGGUAACCUUAGGGUGGAUGGCUGAUAAUUUUACAAUAAAUACUACCUCCUUUAAAAACAAAACAAAACAAACAAAGCAAAACAAAAUGAAAGCAGAAAACAAAACCAGUCCACAGGAAAGUCAUCAAUAUGAUCGACCACAAUAAUACCUCACUGGAGAAGACAACCAAAUUUGCCUAUUUGGCGUUUGCUUGUUCAACACAUAAGUGCCCAAAGCCCCAAGUUUAAGGGUCAAAACCUCAUUCUGCAAAUAGUAGCAAAUUUGCAUCAGAACAUACACAACACGUACCAAAAGGAUCAAUCAACUCGAAAUGUUUCUCACCCCAUAAUCUACAUCAAAGCCAUCAAUUUGGAUGGUAUCACCGUAUUCCUGUGAGGACCAAAGAAAAGAGAGUAAAACGAUUAACACUACAGUGGAUGCACUUGCACAAAUGAUUAAGAAACAUAUAAUAACUUGGUUUAAUGGGAAGAUACCACAAAAUUUUCAGCUAAAUUAAAACAAUUACACAUUAUCCUUACUACAUGCAUUGCAAAACAGAUUGUUAUAAAGAAUAAAUAGCAUUCCCAUCCCUUGUUACAGAAAUAUGUUAUCCAGUGUAACAUUGCUGAAUAUCAAUCGCCAAAGAAGAAUGGCAGGUCAUAACUUCCAAGCUAAAUUCUGUGAGUACUAGAACAAGGACAAAACUCAUAUGCAACUAUUAAAAUGAAAAACUCAAAUAAUCAUAACGAAGAAAAUUAUAAGCAUCACAACGUUUUCAUAUCCACUUUCAUCUUUUCAAAAGGCUUCAUACAUACUUUCAAUUUUCUCUGACUCAUCAUCUCCUGAAGCACUCUUACCUUACUCAUAUCUCAACAGUGUUCAGACCUAAACCACUCAUCACAUAUUUUUAAUCCAAAAUACGGGUUAAAUAAAUCUGAAAGAGAGUUAGGUUUUCCUUGCAGUGGUGGCUUUUAUGGUCCCACCUCAUAUAAAAAUGCCCAGAGACUACUAAAUCGUCAUCAGCAAUAUUCUCUUCUUCUUCUUUUUCUUCUUCUUUAAUCUUUGUCAACAAUAACACCUUUUUGUUCCUAUCAACUUGGUUUUUCUACUAUCUUUUGCUCUUUGGAAGAGGCCAUAACAAAUUGCAGGAUCAAAGAGUUGGCAAAAAAUGACUUUAUUUGAUCACCCACCAAUUUCAGUAAGCAUAAUAGCUCAAACAGUUACAACAGCAAAUUCAUAAGGUUGUUAUAGCUAGAUAUUCAUCUCCUUCUUCACCCAACCUCCACCAUCACCGUCCUCUAUUCUUUGCCAAGAGCUACAUCAUUAUGUUUAUUAUCUUUCUGGCUUUUAUGCUAUUGCUUUUGGUUACCUUACGUCACUUUAUGAGGCCAAAUAAUUUGCAGUUAACAAGAAAUGGCUUCAUUCGUCGCAUUGUAUGAAUGAUAACUCCAAUUUUUGGGUAUGAAAAGCUAUAAGAUUAUUGGUGGCUAGACAUUCCACUCCUUCAUUACCUCACAUCACCACAUCUAAAGCAGCAAAGAAAACAAAAGCAAGAGCAGAAAAACCAAGUAGACAAAAAGCAAAAGGGUGUAGUGGUUGAGAAAGAAAGUGUAAAUGAAAAUUAUGGACUGUGGACAUAUAAUAUGAUAAGGUGGGCCACAAAUUCCAUGAUCAUUCACCAUUGCAAGGGGAAAAUAGCUCCAGUUGGGAUUAUUUUAACCCAUAUUGUGAACCAAAACAAAUGGUUCAAGUCUAAACCUUGCGGAGAAUACAAUAAGGGCAAGAGAACUAUAGGUGACCACCAAAGCCAGAUUUGAGAGACGUUGGUAGGUGGAGAAAUGUCAGGAAUGUGUAUAAAAGACAUUGCUGAGUGGAUAAAUGUCGACAACGUAUAUAGAAGAAUAGUGAGCCACUGUGAGAGUCGUUGGCGCUAAUUCUACAGCAACUUUGAGAGAGAGCAAUAUGGGCUUUGUACUAGAAAAAUAAACCAAAAAGAAUAGAGGCUUAAGGAAGUUUUGUUGGCCUUAGCAGUUUUGCUUAUGGAGUUCUUAGAAGUAAGAAUUGUAUAUUCACUGAUUAGAUUGUGUUAAACUGGCUUCCUGCUGAAUCCAAUAACGGUGGGCAGAUGAUUCCUGGUGAAUAUUGCAGAAAAUGUUUGGGUAUUAAUCUAUUUAAGUAUCUAUUAGUUUUAAUGAAGUGAAAUGUGUGGAAGAAUGUACUUUCUUAAAAUCUCAAAAAGCAUACAACAGGAAUUACCUCAAAUUUCUCUUGCAAGUCAUGGAUUGUGGAGUUAGCUAGCCUGUGAAAUUCAUCCUCCUGCAGAAGAGAACUGUAUCCAAAUUAAUCAACAUGUGCUCUGUUAUUGUCACUAAUAACAUCACCACCAGAAAAUAAUGAAAUUUCAUAUAAUAAAUGAGAAAGUUUUUAACUAAAAGAAAGAACUACUCAUCAUUUUUGGUCAAAAUAACAAGAACUAGAGGCCACAUACCGAUAAUCAAUGGCUUCAGGGGCUUGAAAGUCACUGUCUAGACCGGAAGGACGAGAGGAGAAGUUUCUAGUAGCAGUAAUUAAGGUACUAGAAGGAUGCCGGAGACUGUUGCCAGGCAGCAUAUUGAUAAUUCUAGAAGGUACUAGAAGACGAGAACAAGACCUAUGAAUUGGAGAAGAAGGUUUUACAGCUCCUGAGAGCCUUCUUAGGACCAACAACUUGGAAGCCUUAUCCAUUAUUGCUUAUCAAACACCAACUGUUUCUUCAGUCGCAAGAUGAUCAUAUAUCUCUAGACCUACACAGUAUAAAAUCCAUUAUUACUGCAUGUUAAAAAAAAGGGAAAAAAAGAAAGAUGCACAUUAACUUGCAGUGGAAAGUAUUAGAUCUACAAAUAGACAGCCAUUAACUCUAAAAUUUCCAAACAGAAGGAAAAUUGGGAAAUCUUUUUUGCUCAAAGCCCAAGAGGAAUUACAAAGUGCAACAAGAAAUUAUUAAAAAAAUUAAUAACAAGUAAAACGAAAGCACGGUAAGUAAAUAUUUUACUUUUCUGAAGGCUAGUGUGGCAGCAACAAUGUCUGCGGCGGUAUUGAGGCUGAGGGAUGAACAGAGAAGCUAACAGAGGGAGUAAGAAAGAUGAAAUUAGGGUUUUUCAAAGCGUGUAGAACACAACAAAAUUGAUUAAAAACUCUGCAUUCAGGGAUGAAAGUGAAACAGUCUUUAGUUAGUCAAUGUCAGCGGCAGUCAACUGUUAAACAUUACCAGAUUCAUUAACCAGCUAAUGCUUGAGGGUAAAGUGAUAUUAUUUAAACUAUUGGGCCAAAUUUUAUAUUUGGUAAGUUAAAAGAAAAAAGGAGAAACACUUCUGAUGUUUUCAACUUUGAUAAGAACAGAAGAAAAAUUGAGAAAUCUUUUUACUCGAAGCCUAAAAGGAGGAAUUACAAAGUACAAUACAAAAUCAUAAAAACAAUAAUAAACAAAUAAAAUGAAAGCAUGGUAACUAGAUAUUGUACCAUUCUGAAGGCUUUCGUUAUGGUUUUCUAUGAUGCUUUUGUUAAUUAGGGGCGGGCAAAUUGGGUUUCAGUUCGGGUUGUUCGAGUUUCGAUUUGGAUUACAACCAAUUCAGAUUGGAGAAUUCAACCCAAUUCGGUUCCAAAAAAAAAAAACACCCAAACAAAUUCGGUUCGGUUCAGGUUUCAGAUAGGUUUGGAUUGAAAACUCGGGUCUAAAUUUCAGUUUGGGCUGCAAUUCAGGUAAAACCUAUUCCAAAAUUCAACUCAACUUAAAAAUGAAUCAAAUCCCAGCCAGACAACCAACCAAUAUACCAAAAGAAUCAAAUACCGGUCCAGCUCAAUGAUGCAAAAAAGGAAGAGAGAAAUAUGAAUACCAGCUAUCAAGCAUCCUCAACAAGUCUUUUUAAAAAUCAGAAGUUAACAAAUAACAAAAAAUAAAAAAAUAACAAGCAGUCGAGUACCAAGGCACCAAGAUAUUGAAGGUUGGCAACAGGGGUGAGAAAAUCGGGUUUCAGUUCCGGUUGUUCAAGUUCCGAUUUAAGUUACAACCUGUUUAGAUUGGAAAAUUCGAUCCAAUUGGGUUCAAAAUGCAACCCCAAACUGAACCGAAAUUAAUUCGGUUUGGGUUUGAGUAUUGGAUGGGUUUGGAUUGAAAAUACAGGUCUUAAUUUCGGUUUGGGUUGCAAUUCAGGUUACAACCUAUUUCAAAAUGAAUCAAAUCCCCACCAGACAGCCACCUAAAAUUAUAAAAAUCUCAAAUGCCUGCCCAGCUCAAUGAUGCAAAAAUGAAAAACAAAAAUGAAUACUAACUACCAAGCAUCCUCAACAAGUCUUUUAAAAAUCACAAGUUAACAAACAACAAUAAAUAAAUUAAUAAAUGAAUAAAGAAAUAAGAAAUAAAUAUAACAAUAAAUAAAAUAACAUGCAGCCGAGUACCAAGCUGCCAAGUUACUGAAGUUACAUCUCCAAUUACAAACAACCCAUCUCCAUAAACACAUCUCUAAAUGAAAAACAUAUAUAAUAGACUAAUAAUCCAUUACCAUCAACACUCAAGACAAUAACAAUUACAAUGUUAAGAAACCAAAUCAGCAAGAACUACAAACAGCCACUAUAUAAAAAAGAUUGCACAGUUUCAUUGCCUGUAACGCCUCUUACCCAUGCCCAAAAGAAGAUUUAACUACAAACAGCGAUUCAUGCUUCACUUGGAACCGCAAGUAUAACCUCACCUUCUGUGGCUGACGACGGCGAAAGAAUCCGGAGGCAGCGACGGCAGAGACGACAAUAGUUGGACCGAGGAAGCAAAUCAAGAACGGCUAGAAGCUGCAGCGUCGAACACACUUGGACCGAAGUGACAGCGGCAGCUGCGUGGCGUAGGCGUUUGUUUUGAAAGGGCAAAGCUAAUCCGAUCGGUUUUUAAAUUUGAACCGGAUCGGAUUUUUUGGCUCUCGAUUCGGUUUAACCCAAUCCAACUACCGGCAACGCCUAUUACCAUGGGUACGGGCAGAAUGAUUGUGGGAACGAUUAGAUGCGUUCAUAUAGAUAGGUUUUGCCAUUGGUGUGAAGUGUGAUGUUGACGUGUGACGGAUGACGAGAUUGCCAAGUGAAAUAGGACAUUUUAUUUUUCAUGUACACAAAACAAUCCAUGAAUUAAUAGGCUUAACAUGAAGAAAACUUUAUUAAUUUAGUAAAUAUUAAUAUGCCAAUAAUAAUAAUAAAUUUUAUGAAAUAUAGAGUAGUAUAUUUAAAAAACUUAAUGAUUCCUUCAAGUUGUCAUAUGUAUAUAUGUGUCUGUAUUGUUUGGGGAAUAAAUAAGAGAAUGCCACAUGUCAAGUAAAUGAUCAAAAUAACAGAGGAAGUCACUACUUAAUAUUCGUAAGUAUACAUUUAAUAAAAGUUAAAAUUCUUUUUUUCUUACAAUGUUAAUAACACUAAUAAUUUCAUUACAUUUAUAAAUCUCUAAUUUAUUUUUUGAAUGAUUUAUUAUUAUUUGUUUUUAGGUAUGAUUUUUGUGUUUUGUAGGAAAAUCACUAAAACUAUGAUGUUGGAUAGGAAAAACAGCAUGAAAUUUGGAUACUAGAAGUUUAGAAGCUUUUGAAAGAAUUCUACCAUUUGAUUUGACAUUAUUUAUGAAUGAUUUGAGAUCGUUCGUAUGUUUGAGCUUAUGUGCACCCUGUUACAUUAGAUUUAACACACUAAAUUUGGUAGUUUAACUUCCUCAACAAAUGAGCAAAAGAAAGCAUAGAUUUUGAUUCAAAAUUUAGCCAUUGAUUAUGUUCAGUCUAAUAAUCCAUAAUGAUUGCAAUUUAAGACGCUUGGAUUUUAUUACUAAAUCUCAUUGUAAGAUUGUGAUUUAAGCUUACCAAAAAGAUUAUGUAAAUACCUAUUCUUGAUCACUCAAAAUUCACCAUUAGAAAGGCAGGAGCUCUCACAAUUGAGGGUGUGCUAGAUUUUAGGGGUAAAGAAAAAAAUGGGAGAGAAUUAUGAGGUGGAUUUUAAAGGAGAGCAUUUUAGGUGUAAAUCUAUAGUGAAUUUUAGGGAAAAUUCUCUUUUCUUUCCCUUUGUUUUCAAUUUUCUCGUAUUGUACUUCAUAAAGUAUAUUAAAUAAAAUGAGUGUUUUCCUUUUAAAUAUGAGUAAUUAAAUUUUUUGAGUUAAGAUGAAAGGUAAGCUCAAGGAAUCAAAUCUUGUAAUUUAAUUAAUCUUUCAAGUGAGUUUUAAAUUCAUUUUCUUUGUUAUAUCUUUCUUUUGUAUUUUUUCUUUAUUGUUUACUUUUAUGUCAUGUUAAUUUGUAAAUCUAAGUCUCCUGGGAUCUAUAUGAAAUUUUGACAUAAUGUCGACACUUUAAUUUAAUUGUGGUACAUUAGGUACUUGAUCAUGUAUUUAUCCAUAUAAAUGGUUAGUUAAGAAUUAAAUGGUAUAAUAAUUAAUUAGAAAAAGAAAUGCAUAAUAUAAAUAUGAUAGAUUAUUAUGAUCAUAAUUUGAAAUUCGAGAGUGAAUCUCAUAAUCUUAGCAUUUUUCUAAUUGGCCUCUAUCAAUUUCUUUUUCUACCAUUCAAUUUUAUUUAAUAACUAACUACUAAAUUUAUAGAUUUCUUGUGGUUCGACCCUAAACUUAUCGGGUUAUAUUAUAACUAGACACUUUUAUACUUGAGAGUAAUCACUAUCUUUUCAAUCGUGUCAGUCACCAAAAGGAAGUUUGUAUGCCAGGUGAUUGAAAUGGUAUGAGGGAUACACCAUGUAAAGGCAGAAAGAUUAUAGCAAAAUAUUCGAGAAUGUCAGGUGCUUAAGGACACAAUAUUACCCAAAAAAGAAUGAUUAAAUCUUUUGAACAUAAUAAGAAAUCAAUAAAAAAAUAUGGUGCUAAAAAAAAGGGACAAUAGGCUACUACAUCAGCCAAAAAGACCAAAAAAGUAGUUAUAGGACAAUUGGGACCAUCUGUCCUCACCUUCCAUGUCCACAACUGCUUAGCAGGCUCUGCAAAGGUAUGUUGAACUAUCUAGUAUAGCUCAACACAUAUAUGUGUGGGUAAUAUGUGAAAUAAUGAAAUAACUUGCUCUUCAAGCAUGCAUCCAAGGCUCUAACAAUCAUGAAAAGCCAAAGAACAAGAAUAUUCUUUAGUCAGAGAGAUAAAAGACCAAAAAAAAUUGUGUCAAAUGGUAGGAUAGCAAAGGUGCCUCGGGCACUCCAUAUAAAGACGUCAGGUUUUAUUUUUCUCACUCAUCAUAAAAUACACUCACAACAAAAAUUAAGGCUUUCUUUAACCUCUAGCCACCAAUGUGUUAAGGGCUUGCAAACUCUUAACACUAAAAAAAUAACACCAAAACUAACUUGAUCAUCGGAAUGUAGUCCUCGACCACCACUGGCUCCACCUUUUACCUUUUUUUUCUCCAUUUUGUAAGAUAAACAAAACCUUCAAACCGACCCUACCCAAAUCUAAACCUCUCACAGUAUCGUGACUUUCUCAAUUUACUCUAAAGCUUCAUCUAAAGUCAUAUCAAGUAACAUACCUUGGUUAGGGUUUUUGUUUAGCUAGGUUUUUGUUUUCCUUUUCUUUCAUCCCUAAAUCUAGUUAAAACAAUUGGUGAUCUCUUAAUCGCGAGUGUAUGAAAAAGCCUCCACAACAAUAUCAAGCUUAUCAUUGCGUGUGUUUACACAAAGAUGGCACUUGACCUAUCUUUAGAUUAUAUGAUGUGAGCAAUCUAAAGCAAAUAGGAGACCACAACAGUAAAAAGAUAGGUGAUUCAACAAGGAGAGCACCCCAGCUUGAUAAGGCAAAUCCAUCAAGCAAUCAACUGGUAUUUGCCUAGAUGAAGAACUUAUCUCUCAUAAGCGCUUUAAGGAUCUCACAUAUACAAUCCUUAGAGUAGUGGGAUCUUGGAUGCCCGAACUAGCAAUUCCCUCAAUGAUUCAAGUUACUCCACCAUAACAAAUUGAUAAACAAAUCAUGCCACAAGAUGAACAUUCCACCGCCUCUUGCUCUUCCUAUAGUAGCCAGGGUACUAAGUGCACAAAACAAGCCCGCAAGGAUCUUUAAGACAACCUAAAUGCCAAAAAGUCUUUUUAAAUGGCAGCAGCAUCCUCAGGUGCAUGCGGGGUACCCCGUGAGUCUUUAAAAAAAUAGAACACCUGAAAGUUUAAGUAAAGCUCUUUUCUGAAAGUUUAAGUAAAGCUCUUUUCUGAAAAGUAAAUGUCACUGGUGAUCCAAAGGACACAUUGACAUUCACCACAAAUAUCUAAAUAGCAAUUCUUUUAGAAGCAUUCACUACGCCUCAAAUAUCCCAGUAAUUUGGUAAUCGGGCACCACAAAUCCAAUCAAGCACGUCGAGCUAUAUCGUGACUAGAUGCUUAUCAAGGUUAUUUGCAUACCUAGUGUACGGUGUUUACACACACCUCGUUAGACUAGCUGUUAAUGGAGUUUAAUCAUGAGUUUUCCUGCACUUCCUCUCAAGAUUAAGCGACUUUCAAACUUGCUUUUAUCAAGUAACGGGAACCGCAAUCUUGGCUAAUUAUCUAAGUCACUUCCACACAAAAAAAAAUAUUGUGGACCGAUGCAUUUGGUCACCAAUGCACAUUGUCCCACUUUGAAAAGAACUGAUGGUUGAAAAAAUUAUGGCAUCCUUUUCAAAAGAAAAGCCCAUUUUCAUAUGGCGAAGCCUAUUCUAAAUUUUGCAAUAGAUCAAGAUAUAUGAAGUAAACAAUUAGGCUAAGAUAACCUCUUUUGGUACAAGCCAAUCAAUUGAUACUAUCAUAAUGGAACGAUAGUAAUGCACUUAUAAACUACUAUCAUGAUGAGGAGAUACUACUAGCAAAGGGAUAACACUUUACCUAUUUGUGUUUACUUUAUCUAUUUUCUAUAAUGCUUAUGUUUUUAUAACAUGUGGUAAGCCCUGUAAGAAACCUAGUAUACCCUAUGGUGAUCAUUUGCAUUUUUAAUUCUUAAGUUUUUUAUGACAAGAACAAGAGAUCUCAAGAUCCUGUCUUCUCUUUAGGAUAACAAAGUUGAAUCACGUAAUGAUCCACACUUUCGUUAUCAAUGAAUGCAUUUUCUUUUCAAAAUAUGAUGAUGUGUGUUAUUUUAUUCACCUCUCAAUUAGGGAAUAUAGAUAAAUACUUUGAAAUGAUGUUUAAUUUGAAGAUAAUUGCAUUUAGUUUAACUCCAUAUAUGUUGUUGUGCAAUGUUUAUUAUGACAUAGUAUAGUGUUAAGAGAUCGCUUUAUUUUAAAGUAAGCUACGAUACUUAACUUAUCCUGAUCAUGACGAUCUACUCAAGGUCAGAGACAGCAAAAAGAAUAUAGAGAAAUCAAAAGUGGCUUUUCAGAGCGAUUAUGAAAAUGCGACUAUUUGAACAAAAAAAUGGAGAGUAAAAAAAGACAUAAGGGCAAAGUAAGUAGUCGUACCCUAGCUUCAUAAGGUUUUGUUAAAGUAUGCAUGUGUUCAUACCUUUAUUCUCUUGCUUAUAGAAAGUAGGGAUCAGCUAGUAAAAAAUGAAUAACAAUCAUGAGAGUUGAGUGUCUAAAAUAAAAUAGGUAGGCGACCAACCGCCUUUAUUAUUAUCUAUCAUUUUAAUACUAAUUUGAAGUGAAUGGAAAAACAUGAAAUUUUGGACCAUUUUACAAAAAAAAAAAAAAAGCCUAGGAGGAUUCUAAAGAAUGCUUUAGAAAAGCAAGAAAUGAAUUAGUUUACCAUUGUUGUUAUGCCAAUUGAGAAUUUUCAUUCUUAAUCAAAUUGUUAUGAUGAUACUUUGAUUAUUGAUUAUUUGUUGAGAUUUGCCACAAUUUCUUUUAAAAUAUGCAGCAAGUAUGUCUAAGUAAAUCACCAUAUAUCUAAUGGGAUAGAGUUGCUCCAACCCGAAGGAAGGGAUAACUUCACAAAAGUAUAAGCCAACAGGCACUUAAGGUACCUCAUCUCUAAAAAAAAUUUCCUUUUAUGUAGUGAAGGGUGCCCAAUAAAUCUUUAAGACACAUGCUUAACUAAAAGUCCAAACACAAAGGUAUAGAUAAUGAAGAUAAUGCACCCAAAACAAAGUUUAGCAUUAAAGUUCAAGUACAGGCAAUGGCAUGAUUGCCGAAAGAAUCUAAUGUAAGAGAAUAAUUCAGGUACACCGGAUGGAAAGCCAUAGUAUGAGAGCAGAAAAAGAAUUUCAAGCAUAGAAUUCAAAGAAUGCUAGUAAGUGAAAUGUUGCACUAGUAUGAAUUCACAUUAGAUAGAUCAUUUUUUACCAUCUUUCUCAAGAAAGAGAUCGGUAGAAGUUGCAGAAGUAUAAGCUUCAGUGGCAGGAACGUUCGAUCAGAGUUUUGGCUGGGUUUGGUCAGAUACACUAAAUCACCUCUAUGGACUAUUAAACAGGGGUGCACAAGAUUUCAUUUUGCCUUUGAUCAUAGCUAAGAUAGUUGAUCUAUCUAACUACUUCUCCACCUUUAGUACUUUCAACAUUGGCUCUACAAUCCAAACUUCAAUCAUUAUACAAGCUCAGCCCAUAACUCCUCAUAAUUUUUGGCAACACGAGCUUUUUCUUUAGAUAGAUCAUUGACGCGCCCCUUCAAAACUUUGUUUUCCUGAGUUGCAUGUAGCCAAUAGGAGGUACCCCAAUAAAUGUACAAGAAAAAAUAGAGAGGAAAUAAGAAAACGAGUCAGAUUCAAAUAACUACUCACAUCCUAAUGGGCUUUGGGGUGCUUGGUUAUAACAUUCACUCAAGUCAAACCUAUCCACCUCUGCCACAACUUUAGGGGCAAUGUUCUCAAUAACAUAGUGCAUAAACCCAAGCAAAUAUGAGACUUUUUCAUUCGCCACCAUAUCUAACCCUUCUUUAGCAAAAUCCUUAAGUAGAAAGAAGAGCAACCAUAAUUUUCUUUUGCUCGUAGUAGGUGUAUUCAUGGAGCCACUUGUUUUUCAGUUUAAUCUAUCUACGCGAGUACUUUUACCAAGUGAGCUGCAAAUUAAUAUUUUAAGCUUUUUAGUGACCCAUUUCAUCUAUGAGAAGCAAGAAGGCCUAGUGCUCUUUAUUGAAAGAAUGAUACCAAAGCCACCCAAGAAGUCAUUGUAAAAAAAAAUUAAAAUCAUUUAAGAGAGAAUCCACAUUUGCCAACUACUGUACAUAAAAGAGAAAGGUCAAUUGCAUAAGUACGAGACUCUAAGGCCACAAAGGAAAAAGAGGGGUAUGGAAUGUAAAAAAUAUAAACAAACGCAAGAUGAGGGGGAUAUCCCAAAAACACCUUUUAACAAUAUAUACCCUACACGUAGAAGCAGAUACAAAGGCUUUCAUCAAUCAGUCGACUUUCUCCAAUCUUUCUACACUUAACACAUCACUCUCUCUUUGUAGAGCCACAAUCCCCUCUUUAAAGUCGCUCACUUUUUUCCCCACCUCUUGAAUAUGAUAUUUUCCCUUAAUAUAAAUGACAUCUACAAGGUCACAGGGAGCCUCAGGAGAGAAGAAUAAUUUAUAUAUGGAAAAAUAGGAUUAAAAAAAAGAAAUGAGCCACACACUGUUUUCAUUGAAGGAAUUCCAAAACUUUACUUACUCACCAUUAGUUAGGGUAUCCCGCCUCUACUAACCAUCGACUACUAAACAAGAAUAUUUGUAACCAUUUUUAAAGGUAGCAUCCAUUUCCACAAAAUUUUUGUGGGUGGCCCAAGUAGAAAAAUAUGUGGUGGAUAAAGCCUCAAAUUUUUUCAAUUGAUAAAACGCUCUCAAUUCUCUAAGAGAAAUAUCUUUCCCAAAUAGUCCUGACCAUAAUACCCGUAAAUGGCUAAACAUCAUCAUGAAAAAGGGUCGAAGGGGUAAACGGGGUGUUAGGUUGUUAGGUGCUUAAUGAGUCAACAUCGUCCAAAAAAGAAUAAUCAUAUAAUAAGAAUCAAUAAAAAAAAUGGUGCUAAAAAAGAGGGGACAUCUAGCUGUCACACUUGCCAAAAACGACAAAAGUUAGUCACAGAAUAGUUGGGAUCAUCUGUCUUCACCUGUCAUGUCUACAACUGCUCAGUAGCCUUUGAAGAGGCAUGUUGGACCACCCGACAUGUUGGACCACCCGGCAUAGCUCAACAUGUGUUUGUGUGGGUAAUAUGUGAAAUAAUAAAAUAACUUGUUCUCCAAGCAUGCACUCAAGGCUCCAACAGUCAUAAAAAGCCAAAGGACCGGAAUUUUCUUUGGUUAGAGAUAGAAAAGGCCACAAAUAAUAAGUAAGGGAGUAUGACAACUAGGGACCCCAGGGUACUCCAUAAAAAGACGCCCAAUUUCUAUUUUUCGUAUUCAGCAUAAAAUACACACAUAACAAGGGUUGAGGCUUUCUUCAACCUCCAGUCACUAUUAUUAAGGACUGCAAGCUCUUAACAACCGAAAAAUAGAAUCAAAACUGACUUGAGCAUCAGAGUGUGGUUAUCAGUCACCACUGGCUCCCUCUUUAACCUCUUUUCUCCAUUUUGCAGGAUAAACAAAACCUUCAAGCCAAUCCUCUCCAAAUCUAAGCCUCCACAGCACACUUACUUCCUCCAUUCAUUCUCAUGCUUCAUCUAAGGUCAUAUCAAGUAACACACCUCAACUUCGCAAGGCACCUUGUCACCUUGAUAAAAAAUUAUUAUGUUUAGCUAGGUUUCUGUUUUCUUUUUCCUUCAUCCCAAAAUCUAGUUUGUGUGUGUGUGUGUGUGUUGUGUGUAUUUUUAGUUCAAUUAAUAUUAAAAAAAUAUAAAAUGUUUGAUACAAAAUCACAAUUAAUUUAAAAUAUAGCGGGUAUUCACAAAAUUCUAACUAAAAUAUGGCUUUGCGUAACAAUACUAACAACCAAAAGGACCUAAGCACGCAAUAUUCAGAAUAAAAAUCUGUUAAGGUUGAGGCCAACAGAAAUGGUUAAAAACUCUGCAUUCAUGGGUCAAAGUGAAAGAGUUUUUGGAUCAAUCAAUGUUAUUGACGGUCAACUGUUAAACAUUAAUAUAUUCUUGUACCAACUAACGAUUGAGGGUAAAGUAAUAUUAUUUAAACUAUUAGGUUGAUUACUUGGGAUUUUUCUUAAUAUUGUUUGCUCACCUUUUGAUUGAAAAAUUAAAUUGAGUAGUUUCUUGUGACAUGAUUAGGUUGUUGAAACUAUUUUUUGGGGUCAUUGUAUUAGUUUGCUAACGAAUUUCUUUUGACCAAGUAAUUCUUACCUUACUGUGGGUAUUGAUGAUGCGAGAACUAAACUUAAGCUGGCAUUUGAUAUUGGAAUCCAUGAUACCAUUGGUAUGAAUUUUUUAUUAUUAGCUUCUACUGUAAUUCUCUUUUAGGUUGCAAUGAGUGUUAAUGAUAUUGUUACUUUUGAGGCAAAGCCAUUAAUUUUCCUAAAUUACUUUGCGACAAGCCACCCAAAUGUUGAUCUUUCUAAAAAGGUACAUGUGAUAGUCAAUUGCUGGGGAUGUAUGAACGGUGUCAAUUUUUUUUGCAUUAGCAACCUUGUGUUGAUUAUCUAUAUUUCUUCUUCAAUUUAUAAAAGGUAUUGCUAACAGUUGCCAACAAUUUAACUGUGAUCUUCGGGAAAAGAUGUGUGUAUUUUUUUUUUUAGUAUCCAUUCAAUUAGUUACAUUUGUUAUUAAGUGUUUAGUUACUACUUCUUUAUAGGAAUGUCAUUUUAGUACUGAAUUUAAAGAUAGAGAAAAUCUAAUUUUAGAAUCUGCUUAUCUAGAAAUGACAAGUUCAUUUGGUCUUGCAAUGUUCAGCCUACCACAAAUGUUUGCUCCAACUUUAAAGCACUGUUCUAAUUAUAGGAAGUAAGAGAUCAUAAGAGUCCAACAAACUCAUAUUUCUCAUCAAUUGUCCAUGUUGUUGUCUGAUAGCCAAAGAACAUAUCCAUUCAAUAUGUAAUGUUUUUAGAAUUUUAACAUUUACAAUCGUUAUGGAAUGUUAGCAUUAUGGGAUAUUAGUUUAUUUGUUUCUCUUAUAAUUAAAUUUACUAUUGUUUUUGUAACUCGUUUAAUUAAUUUUGUUGGAAAUGUUGUGCCUUUCCAACUGCAGAGAUGCCAAAUUUUUAUACAGCGGGUAAGUAUGAUCGCAGUGGUUUUACGGUUGGCAUUGUUAAAAAAGAUUCAUUUAUUGAUAGAAAACCAUUGUGCCUAGAGAUGUACUCAUUGGCCUACCAUCUAGUGGAGUCCAUUCAAUGGCUUCUGUCUUGCAAGAAGGUCAUAAUUACUAUUUAAUGUUGAAAUUUGCCUAAAGACUUGAUUGAUAAUAUAAAGUAUAUUUGCUGCAGUAGCUUUCUUCCAAACGAAGAUUGACUUAUACUAAAAUCCCAAGAUUUGAGCUUGUGUCUCUUAAUAGGGUUUUGGCCCAAAGUAGCUUUUCUCUGAAGGACCAACUCCCUAGUGAAAACACUACACUAGAUGAAGCUUUGAUGGGGCUAAUUAUUAUAUUUGUCGUGCAGGUCUUUUCAUUAACCUCUACUUAACUUUGAUGGUUGCACAUUGCCAUCCUAACUAAUGCUAGAACAUAAAUAUUUUGGUCAGAAAGGUGCUGGACAUAAUUAGUAAGGGAUGAGUAAAAGGAAUAACGCACAUCACUCAUGGCGAUUUCACAGACAAUAUAUCACAAGUGUUCCUGAAAGGCCUGGGUGAUGUCAUCUAUAGGUGAAAAGCAAUUUUCUAGCUGUAUUCAAAUGAUGGGAAAUCUUUGCAAAAUCAUUAAACAUAGUUAUAUAAUAUAGAUCCACCAAAGUAUACUAAUAAAUCUCUCUAGCAGGAUGUGACAAUUGAAGACAAACAUGAUGCAUGAAGUUUCUUCUUAGGAUUUAUUAAUCUGCCUAUCACAUGACAAUAUCGCACAUGGAUGCAAAAGGUCAAUUAGAUAUAAUAUAUUCGUAUGUAAUUCAAAAUCCAUUGACAUUUAAGCAACCAAACAUUAACAUUUCAAUAUAGUCACAAAAUCUAUUGCAGUUGAAAAGAUUGAAAAUAAUCCUGCAAUAUUUUUAUACCAAAUCACAACAACAAAGAUAAAUGAAAUAAUUUAAAAGCAAUAUACAAUUUAGCUAGAGCUCGCUCCUUCACCACUCACAACCUCACCAAUGCGAUAGGUUGUGUACGCUCCAUGUCCUCCCUCAACUAUUUUGCCAGAGGCUUCCUUGCUCACAAUGAGGAACAUCCCAAUAUCUAUGUUAAAAGUUUGCCUCAUCUCACCAUCUUCUAUUCUCACAUGUCUUUCAACUCAUUAUGUGAUGUGAACAAUUUUCUCUCUUUUUAUUUUUUAUUUUUGGGGAUGAAAUAUACAUUAGUCAAUAAUAAAUUCAUUAUUAUGAUUUCUACUUGUAUUUAUUAGACAUAUAUGUACAAUUAUGCAAUAGAAUCAUGACAUGUAUAUGUGAAAGAUAUUUUUUUUCGAGCCAUCUUAAUCUUAAUAAAAACCGCUAAUGAUAAUGAAAUUGCAUAGAAUAACAUUGUUGUUAAUAAAUAUGAUUUAAGUAGAUAGUAUAGUACAACUAAUAUUUUUAACAAAUCUAAAAGUAAGAAAAAGUACGACAUCCCCUCGUAUUUAAGGAAAUAAAAUCUAGUUGGAAAGAGGUCACUUUUUCUUUCUUUCUUUUUUAUUUAUUUAUUUACUUUUUGGCUGUUAAAAUUGUUCUUGUUAACUGUUUGAGAUCUAUUUCAUUGAUGCUUGAUGAAGCUUCUAGAUAAAAAAUGGAUUUAUUAAGCUAUGGCCUAUGGGUUGAUUUCUUUUGAGUUGCUUUAUUAAUAUAUGUGGAUUUGUACAUGUUUUAUCAUAACAUCUAUGUGGGUCAUGUAUCCAAUUAGUACCUGAUAGAUUUGUGUGAAGUAUUGAAAAGUUAACAUAAAGCUAAGGAAACAAUAGAUACUUUGGAACUUAGCCAUUGCAACUUCAUGAAUAUGUGUGUUUGUUUAGUUAUGCUUUUAAGUGUCUAAUAUACUUUUGUUGUUGAUCUAUGGAUCAAAAGGGUUGUUUUCUUUUGUCAUUUUGACAGGCUAAUUAAGCCCUCUUAUUCAUGGUAGGGAUUGGGUUUUCCGACUACCAUUUUUCACUCUGGCUACUGUCUUUAUGUUUUAAGAAGAUCAAGGUUAUCUCGUGUUUGGAGAUUGUGCCAUGUUUCUAUGGGUUUGUCGCUCUAUUAUGGCUAAGGUCGUCUUUUGCUAAGUACCAGAAUAUAGAUCUUAGCUUGUCUCUUGGGUCUUUAUUUGGUCAUACAUAGUUUUUCCGAUUUUUUUUUUCUUUUUACAACAAAAAGGAAGAUUUUGCGUUGAUGUAUCUCUGGUCAAUAUUGCUACAAUGGUGAGAUUUUCGUGCUUCAGUACUCAAGACUUACUCCCAGAGACCAAAGGUAAGUGGAAGAAUCAAUUCAUUUUCCUGAAAUUGGAUUUAGUCUUUCUAGGGUUUUUAUUUCUUUUAUUUUUUUUCAUUUGUAUGUCUAAUUCCUGAGUAUUGCCUUCUCCCUCAGAAAACAGUUCAAUCAUCGGUUGAAGAAAUGUGGAAAAGUUUGCAAGACUCGCAGCAAUUCAGGCAAUGAAAGAUUCACCUAAUUCUAUGAAUGCAAAAACAAUUCUAUUGAGUGCACGUGGACACACUAAAAUCAAUGAUGAUGUUGAUGCUGAAAUCUGCUCGUCCUUAGACCGACCAGAUUCUUUCACCAACGUUUACGUUAUUGACUGUUGCUCGAACCACUCAGGCUGGAAUCACCUUCUUUUCCCUCGCUAGACCUGCGUUCACCAAAAACGGAUCAGAGACGCCGGUGGUUUUGCCGGCGUAAACCCUCCGAUGCCUAAGUUAGCACAAGGUGUUUACGGGAAAACAGUGUAAUAUGAUUUCAGGAAAUUUGUAAGGAAAUGGCCUGGUUGCAAUUUGGCAGCGUUUCCCCUCUCUCUCUUUUUUUUAUCUCCCUAUCUUCUUCGAUGUCUUUCUCUUUUAUAGCCGCCCUUUGUCCCACGUUUUCCGUUUGCCCCUGAUUCCUCCUUUUUCGGGUGGUGGUAGCCCCUCAUGGGACUCUAACUGUUAGAUUGUGGGCAAACGUGGAUCUCGCGUGUCCUUCAACCGUUCUGGGAGAAACGCAACUACCGCGGUUUUGUGGGAUCGUGUUCCCGCUUUCCUGGGGAUGAGUAUUGGCUCGGCAUAUAUUUCUGGUCGGUAUGUUUCCCUGGUUGUUCUCUCCUCUGAUCGGCUCAUGCUUGCCCACAUGCUCUGCUCGUAUAUAAGAGAUGAAGCAAUCCGUUCUGGGAUGGAACUAGUUGCAUGGCCGACCUGGUGUUCUUCAUGCACUCAACAGAUGAUGCCAAGCAUCUUGCAAGUUCUUCCUCAAUUGAACGUGUUUGGAAAUCAGACGAAAUAAAGGGCAUAAUCAAUUCUGAAAAAUGGCAUGGGGAUCCGUAAGUUAGGACAGCUGAAAAAAAGCCUAUCUCUUGGAAGUUGACUAUGCUGGGAGGGGGAGUAUCUUGGUGAAAAUGAUACAGGAGGAGACUGAGGGGUUCUCUUCUGAUUCCCAAUGACCAAAAUGGUCAAACAGUACAAAAUGGCUCCGGUUGUCAGCCCACCCAGUAUCAAAAAGCUCCACUCUCAAUAUUAUUUCAUAUUAAUAAUGAAUCUAUAUUCUCAAUCGGAGAUUCUCGUAAUUCAAAAAGGAAGGCCACAACCAAUAUCUGGUCUUGUUGACUCUGCUGAUAAUUGUACUGACCUUAUGCCUCAUACCCUUCCUUUGAUCGCAAAAUCAUGUUCUUUGCCUAACAUCAAAGAUUUUUUGUGCCCUUCCAAAGAAUGCUCUACUCUUAAACAUUUUGCUCCUCAUUUCAGAUCUUCUGAUUAUCUACAGAUUUUAGGCAUGUCACAUGUGGCAAAAAGAUACUUCAGUUCAGAACAUUGACGCACAGGUUAUGCAAAAGCAAGAAAGAUAUGCUGAUCUGUGUAAAAUGGAGGAAACAGAUUUGCGAACUCUGUGGCUGACUAUUGCUAUGAUUCUUAUAAUUAUUCUGCUUUAGCAAAAGAUUGGGUAAUGCCAGAUGAGAACUCUGAAAAAUACCUUCAAGGAGAAUCCGCGGAUGGCCAGUGGGAUAAAUUGCCGGGCAAGCAUUUUACGAUUAAGCGCAUUCAAGAGUGGGUUAAUGAUCUUUAGCAUUGCAGCCAAUUGGAAGAAUCAAAUGAAACAUCUGUUUCUAAUGAUCAGGUGAAGAGAGAUUUUGAGGGCUUGAAUGGUCCAACUGCUAUUAAAGUGGAUGGUAAGGUAACUACUGGCGUGGAAGCUGUAAAAAUAUAUAUAUAUAUAUCUUUUUUGAGUGCCUCCGCCACAACAGUUCAGCAGUCAAAUCUUAGAUCGGUUGCCAUCCGAUUUUUUUAGUGCAUUUGUCAGCCUCAGGGUCUCAAUCAAUCAGGAAAUGCCAUAUGUAUGCACGUCCAUUGGCAGCUCUAUCCUUGUGCAUUUAUUAUCUAUUACAUGCAAAAAUAGUGUACUCCAGAUCCAAGGAAGUAUCGCUUUUGUUGAACAUUUUAUCUGUCCUUUUACUCCUUGUAGUGAGGAUCACCGCUGGUGCCCUUCCUCGAGGACUUCAUAUACUGAAUCUGUUAAAAAACAAUAUUUCCGCAAUUGAGGGCUUGCGCGAGAACUUACCCGCAAUGUUCUAUGUUGAUUCUUUCAUUCUUUGAUUCAUAAAAAAUACUCAGAGCACCUUGCAAUUUACAUGUACCAAGGUCCAUGCGCAUGCAAUUGUAGCUUUUUCAGUUAACAGAACGUUGCAUUUUCUUGGAAUGGGUUUAUUUUUAUCAUGCUAACUUGCUAAGCUGAUUCUUGGUUUAGUGGAAAAUGUUUUUAUUGGAUAAGUUGUCUGUGAUAGGUUCGUUUGUUUUUCACUUCUCAUUUUCUUUAAAUAAGUAAAAAUAUAGUUAAUUAAUUAAUUAUAGGAGUGGCAAUCUGAGUUAGGAUUCGUUUAUUCAAUUUGAUUCGCUAAUUUAACGAAUUGAAUUCAUGUUUGAGGAUAUUUAUUUAUUUCUUAGUUUAGGAUUCGCUUAAUAAAUAGGUUAUAAUCGAAUCAAAUAUGAUUAAUUCAUUUACUUUUUCGUUUAAUUAAAUUACUUAUUUAUCCUUAAAUAUGUAUGAAAAUUUUAUAGUUUGAAGGCUAAUAUAUUAAUUAUAAAUGAUAAUAAGUUGUAUUUUAUAAGAUGUUAAAUUUUUGGUCUUUUUAUAUUUUAUUUUGCUUAAUUUUUAUUUAUUAAUUAUAUUUUUGUAAACAAAUUCAUAUUUAAUUCGAUUCGUUAUGGAUUCAUUAUAAGAUAUAUGAAUAGUAAAUGAAUUAAGAUUCGAUUCAAUUCGAUUUAUUUAUUGAUUCUACUAAAUUAAUUAAACAAAUCGAAUUGAAUAUUCAUUUAAUAAAAAAGAGAAUCUGAAUCUUGAGAUUUCAACUUGUUUAAUAAACAAAUUGAAUCUAAAUCCGUAGAAUUUUGACCUAAUUCAUUUACUAUUCGAUUCAAAUUCGAUUAAUUUAUUCAUUUUACUGCCCCUAAAUUUAAUUCCACCAAAAAUUACUGAACAAUAAUAACCAUGGAACACGAACUCAAUGUACUAAUAAUUUAAAACACUACAUAAUUAUACACUAUUUUUCAUCCUAAAAAAUACGCCAUGUUUAUAUUGGUGUCCUUUGACUGUGAGUAUAUAUUGAGACUUCAUUUACCUCCUAAAUAUAUAAUUAGAUAUGAUUAUAUAUCUUUUCCAAUGUGUAGAAGGAAUAAAUAUCCUCUUUAAUAUUGGGAGAGUCUUUGAAGAGUAAAUGAUAAAUACUUUUUCUUUAAAAUAAUAUUCUUUCAGAUAAUUAUCUUUGAAAAAAUGACUUCUAAAAUGAUAAAUACUUACGUCAUUCAAUCUCUUUGAAAAAGCCAACCGGUGCGGGUGCAGGGUGCUGACUGAAACGACGCCGUAGGAUCCAAAGAUGUGCUACUGCUACCCAGUAGCGCCACGGGUCCACAACAACUUGAAGCAUUUCAGCUUUCCACUACCCAGGAGCCACGGGUAACGGGUUCACUCAUCCAUAAAGGCUGAAAAAUAUUUGAAAUUUCAAAAAUACAGCCGUUUUAAUUCUCCCUCUCAAUUGAGAAACCGCCACCGCUGAUCUCAUGCACAAAAAUGGAGAAAGGCCUGAUCUCGGUGGAUCGAUGGACAGAAGGAAGUCAGGUUUACUUUUUAACUCACCUACACUUGGACCACACCCAAGGCCUGAGCUCGGCGUGGGCGAGGGGCCCACUCUUCUGCUCGCGACUCACCGCCAAGCUCUUCCCCCUCAAGUUCCCCGGCUUGGACCUCUCGUUGAUUCGCGUCCUCGAUAUCGGUUCGUGGCAUUCGAUCUUCGUGGUCUCGCCGUCUUCCGGAGAGAAGACGUUUGUCGAAGUUAGCGCAAUUGACGCUCACCAUUGUCCCGGUAAGUCCCGAUUAAGCUGACAGUAAAGAUAACGGCGUUGAUAACGGACUGCAUUACUUUCGAGAAGUCGAUACAUACACACACAACACACACGGUCGCACGCACACACGAUAAUAAACGCGUUUAAAUCAUCUAAUAAAAUUGUAUAGCGAGAAAUAAUUUAAUUACAAAAAGGUUGCUCGACAUAUAUUGAAAAAUAAACAAGAAAUUGAACAAAGUCAUAAAUUUAUUGACAUCCGAAUUCUGAAUAUAUGGUGUGUGUCUUCAGUGGGGAAUGUUAUCUUUUGCAUACGGUUAUUUUUAUUGAUAUUUAAUACCUCAAUUUUAUGUUCAAUUGGAAGGAAUUCUAGGCAGUUCAGUUUUCUACUUACGGUAUUAUCACGAUCGUUGUUAUUGAGAAAAUUGUGGCAAUUUUUUUGAUUGAUCAUGAUGAUUUUCGUACGUGGCAGGCUCGGUGAUGCCGUUAUUUCGCGAAGCAUUUGGAUGCCUGCUCUAUACUGGUGAUUUUCGCUGGGAAGCAAGUAAUGAGAGGGCCGAGAUAGGAAGGAACACGCUCGUCAAAGCUUUAAAAGAUGAUGUAGUCGACAUUCUUUAUUUAGAUAACACAUAUUGCAAUCCAUCAUAUGCUUUUCCUUCACGAGAAGUUGCAGCUCAGCAGGUACACUUUUUAAAUUUCUCUCCUGCGUUAUCUUUUCCUUUCUAGUUUGACAACUUUCAGUUUCACUCCAGAAUUAUCUACUGAAUUAAAGAUUAAAAUGGUAGAUGAAAGAAAUAGUCCAGGUACUGAUUUGUAGUGUUAGUUAUCUGCCUGAAAACAGGUUGUUGACAUAAUUGCCUCCCAUCCAGAUCAUGACGUCAUCAUUGGGAUUGACUCACUUGGAAAAGAAGAACUUUUAUUUCACAUAUCGCAUAAGCUCAAUAUAAAGGUUUGCUCACCCUUUUUAUAUCGGAAAACCUUUUCUUACAUAACGAUCGUCACGAUGGUCUCUCCAAGGGGGAUGAAAUCAAUAGCAUAUAUACAGCAAAUUGACAUGUUAUCUAAUUUUUGGAUCACUUGUAGAUGAUUUAGAAGGAUUUUGAUAGUUUUUAUUCUUCUAACAUCUAAAAUAUGUUUUACUUUUUAGAAACUGGGCGGGUUAGAUUGUCAUUUGGUGGAUUUAAUUGUGGCCAAAUUCAUACAUCUAAUGUAUUGUCACUCAUGUAUUAUUGGAUGCAUCCAAUUGUAUGUUCUUCCUCCUACAUGUGCCAUGAGAACUUAAAACUGUCCUCUUCAUCUCUUGCAAAAUGUUGUUUAGUCACAAGCAAGUGGAAUAAAAAUUUUUGCAUUUAUUUCCAAAGCAGAUAUUUACUCUGUAUUUCUUGUUUCACAUUUUUUUUAUAGAUUUGGGUGUGGCCAGAACGCCUGCAAACCAUGCAUCUGCUUGGCUUCCAUGACAUAUUCACAACCAAAACUUCUCUUACUAGAGUGCGAGCUGUUCCACGGUAUAGUUUUAGCGUUGAUACUUUAGAGAGUUUAAAUACAAUGCACCCAACCAUUGGAAUUAUGCCAUCUGGUCUUCCUUGGGUGGUUCAGCCUCUUAAAGGAGGUGGCAGUCUUCCUGGUUCUCUUUUUUCUUCUUACCAGAGCAAAUGGAGAGCAACGAGUGGGACUCAGACUGAGAAACUGAAGGAAGCUUUAGGAUCAGUGGACAGGUUUCAUAAGUGCAUAUAUUCAGUUCCAUAUUCUGAUCACUCCUGCUUUACAGAGAUAGAGAAAUUUUUAAACCUUGUCCAGCCAUCGAAUAUCAGAGGCAUCGUGUCUUCAUCAUCUUGUUAUGUUGACCCUCUUUACUACUUUGGCCACCUUUGCAGAGCAAAUCAACCACCACUGAGGUAUAACCAGGAAAAGAGAGUGCAGCACAAAACAGUUGUAGCCGCCCAAAUAAAAUUCAAUGUUGAAAGUGGUAGAUCCACUAAGGUAGAUAGGAAACGUAGGACUGCAGAAGUAGGUAUUUUAGGAGUUCACAUGAGUAAGGUGGAUGCCCUUAGGCGGGCCCGACGAGGUGCGAAGCUUGCCGAAGUGAGAGUUCUGAUUGCUUAGUGUCAAAUAUCAAUAUCAGGUAAGCUUGAAAUUCUUGCAAGUAAUGUUACCUGUAUAGGUUUGAAUUCAGAGUGUAUCGUAUGGUUGCAGAAUACAUAUGAUGGUAUAGGGUGUAAGGAAUAUAAUCCUUUUUUCUAUUUACUUAUCUUGGAUGUCUAAAGCAACGGCCUGUUAGUGCUCAUUAAAGAAAAUGGUUGUGUGAAAGCACUUCGUCUGGAUCAGUCAUUUGAUUGUUUACACGGGAUAGUUAUAGUGUCUUUUUAGUUUAGAUUAUUAUAGUUGUUUUCAAACUUGUGGUGUUUAAACACAUUAUAGUUUGACAAUCAUGGUCUUUACUUGAUUUGCAAUAAGGUAAAGAAGUCAAAUGGGUAAUUAUUUUCUGUGAGAGUGAAUUGCGGCAAACGUGAGCAAUUUUUGCAUCAUUGUGCAUUUUGUUGUAGAAUGAGGAGUCAACUUUCCUGACCAUCUAGAUGAGCCUUUAGUUGAAUCUCUCCAUGGCCAUAAGUGGGCGGCAUAGACCAAAUCCUGCAACUAGUCAUGGUCUAAUAUGCAGACCACUCUGACUAUGGCCAAGACACUAGAAAAUGGUGAACGUUGACUAAGUUUUGAAAGUUAUCAAAUUUAAUAAAACAAAUCAAAUUUAUAAAGUUUUGAAAGUUAUCAAAAUUUAAUAAAAAAAAUCAAAUUUAUAAUUAAACUCCUCUUUAGCUAUUUUGAAGAUUAAUAUCAUAUUUCAGAUUUUCUAAUCAUGUUUUUUAUUUUGAAGAUUUCAGUUUUGACAAUUUGACUAAAUAAAUAUGCGGGUUAAAAAUUUCAUGAUCUAAAAAAAUGUAACGAGAACUAAUAAAAUUUAUUAUUUUAUUGCGUGUUAUAUCAUUUGAAAUGUUUAUUUAAUAUAAAUGGUAUGUCCGGCCUUGUGGUGGGUGCAAUUUGAGAUGGUAAAAAUUUUUUAUUUUGAAGACAACAGGUGAAUCCGAUUUACAUGGUAGUGUAAAAAGGUGAGUACUAUUUUAAAUGUUUAGUAUUAAUAUUAAAUUAAGAAGCCAUAAAGAAGUUAACCAGCCUAGAAGCCGUAAAGAAGUCAAGCGGCCUAGAAGCCAUAAAGAUGUCAAGCAGCCAAGAAGCCAUAAAGAAACCGAAGAUCAUAAACUAAAGAAAAGAUAAAACAGAGAGUAAUAGCAGCAGCAAAAAACAGAGAACAGCAGCUUAGAAGCCGUAAAAAAAUCAAGCGGCCUAGAAGCCAUAAAGAAGUCAAGCAGGUAGGAAGCCAUAAAAAAACCGAAGAUCAUAAGCUAAAGAAAAGAUAAAACAAAGAGUAAUAGCAGCAACAAAAAAUAGAGAACAACAGCUUAUAAAUAAAUAAAUAAAUAUAUAUAUAUACAGUACGGAUAUCCUCUUUUUUUUUCAUGCAAACAUGUGUUUAGAUCGUAUGAUUUAAUAGUAAGAUUUUAAUGCUAUUAAACUAUAUGAUUUUAUAGUACAUUCAAAAAUAAAUCUAUGAAGCCGCACGACUUAACAACAUAUUCGCAUUAAAAAGAAAAAGAGGGAAUUCUGUGCUUGAGAAUGAUUAUGUGUGUGUGUAAAUGUUCUAAUCUAAAAUUUUUAAUUUGUUAAAGUUUGGAAAAAUUAUUAAAUUAUGGUUUAAUAAUGUAAUGACUGUGAAAGUUAUUAAAUCACACGAUUUAAUAAUAUAAUGUCAUUUUACUUAGGGGUGGGCAUUUUACCCGAUCCGACCCGACCCGAUCCGACCCGACCCGAUAAAUUUCGGGUUCGGGUCGGGAUCGAAACCCGAUCGGUUUGAAAUUUACAAACCCGAUUGGGUUGUGAUCGGUUCGGAUCAAACCCGACCCGAUCCGAAUACCCGAUCGGGUUCUUAAAAAAAAAAAAAAAAAAAACGUACUGACCCGAAUUGACCUGAUUUCAACCGACCCGAACUGACCCGAAUUGACCCGAACUGACCCUAUUUCAACCGACCCGAAUUGACCCGAAUUGACCCAAAUUGACCCGAACUCAAUUCUACCCAUUUUAAAUCCAACCCGAUCCAAUCCGAACAUAACCCGAAUUAAUGACCCGACCCGAACUAUGUUCGGGUCGGUUCGGGUCGGGUCAAUAACUGCUGUACCGUACAUCCGCCUUGGCGUUUGCCCACCCCUAAUUUUACUAUUAAAUCAUGUGAUUCAAUAAUUUUUCUAGACUUUAAUAAAGUUCACUAUCUUGAAUUAGAUUAGCACUAUAUAUAUAUAUAUAUAUAUAUAUAUAUAUAGGGGGAGAGAGAGGGGACGAGGGGUAUAUGUAACAAACAAAUUUAAAGCACAACUAUAGUAAAAAUUUGUUAACCUUUAGAUUAGAACAAAAUAAAUGGCUGAGAUUUAAUGACGUUAAAAUAGAGCAUUAAUUUUAUGAUUUUUUUUCUCUUUCCUCUCCAUAGUGAAUUUAUUCUCUAUUUUCUUCAUUCUUCUUUUUUUCUCCCCUCUCAUUGCCACCUCUUCAACCUUUUAGGUUUCACCCAAAAAAAAUUAAUUCCAAAGGUAAAACAAACUGCACAUCUAAAUUGAAAAAUAUUUCGGGCAUAUAUUACAAAAACAAAACGCUACUAAAGACAAAUUGAAAAAUAUAACUGAAUUUAUGUUUUUUCUUUCUUUUAAUUCGUUUCACUGGAUCUUAAUUUGUUUUGUGCAAGUGAAAAGCUUUUCAAUUUGAGCGUAAUAAAAACCGAAAAAUUUUGAGGAGAAGGAUAGAGAGGAAAAAAUAGAUAAGAAUUGGAGUUUAAAUCUAUAUCUAUCUAUAUCUAUAUCUAUAUAUCUAUAUAAAGCUAGGACUUGAGGAGGUGAUGUGGUAUCACCAUUUCUCAAUAUAUUCUUUAUUAUCUAAUACAUUUCUCAUCUUUAUAUAUUCUUUAUUAUCUAAUAAAUAGAUAAAUUUUCUUUUAGAUUUGGCUUUUCAUCUUCUCAUAAUUAAUUUAAUUGUUAUUACAAAAUAACAAUUAUGUAAAUAUUUUAAUUAGGCAUAUUCUUUGUAAUGAACAUUCAAGGGAGAUUGUUAUGAAUUUAUUAAAAUAUAUAGAUGUUCAUAACAUAUAUCUCUUAGUCUCCCCACUAUCUCCCAUUAGCAACCUUUAGCUUCCUUAUAACUCCCACUAUCUCACAAGGAAUUAUGAUCCAUAAUUUUUCAUUAAUUUCAUAGAGUGAUUAUGUAAUUAUAAAAGGAGAGCUCAUCUUUUUGUUUUGUACACACACAAUUGGAAUGAAUAAAAUCACUCUAUAAUAUAUUCUCUCAUUUUAUUCUUUAUUUUGCGUUGCUUCUUUAUUUGUAUUGCUGGCUAAUAGCUUUUUUUGUUUUUUAUAAGGCUGCCUUAUCUUAAAAAAAAAUCAAUUCAUAUUUUUUAUCAGUUUCAUCAAGUGUAAAGGAAGAAAAAAAGAUAAUACUAAAUUUUUUUUUAAGCCGCGUGAAGCGCGGUUCUAUUUUCUAGUAUAUAUAUAAAGCUGUGACUUGAGAAUGUGAUGUGGCAUCACCAUUUCUCAUCUUUGUAUAUUCUCUAUUAUCUAAUAAAUAGAUAAAUUUUCUUUUAGAUUUGGCUUUUCAUCUUCUCAUAAUUAAUUUGAUUGUUAUUAUAUAAUAACAAUUAUGUAAAGAUUUUAAUGAGCCAUAUUCUUUGUAAUAAACAUCAAAGGGGGAGUGUUAUGAAUUUAUUAAAAUAAAUUUAGAUGUUCAUAACAUAUAUCUCUUAGUCUCCCCACUAUCUCUUUCUCCCCAUAAGUGAUUGCAGGUACACCAUCCGCCCAGUGACUAUAGUUAUUUUGAGUUUUAACCACAUGAUGGUGCUAAGACUGCUGUACCGUACAUCCGCCUUGGCCGUACAAGCUAAUAGCUUUUUUUGUUUGUUAUAAGGCUGCCUCAUCUUUAAAAAAAUCAAUUCAUAUUUUUUAUCAGUUUCAUCAAGUGUAAAAUAAGAAAAACGGAUACUAAAUUCUAUUUUCAAAGCCGCGUGAAGUGCGGUUUUAUUUUCUAGUAUAUAUAUAAAGUUGGGACUUGAGGAGGUGAUGUGGCAUCAUCAUUUCUCAUCUUUGUAUAUUCUCUAUUAGCUAAUAAAUAGAUAAAUUUUCUUUUAAAUUUGGCUUUUCAUAUUCUCAUAAUUAAUUUGAUUGUUAUUAUACAAUAAUAAUUAUGUAAAGAUUUUAAUGAGGCAUAUUCUUUGUAAUGAACAUCCAAGGGGGAGUGUUAUGAAUUUAUUAAAAUAAAUGUAGAUGUUCAUAACAUAUAUCUCUUAGUCUCCCCCAUUAUCUCCUAUUACCAACAUUUAGCUUCUCUAUAACUCUCACUAUCUCACAAGGAAUUAUGAUCCAUAAUUUUUCAUUAAUUUCAUGGAGUGAUUAUGUAAUUAUAAAAGGAGAGCUCAUCUUUUUGUUUUGUACACACACAAUUGGAAUGAAUAAAAUCACUCUAUAAUAUAUUCUCUCAUUUUAUUUUUUAUCUUGCGUUACUUCUUUAUUUGUAUUGCUAGCUAAUAGCUUUUUUUGUUUGUUAUAAGGCUGCCUCAUCUUUAAAAAAAUCAAUUCAUAUUUUUUAUCAGUUUCAUCAAGUGUAAAAUAAGAAAAACGGAUACUAAAUUCUAUUUUCAAAGCCGCGUGAAGUGCGGUUUUAUUUUCUAGUAUAUAUAUAAAGUUGGGACUUGAGGAGGUGAUGUGGCAUCAUCAUUUCUCAUCUUUGUAUAUUCUCUAUUAGCUAAUAAAUAGAUAAAUUUUCUUUUAAAUUUGGCUUUUCAUAUUCUCAUAAUUAAUUUGAUUGUUAUUACACAAUAACAAUUAUGUAAAGAUUUUAAUGAUGCAUAUUCUUUGUAAUGAACAUCUAAGGGGGAGUGUUAUGAAUUUAUUAAAAUAAAUGUAGAUGUUCAUAACAUAUAUCUCUUAGUCUCCCCCAUUAUCUCCUAUUACCAACAUUUAGCUUCUCUAUAACUCUCACUAUCUCACAAGGAAUUAUGAUCCAUAAUUUUUCAUUAAUUUCAUGGAGUGAUUAUGUAACUAUAAAAGAAGAGCUCAUCUUUUUGUUUUGUACACUCACAAUUGGAAUGAAUAAAAUCACUCUAUAAUAUAUUCUCUCAUUUUAUUCUUUAUCUUGCGUUGCUUUUUUUAUUUGUAUUGCUGGCUAAUAGCUUUUUUUUGUUUUUUAUAAGACUGCCUCACCUUUAAAAAAAAAAUCAAUUCAUAUUUUUUAUCAGUUUCAUCGAGUGUAAAGUAACAAAAAAGAAUAAUAUUAAAUUCUUUUUUCAAAGCCGCGUGAAGCGCGAUUCUAUUUUUUAAUUUAUUAAAAAGAAGAAGAACAACUAUGUUGAUGAAGAGGAGAAAAAUAAAUGUUAUAGUAUUAAUGUUUCAAAAUUAAUGUGCUACAUCAUAUAAUCCAUUAGAUAUUAGCCUUUGAUUUUGUUUUAAUCUAAUGGUUAAAAAUUUGUAUUUAAAUUUAUGUUUAAAAUUGUGUCUUUUGAACCUAUCAUAUAUGUAUAUAGUUUUUCUUUAAUCAGGAUAUAAUCAUUUUUAGAGUUUUAUUUAUUAGUUCAUUAAAAUAUGUGUUUUUUGUCUGUUUUAUAUUUAUAUAUAAGUUACUAAAUUAAGAGAUAAACUUAAAAAAUAAAUAUUAGUAUUUUUUUCCUAUAAUGUAUUGGAGUAUAUGAUUUUUUUUUGGUCUUUUAGCUUAUCUUUUUCUUUAAUAAUAUAAAAGAUUUCUCAUUGCAAAACUAUUAUAUAUAUAUACUGCUGUACGGCCAAGGCGCAAAUGGAGAAAGAUGACAGAUGUGAUCCGACAUAAAGCUGCCAAAAGCCCAUCAAGCUCGAUUUAUACUGAACUAAGAUAUGGGGUUUUAUUUAGUACUGAGAUGGUAUAAUUUUUAAUUUGGGUAAUUUUCGGAUACCUCCCCUGAGGUUUACCUCUGCUACACUUAGAGAGAAAGUAUGAAUAUAUUGACAUAUAGCACCCCUAAACGUAUAUAAGCAUUAGGAAGCCGUUUGGUUUGACAAUAAAAAUACAAUAAUGCCCUUCAUUCUACUUCUUGGCGCCAAGUGCAUAAGAACAAAGACAAGGCUGAUAUUAUACUCUUAUAAUAACUUGAAUUUUGUCUCAUUAUGACAUAAUGAGACAAAAUUCAUGUGAUUGCUGGAAAUGCUAAGAUACCCUUCAAAAAAUGUAUUUACAGUUACUGAAUGACUUACAUUUCAACAAUUUAAAAGCAAUAAAGCAAGGCUGAUAUUACCGUUAGAACAACCCAACGGUAAUAUCAGCCUUCUUGAGCUGUAUUUAAGAGCAAGUAAUACUCAUUUUUUGCCAAGAUUCACCACUAUCUAAUGCUUGUUAUGGAUUCAGCAAGCUCACAACAAACAACAGGAUCCAGCACCCGUGAAUGCAGAGGAUGGAGGGAUGAGAUUAAUGGCAACCUCAUUCGAUUUGCAAAUAAGACAUGUAAGUGCAACAGAAGAGCAAGUAUGAAGAUUUCGGAAUCAGAUGACAACCCAAACAAGCUAUAUUAUUGCUGUAUGGACAACUGGACAGCAGACAUGCCUGCGGCUACUUCAAGAAGGGUUUCCAAAGAGACAAAAACUUACAGCUUCAUCGAAGAGGACAUAAUCUUCCAUGGAAGCUGAGGCAAAGAACCAACAAAGACAUCAUCAAGAAUAAAGUUUAUAUCUGCCCAAAAAAGACUUGUGUUCAUCACGAACCAUCGAGGGCUCUCGGUGAUUUGACGGGUAUAAAGAAGCAUUUUAGCAGAAAACAUGGAGAAAAGAAAUGAAAGUGUGAGAAAUGUUCAAAGAAAUAUGCAGUUCAAUCUGACUGGAAAGCUCACUCCAAGACUUGUGGCACCUGAGAGUAUAAGUGUGAUUGUGGCACUUUAUUUUCCAGGUAUACGUGUAAAUAAAUUAAACUAAUAAAUGCUCAUGAGUGUUAUUGUUUUGUUCUGAAUUUAAUGCCGCGAGCAUUUGAUGAUCUUUGGGUAACAAUUAAUUCGGGGUUUUGUGGUUUGAAUUAAUUAAUUUCUUUAAUUGAUGAUCAACAACAUCUUAGGGUACUCCCUGAGGCAGAUUUACGGUAUGAUCAGUUCUGAAAUUCAGAUUUGAAGCAGCAGCAACUACUUAUGAAGCGAGUCUUGUGCUCUCUUCGGCUAAGGCGUCACAAAAAUCUCUGUGUAACCAUUUAUUGCUGUAUGGACAGCUGGACAGCAGACAAAGCUAUCUUAACCAUUUAAAAAUUGUAAAAUUUUAUAAUUAUGUUAUCAUCCUUGACUACCAAACGGCCCCUAACGGUUAUAUACGUCAUGGGUGCUAUAUGUCAAUCUAUUCAUACUUUCUCUCUAAGUGUAGCAGGGGUAAACCUCAGGAGAGGUAUCCGAAAAUUACCCAUUAGAGAUAUAUAACCAUAUUAAAAUUAGGGAUGGCAAAAAUCCCCACGGGGACGGGUACCCUCAGGGAUUUUUACCCUUUGUCGGGAAUUAGUUGAAGAGUAUUAAUUGAAGUUUUCACCAACUGUUUAUUGCUUUGCUGCUGUACGGCCAAGGCGGAUGUACGGUACAGCAGAAGUUCUCCUUUCCUAUUUCUGCAAAACCUUCUGGUUGGAGCAUAUAAAUUUCUUCUUCAAGUUCUCCAUGAAGAAAUGCAGUUUUCACAUGGUAGAGUUGUGAGCCCAUACCAUAACAAACUUCAUCCAAGCACAUUGGAGGCCUUAAUGUGCUGUCAAAGUUGGUUACGAGCUUACAAUAGCGGUAUGAGUUUAUUUUAAUAUGAUUAAUUUAAAAUUGAAAAUAAAAAAAUGUAUUAGACUAUUAGUUAUUCGGGAACCGGGAACCCUUGGAGAUCCCCUGUUAUUAUUCGGAGAGGGGAUGAGGAUUCUCUCAAGCAAUUCUGACGGGGACGGGAAGGGAACGGGGACAUAUGCAAAAUAUCAGGGAUAGAUAUGAAGAGAUUGGUCCCCUCUCCUCCCUUCCCCAUUGUCAUCCCUAAUUAAAAUGAUAAGGUAGAAGACUAAAAAAUGGAUUCCAAUUCAGUGUACUUUCUUGUGUAAAAUAUUAAAAUUUAUAUAUUUUUUAAUUUAUUCAUGAUUUUAAUGUGGUCAAGAUCUCUAACCAAAAGCUUGCUAUAUAUAUAUACUUUUCUUUUUUUUGGUGUGAGAAUAAAACAAGAGAAAAGGGUUGAACACUCUGAGUGGUGGAAUCUGUCCGUCAGGUGAAUUUAUUGACCACGAGCAGCAUCAGGUUAGACCUUUCAAAUCAAUGGGAAACUCCUUCAAAUUUGUACUGACGUACGAAGGUUAGGUUUGAAUAACUGAUUAUCAUCAUUGAAUCGACCGUCAGAUUUGUUUGCCGUAUGAAAUGGGAAACGAAAUACGAUCACCAGCCAGCCUAGCACAAAAAAAGAUAUUUUCGUUUUUUACGCAAGACAGUGUCGGUCUAUCGGCAAUUCAAAGAUUGCACAACUUGAUUGUCCGCUUCCAAUCACUCAUUUCUCUCUCUCUGCCCAACCAAACACGUAAAACUGAUUAACGUUGUUGAUGGAGUUUUAAAUGUGAUCAAAUGGCUGUGAUUGUUUGUAGGCUUGGUCCAAUAAAGCUUAAUCGACCUACCAGCCGCAAAAAGAAAAAAAGAAAAAAAAAUGAAUUGAAAUUGCUAUCACUGGCAGCAACUGGGCCCCAUUCACAUUACGAGGUUCACCUCCCCUAGAACUUGUACAUGUGGACACGGUUACAAACUAUUGCUUUUGCAGAAACAAUCCAAGUUGAUGUCUGGGGUGGAUAUUAAAAUCUUCCUAUUGACUUUUCUUUUACAAAUUUUCGGCUUUCUUAAUCCAACCCUGUGUGAUUGUGGGUUGUUAUGUGCGUGGUUGCGCGAAUUAAAAAAAAUAAAAAAUCAGUUCGUUUACCCAAAAAUGACCAAAGUAUUCCACAUUUAUGUAUUUUAGAGAGGUGCAACCUCAUGAUUGUUAUUUGUAAAGGGCGUAAUUGUCAGUUCAGGUAGCUUAGUUGACUUGGUACAGGACUAUAACAUCGUUCUUCUUCUCUCUCUCUGUCUGGCUGUUGUCUUUCUCUUAUGAGCAAUAAAACAAUACAUGAUAUGUAAAUUAUUUUUCACUUAAGUAUCUAUCUUGACAGCACAGAAUUUGUAGUUGUUGCAGCGGCCAUGGAAAUCAUCAAGAACAAUUCAUGGUUGAUGCUUUUUGUUCUUUUCACGUGCUUCUCACUCAAAUCCCAUGUCUCCUUCGGAGCUGACACCAUUUCUGCAAACCAAUCUCUCUCUGGUGAUCAAACGAUCGUUUCUAAAGGUGGGGUCUUUGUAUUUGGUUUCUUCAACCCAGCUCCUGGUAAGUCUUCAAACUAUUACAUAGGCAUGUGGUACAAUAAAGUCUCUGAAAGAACUAUAGUUUGGGUAGCCAACAGAGAACAGCCAGUUUCUGAUCGAUUCUCUUCGGUUUUAAACAUCUCAGAUGGUAACUUAGUUCUUUUUAAUGAGUCCCAACUACCCAUUUGGUCCACAAAUUUGACCGCUACCAGCAGACGUUCUGUGGACGCAGUUCUUUUGGAUGAAGGAAAUCUUGUUUUGAGAGAUUUGUCAAAUAAUUUGUCAGAGCCGUUAUGGCAAAGUUUUGAUCAUCCAGCUCAUACUUGGAUUCCCGGUAUGAAGUUGACGUUCAACAAGAGAAACAACGUCAGUCAACUUCUCACUUCAUGGAAGAAUAAAGAAAAUCCUGCACCGGGUCUCUUCUCCCUUGAGCUAGCACCAGAUGGAUCAAAUCAAUAUGUUAUUUUGUGGAAUAGGUCUGAGCAGUACUGGAGAAGUGGAACUUGGGAUGAUAAUGCAAAAAUUUUCAGCUUGGUCCCUGAAAUGACACUAAAUUAUAUCUACAAUUUCAGCUAUGUGUCGAAUGAAAACGAGAGCUAUUUCACCUACAAUGUGAAAGAUAGCACUUACACAUCUCGAUUCAUUAUGGAUUUUUCAGGACAGGUUAAGCAGAUGAAUUGGUUGCCUACCAACUCUUGGUUUCUGUUUUGGUCCCAACCAAGACAGCAAUGCGAGGUUUAUGCUUUUUGUGGUCAAUUUAGCACCUGCAAUGAGCAAACUGAGCGUUUUUGUUCUUGUUUGAAAGGUUUUCAACAAAAAUCGGUGAGUGACUGGAAUUUGGAAGAUUAUUCUGGUGGUUGUGUGAGGAAAACCCCGCUGCAGUGUGAAAAUAAUAGUCUUGCCAAUGGAAAAAGCGACCAAUUUUUGCAGUACAUUAACAUGAAUUUGCCUAAACAUCCACAAUCUGUGGCAGUAGGGGGUAUCAGGGAAUGUGAAACACACUGCUUGAAUAACUGCUCUUGCACUGCUUAUGCUUACAAAGACAACGCUUGCUCGAUUUGGGUAGGAAGUUUCGUGGGUCUGCAACAGCUACAAGGAGGUGGAGAUACCAUUUAUAUCAAGCUUGCCGCUUCUGAGUUCGAGAGUCCCAAGAAUAACAAGGGAGUAGUCAUUGGCAGUGUUGUGGGCUCAGUGGCUGUCGUAGCUCUUAUUGGCCUGAUCAUGCUUGUACACUUGAGAAGGAGAAAGACAGCAACUGUAACAACCAAAACUGUGGAGGGUUCUUUGGUGGCAUUUGCAUACAAGGAUUUGCAAACUGCCACAAAGAAUUUCUCUAAAAAGCUGGGGGGAGGAGGUUUUGGUUCAGUUUUCAAAGGGGUGUUGCCGAAUUCAAGUCUUAUAGCUGUGAAGAAGCUUGAAAGCUGGAGCCAAGGAGAGAAGCAAUUUCGGACUGAAGUCAGUACCAUAGGGAAUAUCCAACAUGUCAAUCUGGUUCGGCUUCUGGGUUUCUGCUCUGAAGGUACUAGUAGGUUGUUGGUCUACGAUUUCAUGCCAAACGGUUCUUUAGACUCUCAUCUCUUCACUGAAAAAGAUUCAGACUUUCUUGAUUGGAAGACAAGAUACCAAAUUGCACUGGGGACAGCCAGAGGUUUGGCUUAUCUUCAUGAGAAGUGCAGAGACUGCAUCAUACACUGUGACAUAAAGCCAGAGAACAUUCUGUUAGACGCUGAAUUUUGUCCCAAAGUGUCGGAUUUUGGGCUGGCAAAGCUUGUUGGGAGGGAGUUCAGCCGUGUCCUAACAACCAUGAGAGGAACAAGAGGUUACCUUGCACCUGAAUGGAUUUCAGGAGUGGCCAUAACAGCCAAAGCGGAUGUCUACAGCUAUGGAAUGAUGCUGUAUGAAUUUGUAUCAGGAAGGAGGAACUCCCAGGAAUCUGAAGAUGGUAAAGUGAAGUUCUUCCCAUCUUGGGCUGCUAAACAAAUAGUUGAAGGCAGCAAUCUCAUUAGCCUAUUAGACCCAAGACUGGAGGGCAACGCUGACGAAGAAGAGCUUGCAAGACUUUGCAAUGUGGCUUGUUGGUGCAUCCAAGAUGAUGAGACUCACAGGCCAUCAAUGGGUCAAGUAGUUCAAAUUCUUGAGGGAGUUUUGGACGUGACACUGCCUCCAAUUCCCAGAGCUCUCCAAGUAAUGGUCGAUGACCAUGAGCACGUAGUCUUCUUCACUGAAUCAUCCACAUCUCAGAGUUCCCUGUCAAAGAGCAACAAUUCAACUGCUUCAUCUCAAGCAAAGAGUACCACAUCAUCAAGAAGUUCUUAAAUCGAUGUGAAGAAAAUAUUUUAACAUUUGUGUUUAAGAAUAUAUAUUUGGUUUAUUUCACUUGUAACAACCUGUAUGCAUAUUUGGAUAGAAGCCUUGCUUCGUAGUGUAUAAUAAUAAUGCCCCCUGCCAAAGCAAUUUUAAGAAUCACAAGCCUUGUGCCUCGCUGUUCUCUCUAAUGAACUCUGAUUGAUCUAUGCUCCUCUGCAUUGACUAUUGGCUUCACCUAAUCGCUUCAAUUGGCAAAAUUAGGUAUUGAAAUGAAAGCGACUUGGAACUUGGAAGUUAUCCAGAAGAAGGGGAAAAACAGCAAAAACAAUCAAACAAACAAACAUAAACGUGACGUAGUAACAAAUAACAUGGGUCAAGAUAUAAAUCAACUGGCCAACAUUGUUCAAUAAACUUUUUCCAACAUCUAAACUUUUUCAACCGAACCUGAAUUUUCUUGAGAGUUUUUUUGAGGCAUCAUGAUUGGUAAGGAGCUUGAAGGCAAAGUUCAACAGUUUCAUGACAAAGUUACAACCAUCGAUGAAAAGGUUACGACCUUAGCCAAGCAAAAUAACGAUUUGCAGAAACUCAUGAAACAUCCUUCAGCAAUUGAGCCAGUUGCGAAAAGAAAAACAACCGACUACUGAUCAAAGACAAGUUGAUAUAUUUACUGGAGGGACCUCUGCUCCUCAAAUGGUAAUUGCUACCCAACCACCUCUUGAACCUGCCGAACGCAUUGGAAGUACUCUCAUGCAAGCUCGUAACAUAUGACUUGACUUUCUUAUUUUUCAUGGUGCCAAUCAAACGGGAUGGAUUUUUCGAUAUGAGCAAUAUCGUCGCCUUACUGGAUUAUCAGAUGCUGACUUAUUGUCCUUAGCUAUUGGCCAUCUUGAUGGUGAUACUGUACCUUGGUUUAAUUGGAUAGAGCAAACUAUGGGCGCAAUUUAAACGGGCUUUGACUACUCAAUUUGGGACAUUAGAAGAGAAUGAUGCAGUUGGCAGUCUUACCAAACUACGUCAAAUAGGGACCGUUCUUGACUAUCAACGACAAUUUGAAAAGUUGGCUAAUCAGACUAGAAAUUUAACUGAGUCUUUCUUUAUCAGUUGUUUCCUCUCUGGGUUGCGUGAAGAUAUCAAGGCUGGCGUACAACUGUUCAAACCUGUUAGUCUUGUACAAACUUUUGAACUUGCUAGGUUUAGUAAAAGACAAUUACUUUGCAAGGCAACUGUUCCCCUGUUCCUGCCAUCCAAGAUCUAGUCCCACAAUUACAGCCGACUCCUACUCCACCAACACCCUCUUUAUUAGGACUGAUUUCCUCUACCUUACCUAAUAAUGUCAAACGUUUAUCCUCAGCUGAGCAGACAGAAAGACGUUCUGAAGGGCUCUGUUUCAACUCUGAUGAGCAAUUCAAGCCUGAACAUCGUUGCAAACAAUCUCAACUAUUGCUUUUAGACGCUGCUAUACCUCUUCACAACCCUCCAAAACCGCCUGACCAUCAUUCGGAUUGGAAGAUCUCGAUUAUUGAGACUGGGUAAAAGGCUUUCAGACAAGCCUGUUUGAAGGGGCAGGGAAUGUUAGGACCCUAAUAAUUUAUUUUAUUACUUGUUUUAAUUUUUUUUCCUAUUAAUACUAGGUUUUCUUAUUUCAAUUAUGAAUUAAUGCUCUUAUUAAAUUACAAUUAGAACCGUCUUGAACUACUAUAAAUAAGUGGUUCUUAUUAUAUUUUUGAAGGAGCAACAAUAAAAUUAAUUCUAAUCUCAGUUAAUUCUUCUCUCUUCCCUCUGAAUUCUUAAAUUCUUCAUUUAUUUCUCCCUUAAUUCUCUAACCAAAACCUCAUAAUCCUACCAGUAACGGACUGCAUUACGUUCGAGAAGACGAUUUACACACACACAAGAUAAUAAAGGCAUUUAAAUCACCUAAUUAAGUUGUAUAGGGAUAAAUAAUUAAAUUACAAAAAGCUCGACAUAUACUGAAAAAUAAAAAAGAAAUUGAACAAAGUCAUAAAUUUAUUGACAUCUAAAUUCUGAAAAUUGGUGUGUGUCUUCAGUAGGGAAAGUUAUCAUUUACAUACGGUUAUUUUUAUUGAUAUUUAAUACCUCUAUUUUAUGUUCAAUUGGAAGGAAUUCUAGGCUGUUCAGUUUUCUACUUACGGUAUUAUCACGAUCGUUGUUAUUGAGAAAAUUGUGGCAAUUUUUUUGAUUGAUAAUGAUGAUUUUAGUACGUGGCAGGCUCGGUGAUGCUGUUAUUUCGCGGAGCAUUUGGAUGCCCGCUCUAUACUGGUGAUUUUCGCUGGGAAGCAAGUAAUCAGAGGGCCGAGAUAGGAAGGAACACGCUCGUCAAAGCUUUAAAAGAUGAUGUAGUCGACAUUCUUUAUUUGGAUAACACAUAUUGCAGUCCAUCAUAUGCUUUCUUGUUUGAGAACUUUAUAUAUCCAAACUGAUAUAUGAUAGCAGGUACACUUUUUAUAUUUUUCCUUUCUUGUUUGAGAACUUUCAGUUUCACUCCAGAAUUAUCUACUGAAUUAAAGAUUAAAAUGGGAGAUGAAAGAAAUAGUCCAGGUACUGAUUUGUAGUGUUAGUUAUCUGGAUGAAAACAGAUUGUUGACAUAAUUGCCUCCCAUCCAGAUCAUGACAUCAUCAUUGGGAUUGACUCACUUGGAAAAGAAAAACUUUUAUUUCACAUAUCGCAUAAGCUCAAUAUAAAGGUUUGCUCACCCUUUUAAUAUCGGAAAACCUUUUCUUACAUAACGAUCAUCACGAUGGUCUCUCCAAGGGGGAUGAAAUCGAUAGCAUAUAUACAGCAAAUUGACAUGUUAUCUAAUUUUUGGAUCACUUGUAGAUGAUUUAGAAGGAUUUUGAUAGUUUUUAUUCUUCUAACAUCUAAAAUAUGUUUUACUUUUUAGAAACUGGGCGGGUUAGAUUGUCAUUUGGUGGAUUUAAUUGUGGCCAAAUUCAUACAUGAAAUGUAUUGUCACACAUGUAUUAUUGGAUGCAUCCAAUUGUAUGUUCUUCCUCUUCAUGUGCCAUGAGAACUUAAAACUGCCCUCUUCAUCUCUUGCAAAAUGUUGUUUAGUCACAAGCAAGUGGAAUAAAAUUUUUGCAUUCAUUUCCAAAGCAGAUAUUUACUCUGUGUUUCUUGUUUCACAUUUCUUUUUUUUUUUAUAGAUUUGGGUGUGGCCAGAACGCCUGCAAACCAUGCAUCUGCUUGGCUUCCAUGACACAUUCACAACCAAAACUUCUCUUGCUAGAGUGCGAGCUGUUCCACGGUAUAGUUUUAGCAUUGAUACUUUAGAGAAUUUAAAUACAAUGCACCAAACCAUUGGAAUUAUGCCAUCUGGUCUUCCUUGGGUGGUUAAGCCUCUUAAAGGAGGUCCUGGUUCUCUUUUUGCUUCUUACCAAAGCAAAUGGAGAGCAACGGGUUGAACUCAGACUGAGAAACUAAAAGAAGCUUUGGGAUCAGUGGACAGGUUUCGUAAGUACAUAUAUUCAGUUCCAUAUUCUGAUCAGUCCUGCUUUGCAGGGAUAGAGGAAUUUUUAAACCGUGCCCAGCCAUCGAAUAUCAGAGGCAUCGUGUCUUCAUCGUCCUGUUAUGUUGACCCUCUUUACUACUUUGGCCACCUUUGCAGAGCAAAUCAACCAUCACUGAGGUAUAAGCAGCAACAGAGAGUGCAGCACAAAACAGUUGUAGCCGCCCAAAUGAAAUUCAUUGUUGAAAGUGGUAGAUCCACUAAGGUAGAUAGGAAACGAAGGACUGCGGAAGUAGGUAUUUUAGGAGUUCGCAUGAGUAAGGUGGAUGCCCUUAGGCGGGCCCGACGAGGUGCGAAGCUUGCUCGAAGUGAGAGUUCUGAUUAAUUAGUGUCAAAUAUCAAUAUCAGGUAAGCUUGAAAUUCUUGCGAGUAAUGUUGCCUGUAUCAGUUUGAAUUCAGAGUCUAUUGUAUGGUUGAAGAAUACAUAUGGUGGUGUAGGGUGUAAGAAAAAUAAUCUUUUAUUUAUUUAUUUAUUUAUCUUGGAUGUCUAAAGCGACGGCCUAUUAGUGCUCAUUAAAGAAAAUGGUUGUGCGAAAGCACUUCGUCUGGAUCAAUCAUUUGAUUGUUUACGCGGGAUAGUUAUAGCGACUUUUCAAACUCGUGGCCUUUAAACACAUUAUAGUUUGCAAUCGUGGUCUUUACUCUUUACUUGAUUUGCAAUGAGGUAAAGAAGUCAAAUGACGGACCAAGAUAUUAGUUGAAGAAGCCAUACUACGGAUACGUCGCACGAGGUAUAUGUAAUCCCACGACACCUGGCAAGCGGACCGAAUCCAUGCGACUAUAGUAGCAGAGUCCGAUUCUACCUGCAAUAUAGAAUGGCCGAGGUGAGCUGCAAGCUCUAAGCUCUCAUGAACAGCCAUAAGCUCUAUGUAAAGGAUCGGACGAUAACCUAGGAAUGAUCCAAAAGUGCCUAAGAGCUCUCCCCAAGAGUCACGUAAAAUGCCCCCUGAAGCAGCCAUCCCUGGGUUUCCCCUAGAGCACCCAUCCACUGUCAACUUCACCACCCCCGGAGGUGGUCGAAUCCGAGAAAUCAGCCGAAGUGGUCUCCUAUGCCGUGUAACAACACGCCAUCCGUCCACUAAUCUACUAUCCAGGACGCCGCGCAGUUGGGAUGUUUUAAAACCGAAAGCAAAGCUGGCCAGCUUAAGAUCUGAAACUACUCGAAAAAUGACCGCAUCUACAAAAAAUGCCAUUGAAUCAAAUCUGUAAGCAUUUCGGGCCUUCCACACGUGCCAGAGGAUGAAACAAGGAAGUAGAACUCAAAUAUGGUUUCGGGAAGGAGCACAGCGCCUCCAGUGGCGAAGCAGCGCAUGAGGGGAGCGUUAUCUUUACUUGAUUUGCAAUAAGGUAAAGAAGUCAAUUGGGUAAUUUUUUUCUGUGAGAGUGAAUUGCGGCAAACGUGAGCAAAUUUUGCAUCAUUGUGCAUUUUGUUGUAGAAUGAGGAGAGUCAAUUUUCCUGACUAUCUAGACGAGUCUUUAGUUGAAUCUCUCCAUGGCCAUAAGUGGCCGGCAUAGACCAAAUCCUGAAACUGGUCAUAGUCCAAUAUGCAGACCACUCUGACUAUGGUCAAGACACUGGAAAAUGGUGAACGUUAGCUAAGUUUUGAAAGUUACCAAAAUUUAAUAAUAUCAUGUUUCUGAUUUCUAAUCAUGUUUUUUAUUUUGAAGAUUUCAGUUUUGACAAUUUGACUAAAUAAAUAUGCGGGUUAAAAUUUUCAUGAUCUAAAAAAAUGUAACGAGAACUAAUAAAAUUUAUUAUUUUAUUACGGUUUAUAUCAUUUGAAAUGUUGAUUCAAUAUAAAUGAUAUGUCCGGCCUUGUGGUGGCUGGUGGGUGCAAUUUGAGAUGGUAAAAUUUUUUUAUUUUGAAGACAAGAUGUGAAUCCCAUUUAAUAUUAUUAUUAAAUUAAGCAGUAUAAAGAAGUUAAGCAACCCAAAACCAUAAAGAAGUCAAACAGGCUAGAAGCCGUAAAGAAGUCUAGAAGCCAUAAAGAAACCGAAUAUCAUAAACUAAAGAAAAGAUAAAAUAUAGAGUAAUAACAGCAGCAAAAAAACAGAGAACAGUAGCGCCACAACAGAUCUAAUACUUGUCCGUUUGUAAUCAUAUGUUUGCUGUUGUUCUUUGUUUAUUGCAGCUGCUAUUACUCUCAUUUUAGCUUUUCCUUAGCUUAUGAUCUUCGGUUUCUAUAUGGCUUCUUGGCUGCUUAACUUCUUUACGGCUUCCAGGCCGCUUGACCUCUUAACGUCUCCUAAGUGUUUGACUUCUUUAUGGUUUACCCCAAAAUGACCGAAGUGUUCCACAUUUAUGUAUUUUAAAGAGGUGCAACCUCAAGAUUGUAAUUUGUAAAGGGCAUAAUUGUCAGUUCAAUUAGCUUAGUUGACUUGGGGAAGGACUAUAACAUCGUUCUUCUUCUCUAUGUCGGUCUGUCUAGCUGUUGUCUUUCUCUUAUGAGCAAUAAAACAAUACAUGAUAUGUAAAUUAUUUUUCACUCAAGUAUCUAUCUUGAUAGCACAGAAUUUGUUGUUGUUGCAGCAGCCAUGGCAAUCAUCAAGAACAAUUCAUGGUUGAUGCUUUUUGUUCUUUUUACGUGCUUUUCACUCAAAUCCCAUGUCUCCUUCGGAGCUGACACCGUUUCUGCAAACCAAUCUCUCUCUGGCGAUCAAACGAUCGUUCAAGGCGGAUGUACGGUACAGCAGUUCCUUCACGAGAAGUUGCAGCUCAGCAGGUUCUCUUCGGUUUUAAGAAUCUCAGAUGGUAACUUAGUUCUUUUUAAUGAGUCCCAACUACCCAUUUGGUCCACAAAUUUGACCGCUACCAGCAGACGUUCUGUGGAAGCAGUUCUUUUAGAUGAAGGAAAUCUUGUUUUGAGAGAUUUGUCAAAUAAUUUGUCAAAGCCUUUAUGGCAAAGUUUUGAUCAUCCAGCUCAUACUUGGAUUCCCGGUAUGAAGCUGACGUUCAACAAGAGAAACAACGUCAGUCAACUUAUCACUUCAUGGAAGAAUAAAGAAAAUCCUGCACCGGGUCUCUUCUCCCUUGAGCGAGCACCAGAUGGAUCAAAUCAAUAUGUUAUGUUGUGGAAUAGGUCUGAGCAGUACUGGUCAAGUGGACCUUGGGAUGAGAAUGCAAAAAUUUUCAGCAUGGUCCCUGAAAUGAAUCAAAACUAUAUCUACAAUUUCAGCUAUGUGUCGAAUGAAAACGAGAGCUAUUUCACCAACAAUGUGAAAGAUAGCACUUACACAUCUCGAUUCAUUAUGGAUGUUUCAGGACAGGUUAAGCAGAUGAAUUGGUUGCCUACCAACUCUUGGUUUCUGUUUUGGUCCCAACCAAGACAGCAAUGCGAGGUUUAUGCUCUUUGUGGUCAAUUUAGCACCUGCAAUCAGCAAACUGAGCGUUUUUGUUCUUGUUUGAAAGGUUUUCAACAAAAAUCGGUGAGUGACUGGAAUUUGGAAGAUUAUUCUGGUGGUUGUGUGAGGAAAACCCCGCUGCAGUGUGAAAAUAUUAGUCCUGCCAAUAGAAAAAGCGACCAAUUUUUCCAGUACAGUAACAUGAAAUUGCCUAAACAUCCACAAUCUGUGGCAGUAGGGGGUAUCAGGGAAUGUGAAACACACUGCUUGAAUAACUGCUCUUGCACUGCUUAUGCUUACAAAGACAACGCUUGCUCGAUUUGGGUAGGAAGUUUCGUGGGUCUGCAACAGCUACAAGGAGGUGGAGAUAUCAUUUAUAUCAAGCUUGCAGCUUCUGAGUUCGAGAGUCCCAAGAACAAGAAGGGAGUAGUCAUUGGCGGUGUUGUGGGCUCAGUGGCUGUCGUAGCUCUUAUUGGCCUGAUCAUGCUUGUAUACUUGGGAAGGAGAAAGACAGCAACUGUAACAACCAAAACUGUGGAGGGUUCUUUGGUGGCAUUUGCAUGCAAGGAUUUGCAAACUGCCACAAAGAAUUUCUCUAAAAAGCUGGGGGGAGGAGGUUUUGGUUCAGUUUUCAAAGGGGUGUUUCCGAAUUCAAGUCUCAUAGCUGUGAAGAAGCUUGAAAGCUUGAGCCAAGGAGAGAAGCAAUUUCGGACUGAAGUCAGAACCAUAGGGAAUAUCCAACAUGUCAAUCUGGUUCGGCUUCUGGGUUUCUGCUCUGAAGGUACUAGUAGGUUGUUGGUCUACGAUUUCAUGCCAAACGGUUCUUUAGACUCUCAUCUCUUCACUGAAAAAGAUUCAGACUUUCUUGAUUGGAAGACAAGAUACCAAAUUGCACUGGGGACAGCCAGAGGUUUGGCUUAUCUCCAUGAGAAGUGCAGAGACUGCAUCAUACACUGUGACAUAAAGCCAGAGAACAUUCUGUUAGACGCUGAAUUUUGUCCCAAAGUGUCGGAUUUUGGGCUGGCAAAGCUUGUUGGGAGGGAGUUCAGCCGUGUCCUAACAACCAUGAGAGGAACAAGAGGUUACCUUGCACCUGAAUGGAUUUCAGGAGUGGCCAUAACAGCCAAAGCGGAUGUCUACAGCUAUGGAAUGAUGCUGUAUGAAUUUGUAUCAGGAAGGAGGAACUCCCAGGAAUCUGAAGAUGGUAAAGUGAAGUUCUUCCCAUCUUGGGCUGCUAAACAAAUAGUUGAAGGCAGCAAUCUCAUUAGCCUAUUAGACCCAAGACUGGAGGGCAACGCUGACGAAGUAGAGCUUGCAAGACUUUGCAAAGUGGCUUGUUGGUGCAUCCAAGAUGAUGAGACUCACAGGCCAUCAAUGGGUCAAGUAGUUCAAAUUCUUGAGGGAGUUUUGGACGUGACACUGCCUCCAAUUCCCAGAGCUCUCCAAGUAAUGGUCGAUGACCAUGAGCACGUAGUCUUCUUCACUGAAUCAUCCACAUCUCAGAGUUCCCUGUCAAAGAGCAACAAUUCAACUGCUUCAUCUCAAGCAAAGAGUACCACAUCAUCAAGAAGUUCUUAAAUCGAUGUGAAGAAAAUAUUUUAACAUUUGUGUUUAAGAAUAUAUAUUUGGUUUAUUUCACUUGUAACAACCUGUAUGCAUAUUUGGAUAGAAGCCUUGCUUCGUAGUGUGUAUAAUAAUAAUGGAACCUGCCAAAGCAAUUUUAAGAAUUACAAGCCUUGUGCCUCGCUGUUCUCUCUAAUGAACUCUGAUUGAUCUAUGCUCCUCUGCAUUGACUAUUGGCUUCACCUAAUCGCUUCAAUUGGCAAAAUUAGGUAUUGAAAUAAAAGUGACUUGGAACUUGGAUGUUAUCCCGAAGAAGGGGAAAAACAGAAAAACAAUCAAACAAAUAAACAUAAACGUGACGUUGUAACAAAUAAUGUUUGGUAGUAUAUGAUAUGCAUACAUAAAUCGAAAACCAUAAAAUGUAAAAUAACUAGGUUAAGUGUGGUUAACUAAUCGAGACUUAAGUCUUAAUUUCUCUUAUAAAAACUUAAGUGUUGUAUCUAAGUCCGUCGUCAAUUUAAUACUUUUAAUAUAAGUUAUUAUUUAGAAAAGAAGGUGUGUUCAAUGAAUGACUUAUUUAUGAGUGCUAAUUAGAUUAAAAUUUAGAAUUUAGGAUAAAUUUACAGAAUCAUAAAUUAAUUUAUAAUAUUAUGAAAAUUAAUUUAUGACAUCAUAAAUUUGUCCCAAAUUUUGAAUUCAAACUUUAAUUUCAGAUUGAAAAAUUUUUCUCUAUCCAUAAAGUGUUUGGUUAAGGGGAAAAAAAUCAAAAGAAAAAAAAUCUAGGUGGGUGGUAUGACGUGGGGUUUACGUUUAAUGCGUAAAACAUGAUUUUAAUGUUUAUUUCUCACGAGGCAACAUUGAGAAUAUCGGAGUUGAGUUUAACACAAUUAAUCCUUAGCAAAUAUAUUAAAGCGAUUACACUUCCUGUCUCUCGUCUCAUGCAUGUUACUGCUGAUUGCCUUUGAUAUUUUAAACCAAUUUUGAUUCACCAAAUAAUCAAUCGAUUAAUUUAUUUGCUCUAAAUUCUCAUAACUUAUCCACUACAGAUUUCCAAUGCGGACUCAAGUAUGAAGUUUUUCUAGCCUCAUAUUUGCAUUCGUAAUUAUCACGUCACAUGUACAAGAGAAUGAUUUGAUAUACAAUUGAACAGAUAUUAAUGAAUCUAGAGUAGUUUCAAAUUAGUCAUCGACAUAAUUGAUGCUAAAAUAAUUUCUAAGAGACAAAUUUUAAUCUCAAAUCCCCCAAAAAAAAGAGUAGAUAAUUAAAAAAAAAAAAGCACAAACAAUUGCAAAAAGCUAUUUUUUAUAGUUUCACUUCAGUUCACAGCCUCCUCAUAUCGAGAAACAGCUUCUGAUCAAGCUCAAACUCUUGAAACAUAUUAUUUGUUACAUAUUUUUCAUGAACCAACUGGCCAACAUUGUUGAACUGUCGAUAUUUUUAUUGACUUCAAUUGACUAACAAGUUUCCUUCUUUUCUUGAAGGAUGGCUUUGACGGCGUUUCUUGAAGGAUGACUUGGACCUCUCGUUGAUUCGCGUCCUCGAUAUUGGUUCGUGACAUUCGAUCUCCCUGAUCUCGCCGCCUUCCGGAGAGAAGACGUUUGUCAAAGUUAUCGCAAUCGACGCUUGCCAUUGUCCUGGUAAGUCAUGGUUAAGCUAACAGUAACAAUAACGGCAUUGAUAACUGUUAGAACACUAAUAGUUUAUUUUAUUACUUGUUUUAAUUCAUUUCUUCUUAGCAUUAGGUUUUUUUUUUCAAUUAUAAAUUAAUGUUUUUAUUAAAUUAUAGUUAGGACUGUCUUAAACGAUUAUAAAUAAAUAGUUUUUAUUAUAUUUUUGAGGAAAUAAUAAUAAAAUUAAUUCUAAUUUCUGUUAAUUCUUUUCUCUUCCCUCUGAAUUCUUAAAUUCAUUAUUUAUUUCUCUUUUAACUCUCUAAUCAAAACCUUAGAAUCCUACCAUCUGGUAUUAGAGCACAUCCUUCCUGCCACAAUUUUUAUUUUUCCAUUCACUAUUUUUUUUUAAAAGUCAUCAACCAAACUUUUGCCAAUAUCUCUUGGCUUUUGACUGGAGACUUAAACCGGACCCACCCUCUAAACUUUUUCCAAUAUCUAAACUUUUUCAACCGAACUUGAAUUUUCUUGAGAGUUUUUUUGAGGCAUCAUGAUUGGUAAGGAGCUUGAAGGCAAAGUUCAACAGUUUCAUGACAAAGUUACAACCAUCGAUGAAAAGGUUACGACCUUAGCCAAGCAAAAUAACGAUCUGCAGGAACUCAUGAACGACAUCCUUCAGCAAUUGAGCCAGUUGCGAAAAGGAAAACAACCGACUACUGAUCAAAGACAAGUUGAUAUAUUUACUGGAGGGACCUCUGCUCCUCAAAUGGUAAUUGCUAUCCAACCACCUCUUGAACCUGCCGAACGCAUUGGAAGUACUCUCAUGCAAGCUCGUAACAUAUGACUUGACUUUCCUAUUUUUCACGGUGACAAUCGAACGGGAUGGAUUUUUCGAUAUGAGCAAUAUCGUUGCCUUACUGGAUUAUCAAAUGUUGACUUAUUGUGCUUAGCUAUUGGCCAUCUUGAUGGUGAUACUGUACCUUGGUUUCAUUGGAUAGAGCAAACUAUGGGCGAAAUGACUUGGGCGCAAUUUAAAUGGGCUUUCACUACUCAAUUUGGGACAUUAGAAGAGAAUGAUGCAGUUGGCAGUCUUACCAAAUUACAUCAAAUAGGGACAGUUCUUGACUAUCAACGACAAUUUCAAAAGUUGACCGAUCAGACUAGCAAUUUAACUGAGUCUUUCUUCAUCAGUUGUUUCCUUUAUGGGUUACAUGAAGAUAUCAAGGCUGGCGUACAACUGUUCAAACCUGUUAGUCUCGUACAAACUUUUGAACUUGCUAGGUUUAGUAAAAGACAAUUACUUUGCAAGGCAACUGUUCCCCCGUUCCCGCCAUCCAAGAUCUAGUCCCACAAUUACAGUUGACUCCUACUCCACCAGCAGCAGACAGAAAGACGUUCUAAAGGGCUUUGUUUCAACUGUGACGAGCAAUUUAAGCCUGGGCAUUGUUGCAAACAAUCUCAACUAAUGCUUUUAGACGUUGAUAUAACUCUUCACAACCCUCCAAAACCGCCUGACCAUCAUUCAGAUUGGAAGAUCUCGAUUAUUGAGACUAGGUAAAAGGCUUGCAGACAAGCCUGUUUUAAUGGGCAGGGAAUGUUAGGACCCUAAUAAUUUAUUUUAUUGCUUGUUUUAAUUUUUUUCCUAUUAAUAUUAGGUUUUCUUAUUUCAAUUAUGAAUUAAUGCUCUUAUUAAAUUAUAAUUAGGACCGUCUUGAACUACUAUAAAUAAGUGGUUCUUAUUAUAGUUUUGAGGGAGCAACAAUAAAAUUAAUUCUAAUCUCAUUUAAUUCUUCUCUCUUCCCUCCGAAUUCUUAAAUUCUUCAUCUAUUUCUCCCCUAAUUCUCUGACCAAAACCUCAUAAUCCUACUAGUAACGGACUGCAUUACGUUCGAGAAGACAAUUUACACACACACAAGAUAAUAAAGGCAUUUAAAUCACCCAAUUAAGUUGUAUAGCGAUAAAUAAUUAAAUUACAAAAAGCUCGACAUAUACUGAAAAAUAAAAAAGAAAUUCAACAAAGUCAUAAAUUUAUUGACAUCUGAAUUCUGAAAAUAUGGUGUGUGUCUUCAGUUGGGAAAGUUAUAAUUUGCAUACGGUUAUUUUUAUUGAUAUUUAAUACCUCUAUUUUAUGUUCAAUUGGAAGGAAUUCUAGGCAGUUCAAUUUUCUACUUACGGUAUUAUCACGAUCGUUGUUAUUGAGAAAAUUUUGGCAAUUUUUUUGAUUGAUCAUGAUGAUUUUAGUACGUGGCAGGCUCGGUGAUGUUGUUAUUUCGCGGAGCAUUUGGAUGCUUGCUCUAUACUGGUGAUUUUCGCUGGGAAGCAAGUAAUAAGAGGGCUGAGAUAGGAAGGAACACGCUCGUCAAAGCUUUAAAAGAUGAUGUAGUCGACAUUCUUUAUUUGGAUAACACAUAUUGCAGUCCAUCAUAUGCUUUUGCUUCAGGAGAAGUUGCAGCUCAGCAGGUACACUUUUUAUAUUUUUCCUUUCUUGUUUGAGAACUUUCAGUUUCACUCCAGAAUUAUCUACUGAAUUAAAGAUUAAAAUGGGAGAUGAAAGAAAUAGUCCAGGUACUGAUUUGUAGUGUUAGUUAUCUGGAUGAAAACAGAUUGUUGACAUAAUUGCCUCCCAUCCAGAUCAUGACAUCAUCAUUGGGAUUGACUCACUUGGAAAAGAAAAACUUUUAUUUCACAUAUCGCAUAAGCUCAAUAUAAAGGUUUGCUCACCCUUUUAAUAUCGGAAAACCUUUUCUUACAUAACGAUCAUCACGAUGGUCUCUCCAAGGGGGAUGAAAUCGAUAGCAUAUAUACAGCAAAUUGACAUGUUAUCUAAUUUUUGGAUCACUUGUAGAUGAUUUAGGAGUAUCUUGAUAGUUUUUAUUCUUCUAACAUCUAACAUAUGUUUUACAUUUUAGAAACUGGGCGGGUUAGAUUGUCCUUUGGUGGAUUUAAUUGUGGCCAAAUUCAUACAUGAAAUGUAUUGUCACACAUGUAUUAUUGGAUGCAUCCAAUUGUAUGUUCUUCCUCUUCAUGUGCCAUGAGAACUUAAAACUGCCCUCUUCAUCUCUUGCAAAUUGUUGUUUAGUCACAAGCAAGUGGAAUAAAAAUUUUUGCAUUUAUUUCCAAAGCAGAUAUUUACUCUGUAUUUCUUGUUUCACAUUUUUUUUAUAGAUUUGGGUGUGGCCAGAACGCCUGCAAACCAUGCAUCUGCUUGGCUUCCAUGACAUAUUCACAACCAAAACUUCUCUUACUAGAGUGCGAGUUGUUCCACGGUAUAGUUUUAGCAUUGAUACUUUAGAGAGUUUAAAUACAAUGCACCCAACGAUUGGAAUUAUGCCAUCUGGUCUUCCUUGGGUGGUUAAGUCUCUUAAAGGAGGUAGUAGUCUUCCUGGUUUUCUUUUUCCUUCUUACCAAAGCAAAUGGAGAGCAACGGGUGGAACUCACACUGAGAAACUGAAAGAAGCUUUAGGCGGGCCCGACGAGGUGCGAAGCUUGCUCGAAGUGAGAGUUCUGAUUGAUUAGGGUCAAAUAUCGAUAUCAGUUAAGCUUGAAAUUCUUGCAAGUAAUGUUACUUGUAUCGGUUUGAAUUCAGAGUCUAUUGUAUGGUUGAAGAAUACAUAUGAUGGUGUAGGGUGUAAGUAAUAUAAUCCUUUUAUUUAUUUAUUUAUCUUGGAUGUCUAAAGCGACGGCCUAUUAGUGCUCAUUAAGGAAAAUGGUUGUGUGAAAGCACUUCGUCUGGAUCAGUCAUUUGACUGUUUACGCCUGGAUCAGUCAUUUGAUUGUUUACGCGGGAUAGGUAUAGUGGCUUUUUGGUUUAGAUUAUUAUAGUUGUUUUCAAACUCGUGGCCUUUAAACACAUUAUAGUUUGACAAUCAUGGUCUUUACUUGAUUUGCAAUAAGGUAAAGAAGUCAAAUGGGUAAUUAUUUUCUGUGAGAGUGAAUUGCGGCAAACAUGAGCAAUUUUUGCAUCAUUGUGCAUUUUGUUGUAGAAUGAGGAGAGUCAACUUUCCUGACCAUCUAGAUGAACCCUUAGUUGAAUCUCUCCAUGGCCAUAAGUGGGCGGCAUAGACCAAAUCCUGAAACUAGUCAUGGUCUAAUAUGCAAACCACUCUGACUAUGGCCAAGACACUGGAAAAUGGUGAAUGUUAACUUAGUUUUGAAAGUUAUCAAAUUUAAUAAAACAAAUCAAAUUUAUAAAGUUUUAAAAGUUAUCAAAAUUUAAUAAAACAAAUCAAAUUUAUAAAGUUUUAAAAGUUAUCAAAAUUUAAUAAAACAAAUCAAAUUUAUAAAGUUUUAAAAGUUAUCAAAAUUUAAUAAAACAAAUCAAAUUUAUAAAGUUUUAAAAGUUAUCAAAAUUUAAUAAAACAAAUCAAAUUUAUAAAGUUUUAAAAGUUAUCAAAAUUUAAUAAAACAAAUCAAAUUUAUAAAGUUUUGAAAGUUAUCAAAAUUUAAUAAAAAAAAUCAAAUUUAUAAUUAGGGGUCCAGCUACGGUGCCCCUUUGGGCACGGUGUCCCCUUCUUUUGUCAUUAUCCAGGCUAGCCGUUAGAUUAUAAUGACUUUAAUCCAACGUUUCGGAUUUUGAAACUGUACAAUGAUGUGAAGUGGGCAACUGUCCAAUCCCGAUAUACUAAUACUAUUGUAGCUCUAAAUAAGAAGUAAUAAGAUUAUUAACACUAUAAGGUUAAUGGAAGGAAAAUCUAUCUAAGCCUGAAAUGAUACAAACUACAUAUGUUCGAAUUUAUGGUAGCUGAAAAAUCUUUCAUGAUUUGUUCUACUCCUUGAUCACAUAAGUGGGUUGAAUUAAUUUAUAUAUUUGAAAUUAGGUGGUUGAAUAACGAUGGCAUGACCAUAUGGAUUCAAUUUCUUGAUGGACCAAUAACCUUGUUUCGACUGAAAUCAAUACGUGCAAGUAGUCAAUUUGACAGUUGACAUAAACUGUGCUUUUGAAUUGCAAUGGAACAUAAAUGAACAAGCUUUCAUCUAGCUUUACAGAGUGUGAACUAAAUGGUGUAGCAAAUAUAAAUGAAAGAAGAAGGAGCCCGAGGGGUGGAGGCGUUAAGAACUUAAAUAGCAGGUUUUAUUCUGUCGAAAUACUACAAGCACAUUUGUAAUAUUCAAAAGAUGCUGCAACUGUAGUUCUUAGUAUUUCGAGUCAGAAAACUAAGCUUCAAUAUCAUGACAUAACAAAAUAUACAAUAAAAAUUGCACGGACAUAAUAAUUGUCAUAUUUCCAUAACAACGUUACCAAGUCCGUAAAAGCUAGGAAUAACAAAACACAUAAAAAUAGUUUCAUAUUAGAGAAUAUCUGAAUUUACAGAGCAUAGAUUAUGUCUAAAUUUCCUGGUUGGUUGAGUUUCUUCGAUGAUCUUGUUCGAAAGCUAAUACCAUUCGUUUCUAAAAUGUACCUCACAGUAUCAAUCAUCUCAAUUAAACUGCCACAAAGUUUCCUCUUUAGCCUACCACAGUUGUAGCAAACUACCAAAACCCAUUUGACAAGCAGCCACUCUUUGUUCAUCUAUCAGCUACGAAACUGCUGCCGCUAAUCUAUCUGGGGCGAAUCUAGUCAAGAACUUUGCCUUUGCCACUUCUGACUUCACUAUUUGUUCGCAUUCAAUUUGUAUUAACAUUUUCUCUCCGGUGGUAAAUCCUUAAACGUGGAUCCAAUUUCCAUCUAGUACACAAUCAUGGCAGAUAAACUAACUACAUCUCCACUAAUUGAAAAUACAAAUUUAUUUUAUCUUUAUAGUGCAACUUUACAUACCUCUUCUGUAAUGCAAGUCAUUCCAUCGCUUGCCUUAACCUCAUGCACGGCUUCACUGCUGCAAUAUCAUCAUAUGACUGCAAAAUUAUACAUCUCUAUAAUUUUUAAUGAACUAAGCUUACAAAUAUCUUAUGAACCCAUUAUGGCAUUUCCUUUUUCUUCUUCCUUCAAUACUUUGAUCGUCACCAACCUCUUUAACACCGCCAUCAAUCUCACACGAUUUAUGCUUAUUACUUCCCACCAACUUAAUUUAUGAAAUUCAGUGAUACAUUUAUUUAUUAUAAUCAAACUAAAGUUCAUAGCAACAUAAAGUUUACAUUCCUAGUCCAGCACAAAACAAACAAAAAAAUUGGGGAAAAAAAUAAACAAAGGAGAUCUGGAACGAAGGUAAAGCAUGUAUCAUUUUCCUGUUCCUAAUUUUAAAAAUGUUCAUUGUAAAACUUAAUAACACCCAAGCUAACUGGAACUAAUUGUUACGGAUUCAAAUAUCAUUUUAAUACAUGGAAUUACUAAGAUGAAUAUUAUGACAAAAAAAUCCUUUACAUUAUUACAUUGUUGAGAAAAUAUCCAUAACUUUAUUUUAAAAUAUUUGUGCACCCCAAUUUUGCCAUUAUCCUUAUGAGAUCUAGCUUCCCACCAACCAUAUUAUGAACAACAAAUGAUUCACAUCACAAAUCUCAUAUUAAAAUUACACUUACCUUAAAUUUGGUAUAUGCAAUCCUUUCUGUUUCAUUCAAUACUGCUAUAACAAACUACAAGUCACUGCACUCCACUUCAAAAAUUUGACACGACAUCAUUGCUCCAAUUACAGUUAUACAGAAUUAAGAAAAUAUUCCUGCUUUAAAAAUUUCGCCAAUGUCUGUUGAAAUACAACCAAGGGUAUGUAGAGGGUCCAGCUACAAUAUCCAUGGGGUUUGGUACCCCAUUUUUUGUUUUUUUCAAACCUACCGUUAGAUUUAACGUAAGUGCAUAAUGGCUGAGAUGUGAUUAUUGAGUUAUUAACAUCAAAGACCCUUAUUGUUCAUGUAAAAUAAAAAAAAAUCAAAAGUUUUGAAAUUAUGACAUAUAAGUCAAUAAUAUUCUCUUUUUUUUUUAACUCUAUUGAAAUAUGUUUCCAAUUAAAUGACUUAUUCUUAUAUUUAUUAGUAUCUAUUUAAAUUAAUAAAUUUAUUAAUUAAUAAAUUAACUACUUUAUUAUAUAAUUAAACUAUGUAUAUUAUUUAUUAAGGGUUAUUUUUAGAGACCUCCCCUGAGGUUUGGUGUAUUGACAGUCUGAUAGAAAGUAUUCACGUAAUUACAGGGACCUCCCCUGACGGUACUACAUGGUUAACUUGACUGUUAGUGGACUAACGAAAAGCCAAAAAUGCCCUGAGCCUAAAAAAUGCUUUGGCAGUUAACAAUUUCUUUAAUGAUAGUAACUACAGUUUGGCGUUAAACAUCACACUAAAACACUAAAAAGUCUAAACUGACCAUUUAAAACAAAUCAUUGACAUUACAUAAUAUUAAAAAAAGGAGAAAAAUAUAAAUUGACAAAAUCAACAAAGCUAUCAAUGUAGUGAAUAUUUACAGCAACAAUGGUUGUAAAUACAGCCAUUGUCAAGUUAAAAUCACCAUUACAACCAUUGCUUCUUUAACUUUCAUCUCACAAUUUCUUCCUUCAUCAUUCAACAUCUCAAAAGCUCAAUAAUUAGUAAGCUGCUUCAAUAAAACAAUAAACAAACCAUAAUUCACUUUUCAAUGCAUUCAAAAUACACAACGAAUAUUCCUUAGCCAUUUAAAUUGAAGCCAAAGAAGAAAAGAAAAGAAAAAAAAUCUUCCUUUGUUAUUCCAAGUUUCACACCACUAGCCAUAUGAAGAAGGCAGACUAAAGCGUAAGAAAAUGCUACUGCCACAGCAAAAGUCUAGACCAAUUGGGUAAUGAUACCUGCCAUGCCAAUUUCAAGGCAAGCAAAAAUCAAUUAUCAUCCCCAGACCAAAAUACCAGCAAACCUACCUUUUGAAUUUAAAUAAUAAGUAAAUAAAUCAAAGAUUUCAACUCAUUUAAGUUUGAAAUCAAUUAAAAUAGCCAAAAAGAAAAAAAAAAUUCGUCCAACAUAACUUAUCCAGCAAUUUCUUCAACACAUAAUUUCAUUCUUAAUCAUCACAACAAUUAAAAAAGAAAAACAAUGAGCCCAAGUGAUUGAUCUUGCCAUAAUGUACUCCUACCAGCAACCGAAGUCGAGCAUACAUACGACGAUCUUCGUGCGUGAAUAGCCGGGAGGAAAGAAAGGGCGGUAGAUGAUAAUGAAAAAGAUGCGAUCGAGUUUGCUGUAGAAAUUUCUACUCUCCGAUUAGACCCAAAGCUUGUUCAAAAGGGUCUCCUUUUCCUCCGUUGAGAUCAAAUCCCUACCGACGAGCUGCCAACAACUAACAAGGGUCACUACGAAUAGCUAACAACUGCUUUGCUACUACUGGCUCACUCUGAACGAGAUUCCGAUCCCCUGUCUCGUGAGCAAAGCCUUCGAUUCCUUCACGUAGGCCGAGACGGAUUGGUUCAAAAGCUUCUCCAGAGCUUUUCAACCUUGAAAAUGGUUGUGGGUUUCGUUUAAUGAGAGAGAAAAUAGUGUUUUGGUUCUUUGAUUUUUUUUUUAAUUUAUGAAAUCACUAAUUUACCCUCAUAUACUAACAUAUACGAAAACGUGUACUAACGUUAGGGGAAGUCUCUGUAAUUACACAAAUACUUUCUAUCAGAUUGUCAAUACACUAAAACUCAAGGGAGAUCCUUAAAAAUAACUCUAUUUACUAACUAUAAUUAAUAAUAACAAUAAAUAUAAAUAUGAUCUUUUUUUAAUUUAAUAUAACGACAACUAAUUUCUUUUGACGUAUGUGAAUAAAGUUCAAAACCCAUAAUUUUUUUUUCCGCCAGACGGUGACCCUUGUGGGUCUAUCAACAAUUCAAAGAUUGCACAACUUGAUUGUCCGUUUCCAAUCACUCAUUUCUUUCUCUCUGGCCAACCAAACGCGUAAAACUGAUUAACGUUGUUGAUGGAGUUUUAAAUAUGAUCAAAUGGCUGUGAUUGUUUGUAGGCUUGGUCCUAUAAAGCUCAAUCGACCUACAAGCCAAUAAAAAAAAUUAAUUGAAAUUGCUAGCACUAGCCGCAACUGGGCCCCAUUCACAUUACGAGGUUCACCUCCUCUAGAACUUGUACAGGUGGACAUGGUUACAAACUAUUGCUUUUGUAGAAACAAUCCAAGUUGAUGUCUAGGGUGGAUAUUAAAAUCUUGCUGACGUGGCUGAAUCUGUUAUAUUGGUUUAAGAAUUACUACAUGCAUGUGUAACAGCUUAUUAACAAGGAAUUGACACUUGUUAUAUAUGUGUGUAAAAUACAUUGAUUCAAUAAUAAGAAGUUUUCAGUUUAUCAAUAUUUUCUUUCUCUUCCGUUUAACUUUCUCGUUUACCAAAUACAACAUUUGGUUUUCUUUCACAAAGUGUCGGAUUUUGGGCUGGCAAAGCUUGUUGGGAGGGAGUUCAGCCGUGUCCUAACAACCAUGAGAGGAACAAGAGGUUACCUUGCACCUGAAUGGAUAUCAGGAGUGGCCAUAACAGCCAAAGCGGAUGUCUACAGCUGCGGAAUGAUGCUGUUUGAAUUUGUAUCGGGAAGGAGGAACUCUGAGGAAUUUGAAGAUGGUAAAGUGAGGUUCUUCCCAUCUUGGGCUGCUAAACAAAUAGUUGAAGGCAGCAAUCUCAUUAGCCUAUUAGACCCAAGACUGGAGGGCAACGCAUAGGAAGAAGAGCUUGCAAGACUUUGCAAAGUGGCUUGUUGGUGCAUCCAAGAUGAUGAAACUCACAGGCCAUCAAUGGGUCAAGUAGGUCAAAUUCUUGAGGGAGUUUUGGACGUGACACUGCCUCCAAUUCCCAGAGCUCUCCAAGUAAUGGUCGAAUCAAAGAGCAACAAUUCAACUGCUUCAUCUCAAGCAAAGAGCACCACAUUAUCAAGAAGUUCUUAAAUCGAUGUGAAGAAAAUAUUUUAACAUUUGUGUUUAAGAAUAUAUAUUUGGUUUAUUUCACUUGUAACAACCUGUAUGCAUAUUUGGAUAGAAGCCUUGCUUCGUAGUGUGUAUAAUAAUAAUGGAACCUGCCAAAGCAAUUUUAAGAAUUACAAGCCUUGUGCCUCGCUGUUCUCUCUAAUGAACUCUGAUUGAUCUAUGCUCCUCUGCGUUGACUUUUGGCUUCACCUAAUCGCUUCAAUUGUCAAAAUUAGGUAUUGAAAUGAAAGCGAAAUGCCAAAAGCAACUUGGAACUUGGAUGUUAUCCAGAAGAAGGGGAAAAACAGCAGAAACAAUCAAACAUAAACGUGACGUUGUAAUAAAUAACAUCGGUCAAGAUAUGAAUCAACUGGCCAACAUUGUUGAAUUGUCCAUAUUUUGAUUGACUUCAAUUGACUAACAAGUUUCCUACUUUUUUUGAAGGAUGGCUUUGACGGCGAUUCUUGAAGGAUGGCUUUGACGGCUUACGUAGCACAAAUAAUUUAUGUUGGACGUUUAAAUAAUCCAUCAGAAAAAAAUUAUGGAAACCGAACUUCGUCCCUUUGCUUUCUUUAUUCCUAAAUAACAAUUUAGCACUCCUGAACUUCAUUGAACUUCAUCCUCCAUUUUUUUUGCUUUCUUUAUUCCUAAAUAACAAUUUAGCACUCCUGAACUUCAUCCUCCAUUUUUUUUAAUUUCUACUUGUCAUAAACUGAAACCUAAUAAAAUAAUUUUGGUUGAAACCAUCAUAUUUGACAGUAUGAGCACAACGACAGUGAUUACUAACUGUUUCUGCUUAGGCCCGCCAUACCCAACCCUCAAUUUCUCCCUUAAGUCUUGAUAAAUAGACCAUCUGCUGUUCAUAAACAUCAUCUUGUCUGCACAGAAAUUUUCCAGCAGCCAUGGAUGUCAAGAACAAGGUAUGGUUCAUGCUCUGUGUUCUCUCCGUAUGCUUCACUCUCAAACCUCAUUUAUCCUUUGCUGCUCGUGACUCCAUCUCUGCAAACCAAUCUCUCUCUGGGGAUCAAACUAUUGUCUCUGCUGGUGGGGUCUUUGAACUAGGCUUCUUCAAGCCAGGUAACUCUUCAAACUACUACAUAGGCAUUUGGUUCAAAAAGUUGUCAGAACAAACCAUAGUUUGGGUGGCAAAUAGAGACAAACCAGUUUCCGAUAAAAACUCCUCAGUGUUAAGAAUAUCCGAUGGUAAUUUAGUUCUUUUAAAUGAGUCUAAAACGCCCAUCUGGUCCACAAGUUUGAACUCUAGUAAUACAACAGCUUCAAUCGAAGCAGUUGUUCUAGAUGAAGGUAAUUUUGUUUUGAGAGAUUCUUCAGCUAAUUCAACCUUAUGGCAAAGCUUUGAUCAUCCGACUCAUACAUGGCUUCCCGGAAUGAAGUUUGGAAUAAACAAACGGGCAAAAGUAAACCAAUUUCUCAUCUCAUGGAAGAAUAAAGAGGAUCCUGCACCGGGUCUCUUUUCGCUUGAGCUAGCCCCAGAUGGAUCGGAUCAAUAUGUUAUAAUGUGGAAUAGGUCUGAACAAUACUGGAAUAGUGGAGUCUGGACUGGAAUAAAUUUUGCCAAUGUUCCGGAAAUGAUAUCUCAUCAUAAUUUCGACUUCAACUACAUUUCGGAUGAAAAUGGGAGAUAUUUCGUUUAUUCUGUUACUAAUUCUAUGACAACUCGUUUUGUUAUUGAUUCUUCAGGGCAGAUUGAGCAGAUGUUUUGGUUGGAGUCUAGCAAGGCUUGGUUUCAGUUCUGGUCGCAACCAAGGCAACCUUGUGAUGUUUAUGCUUAUUGUGGCGCAUUUGGCAGCUGUAAUGAGGGAAACCAGUCUUUCUGUGCUUGUCUGCCAGGUUUUAGGCCAAAAUGGGAGAACAAUUGGAACUUGAUGCAGGAUUAUUCUUCUGGCUGUGUGAGGAAAACCCAACUGCAGUGUGAAAAUACUGUUGUUACAAAUGGAAAGAGUGACAAGUUUUUAGCAAAUUCUCACAUGGUAUUGCCUAAACAUCCACAAUCUGUGGCAGUUUUUGUGGAAGCAUGAAAUGAUCUAGCUGAUAUAUAACUCAUCCCUGGUAUCUUCACCCCACCAUAUGGUUGAGAGCAUACCCAAGUUGGCUGUCCAUGAGAAGAAAAAUCAGAAUAAGAAUGCAGGCAGGAUGCACCAUGGGUAAAACCAUGCUGGCUACUGCAAGUUUUCUGCGCCAUAUAAGGAUUCUUGUAACAUUUCAAUUCAAAUGGCACCUCUAAAACUUCUUUCUUACAUAAACAAGACUUGUUAUGAGGCCUCAAGAAAUUAUGCCCCUGACAUUCCAGUCCUUUCUUGCUUCUGCAAUAAUUUUGAGGGUUAAAGGAUCCCUUUGUUUUCAAUUUCUGUUCUUCAUAUUCAUCCAAUUCACAAGUGGCUACUUGACUUCAUUGGGACACAUGUCGAUCAAGUCUCCUAUUUAAUCUCUGAUGAGCAACCCAUCGAGAGGACUCAACCAACACCUUCUCUGCUGUACCGUACAUCCGCCUUGGCCGUGCUUGUCUGCCAGGUUUUAGGCCAAAAUGGGAGAACAAUUGGAACUUGAUGCAGGAUUAUUCUUCUGGCUGUGUGAGGAAAACCCAACUGCAGUGUGAAAAUACUGUUGUUACAAAUGGAAAGAGUGACAAGUUUUUAGCAAAUUCUCACAUGGUAUUGCCUAAACAUCCACAAUCUGUGGCAGGAGGGAGUAUCAAGGAAUGUGAAAAAACCUGCUCGAGGAACUGCUCUUGCACUGCUUAUGCUUAUGAAGACAAUGCUUGUUCAAUAUGGAUUGGAAGUCUCUUGAGUCUGCAUCAACUUUCACCAGGCGACGCAAAUGGGAAAACUAUUCAUGUCAAGCUUGCAGCUUCGGAGUUUUCAAGUUCCAGUAAUAACAAGGGAACAGUCAUUGGUGCUGUCGUGGGUUCAGUGUCAUUUGUAGCUCUAUUAGGCCUUCUUGCUUUUAUGUAUUUCAGGAAGAGAGAGAAUACAAUGAAAACAAGCAAAUCAGUGGAGGAUGGUUCGUUGGUGGCAUUUGCAUACAAGGAUUUGCUAACAGCCACAAAGAAUUUCUCUGAAAAAUUGGGGGGAGGAGGUUUUGGUUCUGUUUUCAAAGGGAGGCUGCCUAAUUCAAGUGUCAUAGCUGUGAAGAAGCUGCAGAGCUUCAGCCAAGGAGAGAAACAAUUCAGAGCAGAAGUCAGCACAAUAGGGAACAUCCAACAUGUCAAUCUAGUUAGGCUUCGUGGAUUCUGCUCUGAAGGUACAAAAAAAUUAUUGGUCUAUGAUUACAUGCCAAAUGGAUCCCUAGAUUCGCACAUCUUCCAUAGAGAGAAUUCAAAGGUUCUUGAUUGGGAAACAAGAUACCAAAUUGCACUAGGGACAGCCAGAGGAUUGGCUUAUCUCCACGAGAAGUGCAGAGACUGCAUCAUACACUGCGACAUAAAGCCAGAGAACAUUCUAUUAGAUGUUCAAUGGUGUCCAAAAGUGGCAGAUUUUGGCAUGUCAAAGCUUGUUGGGAGAGAAUUCAGCAGAGUCCUAACGACCAUUAGAGGAACAAGAGGGUAUCUCGCACCAGAAUGGCUUUCAGGAGUGGCCAUAACAGCAAAAGCUGAUGUUUACAGCUAUGGAAUGAUGCUCUUUGAAAUUGUUUCAGGAAGGAGAAACUUUGAAUGGAACUCUGUAUACUCUGAAGAUGAAGAAAUGAAAUACUUCCCAACUUGGGCAGCAAGCCUAAUGAGUGAAGGUGGCAAUGUGCUUAGCCUUUUAGACAAAAGACUUGAGGGUAGUGCUGAUGUAGAAGAGCUUUCAAGGAUUUGCAAAGUUGCUUGUUGGUGUAUCCAAGAUGAUGAAACUCAUAGGCCAUCAAUUGGUCAAGUGGUUCAAAUACUUGAGGGGGUUUUGGAAGUGACUCAGUCUCCAAUUCCAAGAUCCCUUAAAGUAAUCGCAGAUAACAAGGAGGAUAUAAUCUUCUUCACCGAGUCAUCUGAGACUUCAGGUGCUUCAUCUCAAGCUAAGUUCGCUGGAUCAUCAGCAAGUUCCUAAAUCCUUACCAAGAUAAUCAAUUUUAUUUGAGUAGUAUUUGUUAUUUCUGUUUUUUGGAUUUGGGUGGUGUUUUGUUAUUUCUGUUUGACUAUAGUCUUGAAUUUAUUGCCCUUAUUUGAGUACUAUUAUCCUAGAUAGUCUACUAUACAUAUAUGGUAUUAAUCUAUAUUAUUUUCAUAUGGUUUGAACUUCGUAUGUCGUAGCAUAAUGUUUAUCAAAAUCUCGUGUCUGCAAGUUGUUUAUUUUCUAGCUGUUAAUAAUGUCCACUCGAAUGAUAACAAUUUAUCUACCUGUUAAUAUAUGAUUUUAAUAUAUGUUUAUAUGCAGAACACAACAUAACAGAACCAACCAUUUGAAAUUUCAUUUCAGUUGGACGAGUAAUCUAAAGUCGAAUUUCACUGUCAUCAAUGGUGAAACAAAGAGUCCAGUUCAUACUUCAGAGUCGUUGCAAAUUAAUUAAAAUGACUAGAAGAUUGGAAUGAUUAGCGAAAUAGACAAACUGAAUUGAUAAGAUAAACAAAUAGAUAGAAUAAAACUAAAACUAUGUACUGAAAACAUCCGAAUUUGUUGCAGUGUAUUGCAGCACCAAUUUCAUUUGGGCCAAGAAUGUACAAAGAAGCAAAAUCUUGACGAGUUAUGUUCGAUAAAGUUCAAUGCAGUUAAAUGAAAAAACUGAAACUAACCCCUCUGUAUAUUCCAGUUUCUAUUCUGUUUCCAAUGCACCGCAAAAACUUAUACGCAGUAAUGAGACUGCAGUAGCACAUUACAAAAUGAUACAUCUGCAUGUCCCCUAUAAUAUCUGUUCAUGCUAAGUAACCCAAAUCUGCAAUGGUAAUUGGUUGAAGAAAAGAGGGUACUAAUCGUAUUAUAAUACUGAAUAUGGUCAGCUUAGUAUUAUUUAUGGGAACUGAAAAACUCAUAGUCUUUGUGUCGAUUGACUACCUUGAUGCCAUCCGUCCAAACACAACCUCUAGCAAAAAGAGACGCAUUUUCCUCUAGUAUUCUGAGCUGUUCCCGAAGAAUUUCAGAACGGUCAAAAAGUGAAGAGUCUUUGAAAGAGGAUUCUUCAGGUACUUUGAGAUCAAACCAGCUUUCUGCCUGCAGGUAUAAAGCUUGUGAAGUGCUGUACCACAGCUCUGAUCAAUAUCCAGAGAAGAAUUAUAGCUUAUCUCAAAAUGAGUGAAAUUAUUAAAAUAUAUAUAUGUAUAGCUCAUUUCUAUAAUCCAUUGGGUUCAUAGUCUUAGAUAUCCUGAUAAGAAUUCCAACCCACUGCUUCUACAUAUACCCAGACAUUGAACACAAUUUGGUUUAUUUAUUUCUUAACAACAUCAUGGUCGUGAUUCAAAGUUCAAAACAUGAAUUUCAAGGAUUAUGAUAUCUAUGUGGCACGUGUGUCAAGUUUAGUAAAACUUAAAUCUCCAUGGGAAUUCGAUGAAAAUCGACAAGCUCCUUCUUAGUCAUAGGUCCGGGCGGCAAAGCUUAUUCAGUUUUGACUUUGGAUACCUGACUGCCUGAACAAUUGAUUAAGGACGAACCUAUACUAUGCACGUCGGAUAGUAGCAGCAGAACCACUCAAAAUAGGCAGAAGAUUGCAAUCUAAACCAAUAUAUGACAAGGGUAGAACAUAUAGAGCUUAAACUUUACCUGUGCCUUGUAGCUUAGCAAUCCCACUACAGGGGAGACAACACAGAGUGUUUUCUUUUUGAGGGUAUCAGUUGGCACAUCUCUCAUAACCAUAUGUCCUAGCGAAUGAUAAGUCAAGAAAGCUGCACCAAAUUUCCCUUCGGGAAUUCGAAAUAUAGGAUACCAAGCCACUGAAAACCUAAAACCAAUUUAUUCAGGUUGUAAUAAGAAUGUCACAGAUUGGUUCCCCCCACCCCAAAAAAUAAGUAAAUAAAUGAAAGCACCAUGUGGUGACUGAUUCUCACCAGGAUGCAAGAUGUAGAUCAUUCAGCUUCAAAGAUUUCAACUUUGAUAUGUCACCAAAUACUUGAAGAUAAGAAGCUUCAGCAUCAAAAAGAUCCAGAAUUCUGCAAUUAGUAAUUAGUUAAGAUCAAUCCAGAUACAUCUUAACACCCCAUUUCAAAUAAAAAUGAUGAGGGUUUCAAUGAAUUGUAAACAGAAUGAGAAGAAAGAGUUCAACGAAAAAAAGCCUACAUGAUUAGCGGUGAUUGGAAAUGGAUAACUAUGAGUGAGUACGAAUUAAGAUAACAAGAUAAAAAGAAGACACAACUACAGCAGUGAGGACAAAACAUGUCAAACCUUCAACUAGGGCAAUGGUUGGGCACACCACACAAGAAAAGCUGAAACGGAACUACAAAUCAACCUUGUAGAAUCAUCAUUUUCAUGUACGACUUUUAUGAAUUCUGUAAAUAUGGCAAUGUAAGUUUUGAGGUAAGAAAGCAGAACUCUCAAUGCACAUGGUACAAUAACCUACAGCAAUAUCUUAAAUACUCCAAGAUGCAAUUUCUUCAAGUUAAUGAAUAAACUACAGAUUAAAUACCAUGUGAGAGAAAUAUGUCAGACUCAAGUUUAGAAAAAUAGUUCUAAUAGCAUCCACUAUAAAUAAUUGAUUGUAUAUCAACCUAGCAAUUUGAUUUAGCUACGGCCUGAUGAUUAUAAUUUUCAAUACAGCAAGCGAAAGAUAAAGGCUAGUGGCGAAAUUUACUUAUUAUGAAGAGGCCUUCGCAGCCAAGGUUUCUCAGUUUCAAAAAAUUCAAAUAAAAGUUCACAAUUACUGGAGCGAUCAGGUGAUGGAGUGAAACUCUGGGAGUGGCCUUCAGGACAGAAAGCUUUAUAUGAAUUGACACUCUCUUCAAUCGAGCCAAAUUUCAGCUCUGGGGCCAAAAGAUUUUUUCCCUCUAAUGCUGUUGAGCUAUUUCUGAUAUACAUGUCAGAGUUGGAGCGCUCUUCACUUGUACCACAAGAAUUAGAUAGAUAUGUGUAGCCAAACAAUUGAACAGCUGAAAGACAAGGAACAAAAUGAGCAUCAAACGAUGCUGAUUCAGUAAGCCGCCCUUUUAGUUUCUGAGAAUGACUUUUAGUCCAUAAUUCCCUGGCUCCUCGUACCAGUUCCAAACAGAAAAAAGUGAUGUAUUAGGUAUCUGGUGCUUACACAAGGAGCUAUCAGACAACUGAUCACCCAAACACAAAGAACAUUUUCCGUGUUGAUAUAAUGAGGCAAUAGCAGGAGCAGCGGAGUGGAGGAAUCUUUCGAACUCCGCAAGUGGACAUCCUGUUUCUAGCUCAAAACCCUCAGAUACUAGUUGCAUUUUGUAAGCAGCAUUUAGGGGAUCUGUUACCAUUAAGCCAACGAUAAGCUGUUGAACAUCUUUCAAAUUUUGCACAUAUUUCAUUCUAAUUUCAGCACUCUUGAUGUGAUGGACUUCUGUUGUGGUACACUGACUGUCAGAAUUUGGAGCUUCAGUUUCAACUAGAUUCAAACUGCUGCUACCAAUUAAGUGUGUACUUUUAAAUUUGCUUAACAUGGCAGAUGCACGAUGAUCAAUUACAUUUCCCCCCGAACGGCCAUCCUUCUCUACUUCAUGUAAAAGUCGCAAGUCGCCAUUACAAACAUGACAGAUACCGGCAGAACCAGUUUUUUCUGAAAUACUUGACCCCUUAGUGCCGACAGCAACCCACUUCUUUGCAUUCAUUCUAGAAGUAACAUCUUUUAUGAAUUGGUUUUCAUUAAAUUGUUCAAAUUUUACGCAUGAUUCACUUUUUGUGGAAGCAUGAAAUGAUCUAGCUGAUACGUAACUCAUCCCUGGUAUCUUCACCCCACCGUAUGGUUGAGAGCAUACCCAAGUUGGCUGUCCAUGAGAAGAAAAAUCAGAAUAAGAAUGCAGGCAGGAUGCACCAUGGGUAAAACCAUGCUGGCUACUGCAAGUUUUCUGCGCCAUAUAAGGAUUCUUGUAACAUUUCAAUUCAAAUGGCACCUCUAAAACUUCUUUCUUACAUAAACAAGACUUGUUAUGAGGCCUCAAGAAAUUAUGCCCCUGACAUUCCAGUCCUUUCUUGCUUCUGCAAUAAUUUUGAGGGUUAAAGGAUCCCUUUGUUUUCAAUUUCUGUUCUUCAUAUUCAUCCAAUUCACAAGUGGCUACUUGACUUCAUUGGGACACAUGUCGAUCAAGUCUCCUAUUUAAUCUCUGAUGAGCAACCCAUCGAGAGGACUCAACCAACACCUUCUGGUGGAUUCUCACAUCUGUUUUUGUCUUGUUAUUUCCUGCAUUUGCUACACCAAUGUGCCUAGAAGAUUCAAUUGUUGGAGUGGGCAGCAAUCCUUUACCAAAAAAUGAGUUGUGCUCGACAAAAAGGUUCUUCUGAAGCAUACUUGCAUCUCCCUGUAGAUAAUUGCGUUGCAAUUUGUUACCCUCACUGGUUUGUGUUUCCCUUACAUUCCUCUGCUUCUUCCGCCAGACUGAUUGGCUAUUUUCCUUCCCUGUCAUGAUAUGUUGGUGAUUUCUAGUCUUAUGGACAGCAUCAAGUUCAGAUGCCAAGUUGUGGCUCUUAAAUCCAUUUCUUUCUCUGAUAGCAUGAGAACUGUUACAGACAUCACACCCUUGCUUAUUCAAUCCAGAUACAUCUUAACACCCCAUUUCAAAUAAAAAUGAUGAGGGUUUCAAUGAAUUGUAAACAGAAUGAGAAGAAAGAGUUCAACGAAAAAAAGCCUACAUGAUUAGCGGUGAUUGGAAAUGGAUAACUAUGAGUGAGUACGAAUUAAGAUAACAAGAUAAAAAGAAGACACAACUACAGCAGUGAGGACAAAACAUGUCAAACCUUCAACUAGGGCAAUGGUUGGGCACACCACACAAGAAAAGCUGAAACGGAACUACAAAUCAACCUUGUAGAAUCAUCAUUUUCAUGUACGACUUUUAUGAAUUCUGUAAAUAUGGCAAUGUAAGUUUUGAGGUAAGAAAGCAGAACUCUCAAUGCACAUGGUACAAUAACCUACAGCAAUAUCUUAAAUACUCCAAGAUGCAAUUUCUUCAAGUUAAUGAAUAAACUACAGAUUAAAUACCAUGUGAGAGAAAUAUGUCAGACUCAAGUUUAGAAAAAUAGUUCUAAUAGCAUCCACUAUAAAUAAUUGAUUGUAUAUCAACCUAGCAAUUUGAUUUAGCUACGGCCUGAUGAUUAUAAUUUUCAAUACAGCAAGCGAAAGAUAAAGGCUAGUGGCGAAAUUUACUUAUUAUGAAGAGGCCUUCGCAGCCAAGGUUUCUCAGUUUCAAAAAAUUCAAAUAAAAGUUCACAAUUACUGGAGCGAUCAGGUGAUGGAGUGAAACUCUGGGAGUGGCCUUCAGGACAGAAAGCUUUAUAUGAAUUGACACUCUCUUCAAUCGAGCCAAAUUUCAGCUCUGGGGCCAAAAGAUUUUUUCCCUCUAAUGCUGUUGAGCUAUUUCUGAUAUACAUGUCAGAGUUGGAGCGCUCUUCACUUGUACCACAAGAAUUAGAUAGAUAUGUGUAGCCAAACAAUUGAACAGCUGAAAGACAAGGAACAAAAUGAGCAUCAAACGAUGCUGAUUCAGUAAGCCGCCCUUUUAGUUUCUGAGAAUGACUUUUAGUCCAUAAUUCCCUGGCUCCUCGUACCAGUUCCAAACAGAAAAAAGUGAUGUAUUAGGUAUCUGGUGCUUACACAAGGAGCUAUCAGACAACUGAUCACCCAAACACAAAGAACAUUUUCCGUGUUGAUAUAAUGAGGCAAUAGCAGGAGCAGCGGAGUGGAGGAAUCUUUCGAACUCCGCAAGUGGACAUCCUGUUUCUAGCUCAAAACCCUCAGAUACUAGUUGCAUUUUGUAAGCAGCAUUUAGGGGAUCUGUUACCAUUAAGCCAACGAUAAGCUGUUGAACAUCUUUCAAAUUUUGCACAUAUUUCAUUCUAAUUUCAGCACUCUUGAUGUGAUGGACUUCUGUUGUGGUACACUGACUGUCAGAAUUUGGAGCUUCAGUUUCAACUAGAUUCAAACUGCUGCUACCAAUUAAGUGUGUACUUUUAAAUUUGCUUAACAUGGCAGAUGCACGAUGAUCAAUUACAUUUCCCCCCAAAUGGCCAUCCUUCUCUACUUCAUGUAAAAGUGGCAAGUCGCCAUUACGAACAUGACAGAUACCAGCAGAACCAGUUUUUUCUGAAAUACUUGACCCCUUAGUGCCAACAGCAACCCGCUUCUUUGCAUUCAUUCUAGAAGUAACAUCUUUUAUGAAUUGGUUUUCAUUAAAUUGUUCAAAUUUUACGCAUGAUUCACUUUUUGUGGAAGCAUGAAAUGAUCUAGCUGAUACGUAACUCAUCCCUGGUAUCUUCACCCCACCGUAUGGUUGAGAGCAUACCCAAGUUGGCUGUCCAUGAGAAGAAAAAUCAGAAUAAGAAUGCAGGCAGGAUGCACCAUGGGUAAAACCAUGCUGGCUACUGCAAGUUUUCUGCGCCAUAUAAGGAUUCUUGUAACAUUUCAAUUCAAAUGGCACCUCUAAAACUUCUUUCUUACAUAAACAAGACUUGUUAUGAGGCCUCAAGAAAUUAUGCCCCUGACAUUCCAGUCCUUUCUUGCUUCUGCAAUAAUUUUGAGGGUUAAAGGAUCCCUUUGUUUUCAAUUUCUGUUCUUCAUAUUCAUCCAAUUCACAAGUGGCUACUUGACUUCAUUGGGACACAUGUCGAUCAAGUCUCCUAUUUAAUCUCUGAUGAGCAACCCAUCGAGAGGACUCAACCAACACCUUCUGGUGGAUUCUCACAUCUGUUUUUGUCUUGUUAUUUCCUGCAUUUGCUACACCAAUGUGCCUAGAAGAUUCAAUUGUUGGAGUGGGCAGCAAUCCUUUACCAAAAAAUGAGUUGUGCUCGACAAAAAGGUUCUUCUGAAGCAUACUUGCAUCUCCCUGUAGAUAAUUGCGUUGCAAUUUGUUACCCUCACUGGUUUGUGUUUCCCUUACAUUCCUCUGCUUCUUCCGCCAGACUGAUUGGCUAUUUUCCUUCCCUGUCAUGAUAUGUUGGUGAUUUCUAGUCUUAUGGACAGCAUCAAGUUCAGAUGCCAAGUUGUGGCUCUUAAAUCCAUUUCUUUCUCUGAUAGCAUGAGAACUGUUACAGACAUCACACCCUUGCUUAUUCUCAUCUGGAACUUUACAGCAAGUUCUACUAUUGCAGUUUUGAAUAUUCAGAUCUUCAGAACACAGUUUCACUUGUAUUUCACAUAGAGAAGUUGAAUUGACCAGUGGGGUAUCUUUUUCCAAGCCCUUUUCACAGUUUAUAGCAGGAUUGAGUAUAUCCUCCAUAAUUGAUGAAGAAGAUGACUUUGCAUCAAUAACAUCAUAUUUACUUUCUCCUGCCAUAGAAACAAUCUUAUCGGAGAUCUUUUUACUUGAAUAAGUUCUCUUUUGUUGUUCUUCUUUUUCUUUCUAAAAUGUUUCUUGAACUUCGGAUCAUCAGUAAUUGAAUCCACUUUGCUGUUUACCUGCUUAUCACUAAAACCAAGAGUAUCUGAUUGGAAAGAUCCAGCACAUCUUGACUUCUCAUUACACACAACAUCUGGUACAGCUAGAUCUCCGUACGGCUUCAAAGCCUCAGAGAUCCAGAUGUCACCAAGAACUGCACAACCUAAAGAGCUUGACGAACUACAGAUACCAUUUCCCCGUUCUAUAUGUUGAACUAAUGCCCCUGAAACUUCCAUCUCUAGAACAUUUAUCAAUUUAAAGAUUUUCAGUCCUUAUCUAAAUCAACACCAGAAAACAAAGCCUGCAAUGGGAAAUGAACAAGUUAAAGAAAAGAGGCACGAUCAAGUUCAAAAUGAAAUCAAAUCCUACUAGAGACAGAUAACAUGUUAACAAUAAAGUCAACAGAAUUUGAAUGAAACAAGAAUCCACUCCAGCCUGUCAAAUAUUAAAGCAACAGAAAAGCAAAGAACCAAAAGAGCAUCUCAUUUAUCAUAUGAACCAAAGAUUGGAUAAAGUUAGUAAAAAUAAUUGGAAUAAAAUGAUAUGAACAAGCACUCAAACCAAAUAUACUCAUAUGACCCUAAAAUUUGCAUUUUAGUUAAUAAGAUACUAAAAUGAAUUUAACUAACUACCUAACAGUACAAGCACACAUCUCAUGAAACAAACCAAUUUAUCAGGGCAUUUGCGUACAUACAAAAGUCCAAAUAUCUCUUUAAAUCAAACCCACCUAAUUUUUACCAACAAAAGUUAUUUUUCUUGACCUAAUAUAACUCAAGGGUAAAACUAAAUAUGACCCCAAGAAAUAACCCAAACCAUGUAAUUUAUUCAAAUGCACGUUUUCAAGUACUUCUCAGACAGUUAUUUAAUUCAUCUGCUACCCAGAAAAAAAAAAUGAAAGUAGAAAAAAAGAACAAGAACAAGAAAAAGAAUGCCACUUUACCAAGUGCAGGUGAUGGGUUCUUGUGACUGCUCAAAGAACCCAGAAAAUAUAAUUAAAAGGAAAUAUCCAUGUUCCUUUAACCAAAUUAAGAAACAUACAAAGAAAACGACAAUUUUUGAAACAAGAAACGUGAAUAAUACUGAUCAAAUUAUGACACCCGUAUUGAAUUUAGAUCAAACAAAAAGAUUAAACAGAAAAAAAAAGGAAAAGAUAAAAGAAAAAGAAAGUACCUGAGAGACAAAAUGAGAAGCGCGCCAGAAGCCAAAAUAUGAAAAAUGGGUUUUUGGGGUUGACUUUUGAGUCUGUUUCAAUUUUUAUUUAACGGAUUUCUUGAAAUUGCUAGGAAAUAUUCUCUUUUUUAGAGUGUGGAGUAGGCAUAUCACAGUUGAUGAGGUCGAAUCUCUCUCUAUGGGCGCCAUGUGUCUAAUACGUAUGAUGAUAACACAAGCAAAAUACCAUAAUGGAUGGAUUAUGGGCAGCCCGCGGAAUUGUCUGUUUUACCCCGCUAUUGUAACCAUCCAGGAGGAUCCGUUUUAAUAUGUUUUUUUGCUACACUUUAAAUAUUCCAAUAAAUUAAUUAAUUCAUGUUUAUAAACAGUGUUAUGGAAAAUAAGGGAGAUGGUGAAUAAAUAAUAUUAUAAGUUUUUUAAAAAGUUACAUAAAUAAAAUUAAUAGUUUUUUAAAUAAAAAAUUAUUUCUAAAGAAACAUGAAUUACUGCCAAGUAGCAUGUGAAUAAACAUUUAAUUAUUCAAAAAAGAAUGAUUAUGUACUCUUUGAUGUAUGUUACGACGUUAAUUGGUGAGAAUGAAAUAUUGUACAAUAAAUUAUCUUAGAAAUUUAUUAAAGUAUACUAUGUACCAAUGAAUGUUAUUUUUUCCAAUGAAAAUUUUGGGAUGAUAAAUUGAUAAUAUUAGGGAUAGGACUAUUUGAGCUCUAAAAAUUAUUUUAAAUACUCUAUUAUUCUAUAGAUUUGUGUACUAUGAACUCUCGACUUUCUUCCAAUAGUUAGUAGUGUGAAAGUGGUGUAAUGAGGGAGUGAUGUGGUGUCUUAAUUACUCUCCCGUUUAGCUCUUUGUUAAUGUUUUUUAGGUCUGCUGUUUUAAAUUUGUGAAGUUUUUUAUAUUGUCGCUAUUUUCCAUUAUUGUUAUUGGUGGUCUAUAUGAUGGAUACGAUGGAAUUAGCGAAACUUUGUGGCUCUUUAACUUUGCGUGACAAAGCAAGUACGAUUUUGUCUCAGAUGCUGUCCAAAAGCGAAGGGAGGCAAUGGCAGUGAAUUACUUGAUUAGUAAGAUAUUAACGAAGCAGGUGAUUUCCAAAGAUGCCUUCACUAAGAAUUUUCCAGUGAUUUGAAGAACAUUCAGGGAGUUAAGAUCAAAUGUUUAGAGAAGAAUGUAUUCUUGUUCUGUUUUAGCUGACGAGUUCUUUUGUUGGCCCAUGGCAUUUUGAUAGGACAUUGGUUGUUCUCACUCCAUUGCAAGGUAAUGGUGAUUUGACUGUGGAAUGUUCUGACAAAGUGAUAUUUUGGGUGUAAAUUUAUAACGUGCCCUUAUUGUAUAUAUUAAAAGAGAUAACUGAACUUCAACUGAGUAUACAUGGAACGAUGGAGAAAAUAAAUAUGAGAUCAUCUGGUGAUUGUAUGAGAAAGUAUCUGAAAGUCUAUGUUACUUUUGAUAUUGUGUUACCUUUGAUAUUUCUUAUUCGUUAAAACGGAAUUUACGUGUGAAAUUCCAUUCAUUGGAUCUUAAAUGUGUGUUUGGUACAAUAUGAGAAGUAGUUAAAUUUUUAUUUUCACUGUGAUAGGAUAAGACAUAUAUUUCAUAAGUGUGAGGUGCAUGAGUUAGCAUGGGCAGAGGAUGGCUCCCACACCACUCUUCUGUUUGGGAAUUGGAUGAGAAUGACUGUUGGUGCUUUCGUCAAACGGCUAAAAAAUCCACUAAUGGUCAAGGCUAAUACAAAGAGUGGCAGUGAGGAGUUGAAUGCAUCGUUGAUGACACCAAAUAAGCCGGAUACAGUUAUUAAUGGUGUGAAAAUUUUGGAUGAAUUUCAAAAUGUGAGUGAUUUAAAUUUUGAAAGCGCUAAUGUUGCAGACAAGGGAGCUUUUCCUUAGCUUAUGAUCUUUGGUUUCUAUAUGGCUUCUUGGCUGCUUAACUUCUUUACGGCUUCUAGGCCGCUUGACCUCUUUACGGCUCCUAAGUGUUCGACUUCUUUAUGGUUUCUUGGUUGCUUUACUUCUUUAUGCUCUGCUUCCUUGAUGCCUCUAUGUUUCUUUUUCCCUUUCUUUUCCUUCUCGUCUGCGCCUCCAUUUCGUUCCUACAUAUUUUGACAGCACAGAAUUUUUGGUUGUUGCAGCGGCCAUGGAAAUCAUCAAGAACAAUUCAUGGUUGAUGCUUUUUGUUCUUUUCACGUGCUUCUCACUCAAAUCCCAUGUCUCCUUCGGAGCUGACACCAUUUCUGCAAACCAAUCUCUCUCUGGUGAUCAAACGAUCGUUUCUAAAGGUGGGGUCUUUGCAUUUGGUUUCUUCAACCCAGCUCCUGGUAAGUCUUCAAACUAUUACAUAGGCAUGUGGUACAAUAAAGUCUCUGAAAGAACUAUAGUUUGGGUAGCCAACAGAGAACAGCCAGUUUCUGAUAGAUUCUCUUCGGUUUUAAGAAUCUCAGAUGGUAACUUAAUUCUUUUUAAUGAGUCCCAACAACCCAUUUGGUCCACAAUUUUGACCGCUACCAGCAGACGUUCUGUGGUAGCAGUUCUUUUAGAUGAAGGAAAUCUUGUUUUGAGAGAUUUGUCAAAUAAUUUGUCGGAGCCGUUAUGGCGAAGUUUUGAUCAUCCAGCUCAUACUCGGAUUCCCGGUAUGAAGCUGACGUUCAACAAGAGAAACAACGUCAGUCAACUUCUCACUUCAUGGAAGAAUAAAGAAAAUUCUGCACCGGGUCUCUUCUCCCUUGAGCUAGCACCAGAUGCAUCAAAUCAAAAUGCUAUUUUGUGGAAUAGGUCUGAGCAGUACUGGAGAAGUGGACCUUGGGAUGAUAAUGCAAAAAUUUUCAGCUUGGUCCCUGAAAUGACACUAAAUUAUAUCUACAAUUUCAGCUAUGUGUCGAAUGAAAACGAGAGCUAUUUCACCAACAAUGUGAAAGAUAGCACUUACACAUCUCGAUUCAUUAUGGAUGUUUCAGGACAGGUUAAGCAGAUGAAUUGGUUGCCUACCAACUCUUGGUUUCUGUUUUGGUCCCAACCAAGACAGCAAUGCAAGGGUUAUGCUUUUUGUGGUCAAUUUAGCACCUGCAAUGAGCAAACUGAGCGUUUUUGUUCUUGUUUGAAAGGUUUUCAACAAAAAUCGGUGAGUGACUGGAAUUUGGAAGAUUAUUCUGGUGC
rnacentral:lncRNA from 1 species